rnacentral:lncRNA from 1 species
GGUAAAAGGAUUGGAGUUGGUUGGAUGUAUUUACCAAAAUAAGCUAAUCCUUUUUUUGAAAGACCCGCAUAGAAAUAGGCCGCUGACGUAAGUAAAGCUAAUGCCACGGUAGUAUUUAUAUCAUUUGUGGGUGCAGCUAACUCCCCAUGAGGUAACUGUAUUAUUUUCCAGGGCAAAAGAGCCCCUGACCAAUUCGAAACAAAAAUAAAUAGAAACAGAGUUCCAAUAAAGGGAACCCAUGGACCAUAUUCUUCUCCAAUCUGAGUUUUGCUCACGUCUCGAAUGAAUUCAAGGACAUAUUCAAAGAAAUUCUGACCGAAAGUGGGAAUGGUUUGCGGAUUUCGAACAACGAGAAUGGCUGAAACUAAUAAGAUAGCAAUCACAACCCAAGAAGUAAUAAGGACUUGGGCAUGUACUUGGAAAUCGCCUAUUUGCCAAUAGAAAUGUUGACCUACUUCCACAGCAGAUAUAUCGUAUAAUCUUUUUAAUGUGUUGAUGGAACAUAAUAGAACAUUCAUAUUGCCUUAACCUCUAAAAUAAAUAGAAAACUUGAAAAGGAAUUAUUUUGAUUCAACCAUCUCCUUUUUGACUUGUUUACUAAAAUUUUAUAUUUUAUUUUUAUUUGAAUACCGACUAAUCGCAUAAUAUUUUCGGUUAUUUUUAUCUCUUUUCCACGAUUUAGUAAUUUAGUACUAGUAUAGUAGAGUAACCAAUUCCAUUUCCAUAAAUCUACGAAUUUCCCCAACCCCAUAUUUUAUUUACCUUAUUAUUAAUCAAGAAUUUCGUCUAUAGCUAGAACGACCCUCACAAAUUGCAAAUACUAAUUUGUUAAGAAUUAAUCGCAUUGAAGCUAUAGCAUCAUCGUUAGCUGGAAUCGAAAUAUCUGCGAGAUCCGGGUCACAAUUUGUAUCGAUUAAACAAAUCGUUGGAAUUCCCAAAGUGAUACAUUCUCGAAGAGCUGUAUAUUCUUCCUGCUGAUCAACGAUUAUUACAAUAUCGGGCAACCCCGUCAUAUAUUUAAUGCCGCCCAGAUAUGUUUCCAAGUGGGAUAAUUGUCUCUUCAACAUAGCGGCAUCUCUUUUUGGAAGACAGUUGAUUCGCCCCGUCUUUUGUUCGGUUCUCAAGUCUCUUAACUUAUGAAGUCUCGUUUCGGUAGUAUACCAAUUUGUUAAAUUCUCAAGUCUCUUAACUUAUGAAGUCUCUGAUUCCAAUUGAGUUUUGUACUUAUAUAAUACAUGCCUUUAGUUUGAUCAACUCCUUAUAUGACUUAUGAAUAAUUGCUCAAAUUUUCUUCUGCAUUAUUUUUAACUUGCAUAACUCAACAAAUAGUGUAUUUGCUAGACAUAUAUUAUUUGCCAUUGCAUGCAUUUCAGUUUUUGGUAUCUAGACAUAGAACUAAUAUUAUGAUUUUAUAACUCUCAAACUGAAUAGCAUAUGUUACUAGACAUAGAGAUAUGCUUGAAGGUUCAUAAAACCAAAUUUUAUGAUUGUAGUUAUUAGACAUAUAACUAAUUUUGGUAAAGUGCUAGUAUAGACCAAGAUGUUGAUGACUAGCACAUUUGAGGUAUUGCAUUUUUACUCAACUUGCAUGCAUGAAUAACGAGAUAUAGGGGCAUGAUUUUGCAAGUCAUAUUUAUUAUUCUUAUGUAUCAAAUUUGCUAGACACAUGGCUUUCUUGCAAAAGUUGCUAAUUGACUUAGACAUUAGUUGUUAGGAAUCUUGAGGUUGUUUUAUGGAUUGAUCUUACUAAUUGGAUAUGAAACAAAGAAUCAAGUGCGCACUGAGAGUGAGUGUAAAAUUUAACCUCAACCACCCUUUCUCAUUAUAAUUACAUUCAAAGUGUUUGUAUUAAACAAUCAACCCAAUUCAGCUUAAAAUAGUAAAUGUUAAUUGAAAAGCUAUAAUUUUGGCAAUUCCAUAUGGAGACGAUAAAAACUUAUUUCUAUACUUGUUUGCGACAUCGAAUGUGUAUUUUAUACCCUAUUUGUCGGUUUAGCAUACUUCUUAAUGUUCCGAAAAAUAUUAAAUUGUGCAGAAAACUAAUUAACCCCUCCCCCUCUUAGUUUGCCAUCUUAUACGUACAAUAUGUGAGUGCAAAAACACAAGUGUGCAUAAUAUAGGACAGGAGGAAGCAUACAAACCUAUUUAAAACAAAUUAAAGUGAAUGUAUACCUUAAACUUGUUUGAUUAUUUCUUUUAACAAUUUAUUCAUUUAAAAAGGAUAAAAAUGAUUUUUGUUCAUAUGUAACAAGAGUUUGUCUUGAUACAAGAUAUUCCUAGGUAAAAUUGAGAAAUGAAGACUACACAAUUGUUUUUGACAGAAAAAUGUUUGGUUGGUUAAGUUUGUUUAAAUGGAGAAAGGUUAGGAGAAAAGAAGUGGCACUCACCAUUAAACGCUAAUGCAUCUCAACUCGAAUUUGAAAGGAAAGACAAGAUCCUAAUCAUAGUCGUUUUCUAACAUUAAUGUUAUUCAUUAUAAAAAUUAUUUCAUAUUUAUUAGACAUAACAAGAAUUGGUUAGAAGAAAAUGAGCAAAAUUUCUCGUGAAUUGUAUUCCUCGUUUUAAGAUAUGAAAGAAAAAGUACUAAUUACUGUUACCAUGUAUCAACUCAAAGAAGAAAGAAAAAUAUGACUCUUGAUGCUGCUACCAUUUUAUACUCAAGGUAAUUUGUUAUUAUUAUUAUUAUUAAUUUGUUUUAAUAUUAGAUAAUUCCUUAUUAACUACUAAUUAUUAAAUGGUUUUUCUAUUAUUUUUUGAAUCAUUAUUAUUAAUUAAAUUGUUAGUGAUUAAGGAAAUAUGUUAUGAGAAAAGAAGCAACAUUCAUCAUGAACUACAUUGCAUAUUUCGAGAGAUGCAAGAAGUAAUAUAAUGACCGUUAUUAAGUCCCAACUCGAAGGGGAAAGGAAAAUACAAAACUAGUCGUUACCAUUCUCUUAACCUCCCAAAGACUAUAAUUUUUUAAAAUGUUACUUUAAUUAUUAAAUAUUUUAACAAAAGACAUAUACAUUAAUAACAUGCAUUUUAAAAUAUUUAAAUUUAUUUAUUUAAAAAUAAAAAGGAACUAUGUUAUUUUAGUCAUUAAUAUUAUUAUAUCUAGAAUGAUUUUACAAUCCUUCUUGCCUUUUAUCCUUUGGAGAGAUACUAACUAUAACUAUGUUGACAUAGAAUAUUCCAAGUAUAAAGGAAUUUUUUUAAAGGAACAUUUGCAUGAAAACUUGGAAUACUUCAUGGCAACAUAGGUAUACCUAGUAUUUUCCUAAAGGUUAAAAAGAAAAUAGGAUUGUAAAACCAUUCUAGAAAGAAGGAUAAUCAUUACAAAUGCAUUCAUUGUAUGUUCACAUAUGGAAUAUAUUAAGAGUUGCAUCCAGGACAACUCACUAACUUAUUUCUAUUGGUUAAUAAGGGCUCUAACACACCUAGAGGGGGGGGGGGGAUAUUCAUUGAUUUUCACUGAUUUUAAUCGAUUAAAAGAUUGCUUAAUCAAUGAAAUGCAGUGAUCAAUCUAUUCUAAUAUGCACUUAAACAAUUCAAUUAAUAUGAUUAAUCAUGCAAAGACACUUAUGCAACAAUCUUAAUAUGAAUACAAUCCAGGAUAUAUGAAAUUGAUAAUUGCGCAUGUGUAAAAGUGUAGGGAUAAGAGAAAAUUAACACGAUUGACUUAUCUUGAUUCGAUUGCCAACCAAUGCAAUCUACAUUCAGUCCCCUCCUUCUGAUAUGGGAGAUUUGCUUUCACAAUGAACAAAUCAAAUGUCUUUACAAAUACUUCUUCCACCAAGAACCUCUUGGACCUAGCUUCUAAUGGAUAUCACACCACUUCUAGCUUAGGAUUUUCUCCUGAAUUCCUCUCUUAUUCUAAGGUGAUACUUUACAUCCCAAGAGACGAAGUACAACUCGAUUGGUCUUUUGUGUACAUAAAUCUUGAACCUUUGUUGUGUUAAUAUACACUCAAUUCAUAAUCUAAAACCCUUCUAGAUGAAUCUCACAAUCUCAUAAUAUGAAGAUGAAUGAUUAUGAGAUGCAAAGUUUUUAUAAAAUUUUUGAUAUGAUGAAUGCUUGAAAACUCAAUUGAAAGAUUCAUAAACUUUCUCUUUUCUUGUAUCAAAAGUAUCUUGCUCAUUUUUCCAGAAAACUCUCUGCUUUUCUCUUGAAAAUUCGUUGUGAAAAUCUUAUGUUUGCUCAUGGGAAAGGUUAGUUAAAACACUAUUCCGUUUCAAACUAUUUUCUGUUAUAUUAAUCGAUUAUGUAGACACUUAAUCGAUUAACGUUCUUUAAAAAAUCCAAAAUUUCAUAACUGAAACUGACUUAAUUGAUUAACCAUAUACUUAAUUGAUUAACAGGUUUCUCAUUUGCAAAGACUUAAUCGAUUAACAGGUUUUCUAUUUGCAAAGACUUAAUCGAUUAACUAUAACCUUAAUUGAUUAACAAUUUUCUGAAAACACUUAGUUAAUACUUUAUGAACCUUUAACAUGAUUAACUAAUACAUGAUACAUGUUUGAAAUUAUAUAAGUUCAAUUUGCUUAAUGCAUCAAAAUCAUAUAAUCAUGUAUGAAUGUAAAUCUCAUACGCAUCAUCAUCAUCAUCAUCAUUCUAAUAUGUGAUAUUUACCAUUAGGUUCACCUAACUCAGACUCUAGCCAUUCAAAACAUCUUAGGACCUAAAGAAAUAAAAGUUUAAUCUUUAACUUUUUUUUUAUCUUCUUGAUGCUUGAACUUGACUCUUUAAGUUUUGUCUCCAUCAAAAUCAUGUCAUGCACACUUGCAUUCACAAUUGCAUUUGUAGAGGCUAGUUGAAAAUAAUACUUGAAUAGGCUUGGGCCUAGAGAGGCUAGGAUACAAAGAACACUCAACUUGUUAUAAAGAGUUAAAACUAUCAAAUAAUACUUGGUUUCUUAGAGAGGCUAAAAUACUCAACAAGUUGGGAGUGACUAAGUGUGAAAAGAAUACUUAACUAUAACAAGUUAUUAAAUAAUAAUGACUUCCCUAUAAAGUCUAUAAUAUUUGGGCUUCUUGGAAAGGCUAUAAUACUCUGGUUGUUUAGAGAGGCCAUAGUCAUUGGUGUGCAUAUCCUAGAUUGGUUCAAUACUAGAUGAUAUCAAGUAGAAAGACUUGAUGGUGAGAUCCUAUUGGGCAAUAUUAGAAGACUAUCAUUAAUAUCUCUAAAAGAAUAUAAUUAACAAGGACAAUUAUAAUGCAUAGAGACUAGUAUGUGAUGAACGUAUGACUAUAUCUCACUGGUCAUGAAUAUGCAUGUGAUAUGAAGUUUUCAACUAGGUACACAUUAGGAAUAGUAGUACAUAGAUUUACCCGCCCUGAAAAUGAUAUGUAAAUCAUUAUAUCAUUGUCAUAAGUCAUUUUCAUAAAGACAAUGGUGUAUGCAACCUUUCGACCUAAAGUCAAUGAUUCCCACAUUAGGAGUUAUACGUUUUGAUAUAGUCAAACACCAACUUUUUAACUUGGUGACGGUAAAUGCUAUACUUGAAUAUAUAAAAGAGAAAAAUGGAUUUACUGCUAAUGUAUGAGUUUUAUAUAUUGUGCAUAAUCUAUCAUUGAUAUUUAAUUAUUGUUGACUUUUUAAAUAAAGUAAUUAAAAUGAAUGGUAGAUAAUAAAAGACAUAUAUAUAAAUCUUUAUAUUAUCAAUGUAUAGAUUUUACACUCUAUAUAAAAACAUGUUGAGGGAUAUGAGUGGUGUAUAUGCGACCUCUAAUAAAACAUCAUUGCUAUCCAAGUUACAAUAAUGUCUAUAAAUUGACAUAACCUUGUGUGACUAAUGUUGCAAUAACAUUUUGUCCGUUUGUCCUAAUAUCUUAGUUACACAUGUGACAUGAAUUUUGUGUCAACCAUGUAAAGUUAACAUUUGGUUUCUUGCUCCCGAAAUAGACAUGCUUAACAACUCCCAUCAAUAUCUUAUAUUGGUAUACUUGAGCAUUACCAUGCAUUUCAUAGUCUUAACCAAUCAAGGACCCUAGAGAUAUAACUCAUGUUAUAUAUGAGGGACACAUAUUAUAUAUAUCCCUCACAUACAUCUACAUGUUUCAUCACAUAUCUAAUUAUAACCCUCAUGAUCAUUUGGUUAAAAAUGAUGUUUGAUUCCCUCAAAACUAACUCUCCAUGUUGGGAAACGUAGUGACUUGAGGUCAAAUGACUAUAUAUACCUUUGUCAAUAUGAGAAUCGUUUAUAACACUCACAUAAUAAUUAUAUUGUGUACCUAUGUAAACACUUAAUAUCACAUAUCCAUCACCCGUAACAUAUUGUCACCAUUCCUUUAAAUACUAGUUUCGAUGUAUUAUAAUACUUGACUAAAGAUAUUUAACGACAGUCGUCAAUGAAUAUGAUCUCAUUGUCCUCGUGGUAUUGAUUUAUUAUUUGAAGGACUUUAUUACAUUUAAAAUCAAUUAACAGAAUGCAGGAUUUAGUAGCUAAGGCAAGCCUAUUUAAUGGAUUGGUCUAGUUGGAGUUGGGGUGGGGGAAGACAACACUUAGUUGUAGCCUUUUUUCUUGCGCAUUUUUUAUAUAUUAUUACAUAAGAUUAAUGAAAUAAGUAGAAGAUUCUUGAAAUAAUUAUAAGAUUAAUAUGGGAUUAAAAUUAAAUAUAUGAUUACUAAAGUUAUCAUUAUAAUUUUAGCCACCUAAAGUUAAGGUAUUCAUAUAUUGACUAUUCUAAUAUAAAUAAGAAGGUGGAGUGCAUACAAAUCACUCUAUUGGGAUGCUUGAAAUAUGUUAUUGUGUUAGUCUCACAUUGUCUAGUAUUGGAAUAGAGUAGAGUAAUCAAUGUUAUAUAUUAGAUUCAAGUCCCUUGUUAUAAUGUACACCAACUAUAAGCACCAAAUAGAAACACCCCAUGGGCAGGUGGGCUCAUCGGUGUAUUAGGGUUUGUAAUCCUUAUUCUCUAAUAAUAUCUUGGUAUUUGCUCAGCGCCCCCGGGGAUGUAGGCACAAUUCACCGAACCUCGUUACCAGAUUCUCUUGUUUCUUCUCUUCCUUUUAUUCUAUGCAUUUAUUUGAUUGUUUGUGGCCAACGCUGUGCAACGAUCGCUUUCGUUGUCCCAACAAUUAGUAUCAUAGCCAAUUGGCAGAUGGCUCAUAACCCAUACAUCAAAUAAUGGCUAAAGAUGGUGAAGUGUGAUGGCUAGACAAGGUGUGUCAAAGGUACUGGCAAAGAUAGAGUAGAUGAGUUGAAGGAGAAGAAAACAUGGCGGAACUAUGUUGAUCCAUAAUCCCAUAAAUUCAUGUACUAGAUUAGGAUCAAGGUGGAGAUAGGGACUCAUGUGUUGAGAGAAUGUUCUCAUUUGAGAUGAGAAGUGAAAUAUCCUAAUGGUGUGUUUGAGACGUCAUAGUGAAAGAUGUUAAUUGUUAGCAGAUCCAUAAAAGCAUAGAGGCGCUGAAUGAAUUUGAUGUAGGGUGUUAAAUGUGCAUUGGCUUUGAUGCAAGUUAUAACACGAGCAUUGGUAGAGAUGCAGGGGUGUGCCAUGGGCAUUGGCUUGCAUGCAAGGAUGUGACACAGACAUUAGUUAGCAUUGACACAAGGUAUAUGUUGUGGGUAUGCUCCUUAUGGUGAAGUAUGAUAGUUCUUUUGAACUAGGAUUGUCAGAGUAGACAAUAGUGGUAGCGGUUGAGGCUUUCCAACGAAGCUCCAAGAUUCAGUUUGACUGAAUAUUGAAGAGGACGAUUAUUGAUGAACUUUUGUGUACAAGUUCCAAUAUGUCGAAAGACUUCCUAGAAAUAGGUGGCUAGGUGGCGUGUUCCAUUUGAUGGCGGUACGAGAAGCUGCACUACAAGUUUGGAGAGCUAGGCUCUUGUUAACAUCGUCAAGAAUACUUAGAAGGUCUAUGUUGUCGGGGAGCAGUUAAAGAGAAUUAGACACUGAACAAGGUGGAGUCAUAUAUUCACUAAGGUGGAGAUUCUUGUACAGAUUUCCUAAGGAGCAAAAUAUUUGUCUAUUUCAAUCAAGGUGGAGAUUGUUGGGGAUGCUUGAAAUAUGUUAUUGUGUUAGUCCCACAUUGUACAGUAUUAGAAUAGGGUAGAGUAACAAUGUUAUAUAUUGGACUCAAGUCCCUCGUUAUAAUGUGCACCAGAUAUAAGCACCAAAUAGAAACACCUCAUGGACAAGAAGUAGGCACAAUUGGCCGAAACUCGUUACCAGAUUCUCUUAUUUCUUCUCUUCUAUUUAUUUUGUGCACGUUAUUUGAUUACUUAUGACCAAUGUUGUGCAAUGAUCGAUUCCGCUGCACCAAAAAUAAUUUGUCUAUUGAAGUUGAUAUUAGAGCCCAUAUCCCAUAGUUCUAACAAAAUAUGGAGAAAUCAUAAUCAUUCUUAUAUGUCCUCUGAACUAGCCCUAUUAAGGUUAAUUUGUAAGCUCUUACCAAACUAUUCCAUUUUUCUCUGCCCAAUUACAUUUUGAAUAGCCUCUUUGUUAAACCAUUUUGUCAUGGUUGUCCAUCGACACUCAACCUCAAAUAUUUCGGUGACCGGAGGAAGAGACAACUAUUAGAACUUCUGACAAUUUAUGAGUCACAAGUAUAAUUCUAUAAUUGUGUUAUGACCAUUAUGUAAUUAGCCAAAAUAUAAAAUGAUCUUCAGUAAUUAAUUUGGUGGCUAAGGGCAUAUGUGUCAUGAAAUAAUAAUAUAAGUGUAGAUAUCUUCAGGUAAUUUCUGAUUUGAUGAAGGGACUGAAUCAGAAUUAUUGCAACUUAAGUAGUAACCACAACGGGGUUACUUUUAUGUGUUAUGGUCCCCAUUUGUAGAGAAACAGGUUUUAAGGUGUAGGCUUAAGGAGAAUACAGGUGGAUUAGGAUAGUGUUAUCCAUAGGGAUAAAACACUAUCCUAGUUAUCCACAUCUAGAUAUAAGGAACUCUCCUCAUAAGAAACCCUCUCUCUCACCAUAAGGCAAAAAAGCAUACAAGGAAAGAGCUCUCUCAUUCCCCUCUAGAGAAGCAUAAGGAAACCAUUUGGCACUCUAACAUCUGGAAGAUCAUCGCACCCUCAUACCUUCGAGAUUCCGGAAAUGGCUCAACAAGGUAUGUUCUUCUUCUUCACCAUGAACAUUUGGGGUUUCUUCGGUCUGGACCAUGGUUGUUCCAUUUGGGUUUAUGUAUGGGCAUAAACAUUAGGUUAUGGGAACAAAGCCAUGCUCAUAAGGACUUCCGCGUUUAAUCUAUAGAUUUCGAAUCGAGAUAUUCUCCAACAACACCUACUCCAAAAAAUAUGGAAAGUGAAGCAAUGUCACAAGUCACUUUGCAAGGAGUACACAUCAAAUUAUUCUUUUAAGCAAUGAAUACAUGGAUUAUUUGCAUUUUAAAGCGACGCGACAAGCCUCCUCAUCUCUAACCACUAUGACCUAUACUACUAAGUCUAUGAUUUGUCUCUUAAUAAUCUUGUGUCGAAUCCUGUAUAUUGCAUUUCAUUGCUUCUGAUAAUAUUGUAGGUAACCCUUCUCUUUUCUCAAAAUUAACACAACCCAAAACACCAUAAUAUAUAGUAUUGCUAAUUUCCCUACUUAAGUUUAAAUUUAGUUUUAAAUUUAGUUUUACUCAUAUUUGGUUGUCCCUUUAAUUUGGUCUCGAUUAGUCAAGUCACGUGUAAUUUUAGUUGAUCUAUAUUGUGAAGAAGAUAUUUGCUCUUGACUUUGACACGGUUUUGAUGAAGACACCAACAUCACCAAAAUGAAGAAAAGGAAGAAUACUUAUGAAGACAAUGAAGAUUCAAGCUUCAAGAUAUUCAAGACUUUUAGUCUAAGUCUAAAUAGGUACUCUUAUCUUAUACUCUUGAUUAUACAAUAGUAGUAAUGCUCAAACUAUUUUUAAAAGAAAAUUGAAACACUUCAAAAUACUUCAAACAAUUUUCAAAAAUAGUGUGUAACAGGUUACUUCAUCUAAGUAACAUGUUACGUGUGUGAGAAAAGAGUUAUCCAACUUAAAACUGAUCAGAGUAAUUCAUUACUAUAUUUGAGUAACAUAUUACCAGUGUUAUUAAAGUUGAGUAACUGAUUACUCAACUUGCUAUAAUCGAUUACUCUAAUUCGAAAAUAAAUGAUCAGUGGACAGGACAUUUGGGUAAUUGAUUAGUCAAUGCUGUAAUCGAUUACUGAGAGUUGUUGCAUCAGAUUUUCAAAUUCAAAGUGAAUGAGUUUCAACCCAAAAGACAUGGUUUCAUUCCAAUCAAUUUCUACCCUUUCAAAGAGACAUUUUUUUGCUGAUUGGAAAGCCUAUAUAAAGGUAUUAAAACUCACAAUCACAACACACAACAUAUACACAACUCUCAUACAAAUUUCAAAAGCUCUUACACACAUUCUGAAAUUAUUUUCUACACUUUGGGCAACAAGUUCUUAAACUUUCAAAGUUGAUUUUUCUGAAGUUGCUUAAAGUGAAAAUGUUUCAAGUUUACAAACUUAUAAAGAGCAUUAUUACUAAGUAUACAAAAGAGUUGAUUGGAUUGCAAGUUACAUCACUUUCAUACUUGUAAAUAUUGUUGAACAUUCUUCAUCAUUAUUGCAGAAUACUUUCCUUUCACGGGGUGUGAUAAGAAAGGGGUUUGGAAUCACUUGGAAAGGUGUUUUCCAAAGGUGAAUAAGGAUUAGGGAGUGUGUAAGGUACAUAGAGAUCUCGGGGUGAGAUAUUGUAAUUGCAACUCAUAAUCUUUAGUGGAAAAAUCUCUUGUGCUACAAGAGUCCUGGACAUAGCCUUCAGUGGACAAGAAGGUGAACCAGUAUAAAAAUAUUUGUGUAUUCUCUUCUCCAUUAUCUCUUUGAUUUUACUUUUUAAUUUUCUGCAUAUAUUUUCCGCUGAACUUUAACUCUUGAUUUUGCAGAAAAAGUGGCUAUUAUUUUAAGUAAACUAAUUCAUUCAUCUCUUAGUUGCAAUCUCAAUCUCACAAGUUCAUCAUCUUCUAUGAUACUAAAACCUCAAACCAGAUAGUAAAUCAAGCUACAUAAAAAGCCAAUCCACAUGUUAUUGCCAAGUUUACAUAUAGUCUAUUUAACUGAAGGACAACUGGUAUAAAAUAUAAUUUGCACUCCAAGCUUUGUUGGAGAGUGCUAUGAUUUCUGGAAAAUCAGAAUGAGAAUCUUUAUAGAAUCUCAAGACUUGGACAUAUGGAAUGCGAUUGAAGAAGGACCCUAUGAACCCUUCACAAUUAUCAACAGGGUAAGGGAAGUGAAGCCGAAAUCUUCAUGGAAUUAUGAAGACAAAAAUAAAGUGCAAUACAUCUUUAAAGCCAAACACAUUAUUGUGUCGGCUCUAGAAGAAAAAUAAUUCCUUAGAGUGUCAAGUUGAAAAACAACGAAAGAAAUUUGGGACACUUUAGAAAGGAUACAUGGAUCCAAAGAAGUACAAAGGUCUACAACGAAUAGUGAAACAUCAACAUCAAAGCAAAAAUCUAUAUGCAGAAAACCAGAUCAUCUUGAAUGUGCUUGUCCAGCCCUACAAAAGCAUCAUACUUUCAAAAGAAAGAAGGACGAGAAGCGUAGAAGAACAAAUGUUAUAUCAGAAUAUAAAGAUGAUGGUUCAAAUGCAAAACUCAGAAUUCAGGAGCAAUCACAUAUUUCCUUGAUGGCUUCACACAAUUCAAAUGAUGAUUAUGAGGUUAAUAACUCUAAACCAAAUGACACUUUUUCAUAGGAUGAGUUACAAAAUGUUGUCAAUGAAUUACAUCAAGAAUAUGUUAAGAUUUCCAAACUUUUCCUAAAACAGAAAAAUGAAAUUUUUAUUUUAAAAAGCCAUAACAAAGUUCUAAAGAAAGAUAUUGAAAAACCUACUUCUUCCUCGUGUCAAAAAUGUGUUGCUCUUAAAACUAAAGUUUCAACAUUAAGUCUUGAACUUAAUAAACUCAACAAGAGUAGUCACAAUUUAGACAAGAUCAUAAAAUUCCAAAUACAUUCAACAGACCGUAGAGGUCUUGGCUAUGCAAAUAGUCGUGUGGCUAAAAAUGGGAUUGUCUUUGGAAAAACAAUCGUGGGAAGCACUAUGAUGUUUCAUAAAGAAAGUGUCCAUACUAAUCCUAUUCUUAAAAUAAAAUAUUGGAUGCAUAAACAUCUACCUACAUGUUCUUACUGUGAUAAAAUUGGUCACACACCUAACACUUGUCAUAUUAGAAAAUAUGGUGUGUCAUCUGACCAAUAUAAAUGGAUAGAAAAAGGUGCUAACCCCGCAGGACCCAAAUCAUAUUGGGUACCUAGAAAAUAUUUUUAAUUUAUUUUGCAGGAAAAUUUGAGAGUCGCCUGCAACUUAUGGUACUUGGACAGUGGCUGCUCAAAACACAUGACAGGCGAUAGAAACAAGUUUGAUGUCGUUACUCCAAGGGACAAAGGCUAUGUCAUGUAUGGUGAUAACAACAAGAGAAAAAUUCUUGGAGUUGGUAUAAUUGGCAAGCCACCCUCAACAACUAUAGAAGGUGUACUAUAUGUUGAAGGACUCAAGCGCAACCUUCUAAGCAUAAGUCAAUUAUGUGGCAAAUGCUUCCAUGUGGUAUUCUACCCAGAUAAGUGCAUCAUUGAAAGUAAUUCUCAAAACUCUAAGCUUGUUGGUAAAAGUAUAAAUAAUAUAUAUAUGAUUGACAUAGAUUUAUCUUUAUCAAUAACAUGUUUAGUUGCAAAUGAUAAUCAUGAUGCAUGGCUUUGGCAUAGGAGAAUUGCUCAUAUACAUAUGUGCCAUUUAAAUAAACUUAUUAAGGAAGAUUUAGUUGUUGGUUUACCCAAAAUGGAGUUUGUUAAAGACAAACUAUGUAGUGCUUGUCAAAUGGUAAACAAACAAAAACAUCUUUCAAACCUAAGCAUAUGGUUUCUUCCGAUAGACCAUUACAAUUACUNNNNNNNNNNNNNNNNNNNNNNNNNNNNNNNNNNNNNNNNNNNNNNNNNNNNNNNNNNNNNNNNNNNNNNNNNNNNNNNNNNNNNNNNNNNNNNNNNNNNCUUAGUUCAUAAGAAUGAGGCAUUCAAAUACUUUAGUGUUUAUGCUAAAAGAGUCCAAAAUGAAAAAUUACUAAAAAUCGCUGCUAUAAGAAGUGAUCAUGGGGGAGAAUUUCAAAACUCUUCUUUUGAAGAAUUCUGUAAUGAUCUUGGCAUCAGUCACAAUUUUUAUGCUCCUAGAACACCACAACAAAAUGGUGUUAUAGAGAGAAAGAAUCGGUCUUUAGAAGAAACGGCUCGUACUAUGUUGAAUAAAACUAACCUCCCAAAAUAUUUCUGGGUUGAUGCAGUAAGUACUGCAUGUUAUGUUUCAAACCGAGUUCUUAUAAGACCAAUUCUUAAGAAAACCCCCUAUGAACUCUUUAAAGGUAGAAAACCAAACAUUUCUCAUUUGCAUGUAUUUGGUUGUAAACGCUUUGUUUUGAAUUAUGGUAAGGAUAACUUAGGAAAAUUUGAUGCAAAAGCUGAUGAAGGCAUCUUCCUAGAAUUUUUAAUAAAAGAAUUCUAGCCAUGGAAGAAUCCGUUCAUGUAUCUUUUGAUGAAACCAAUCCUGAGAUAAAGGAUGGGUUAACUCCUAAUGAGGAGGAAUUUCCAAGUUCUUCUACAAAUGAAAUUUCAAUUAUUGAACCUACAACUGAUACUAAGCAUUUGAAAAUGAAUGAUAAUCUACCCUAUCAAGAGGAACAUAUUCAUUCAGAGUUACCAAAAGAAUGGAGAACUCAUCAAUACCAUCCUAUUGAUAACAUUAUUAGUGAAUUAAAUUCGGGUAUCACUACCUGGCGAAUGCUUGAUAAAACAUGUCUAAACAUGGCCUUCGUCUCUCAAAUAGAGCCCUCCAAGAUUGAUGAAGCAAUCGAGGAUGAACACUGGAUUCUUGCUAUGCAAGAAGAAUUAAACGAGUUUGAGAUAAAUGAAGUUUGGGAACUUAUUCCUAGACCAAAAAUCAAGCAUAUUAUUGGAACUCGGUGGGUAUUUCGUAAUAAAUCUGAUGAAAAUGGUAUUAUUGUUAGGAAUAAAACUAGUCUAGUAGCCAAAUGAUACAAUCAUGGAGAAGGUAUAGACUUUGAUGAAACCUUCGCUCCGGUUGCUAGACUUGAACCUAUUAGGCUAUUACUUGCAUAUGCAUGCUCUUUGAAUUUUCAGUUAUAUCAAAUGGACGUAAAGAAUGCUUUCCUCAACGGCUACAUUCAAGAAGAAGUGUUUGUUGAACAACCUCAUGAUUUUGAAGAUUACAAACUUCCUUCUUACGUGUACAAAUUAAAGAAAGCUCUUUGCGGCUUAAAGCAAGCUCCUCGUGCAUGGUAUGAUCGUCUAACUAAAUUUCUACUUGAAAAAGGUUUCAACAAAAGAAAGGUCGACACUACACUCUUUAUAAAAAGAAUAAAUCAUCAUACUUUAGUUGUUCAAAUUUAUGUAGAUGAUAUUAUUUUUUGUUCUACUAAUGAGGUUUUGUGUAGUGAAUUUGGCAAAAUGAUGCAAGGAGAGUUUGNGUUUGAAAUGUCUAUGAUGGGAAAAUUAAAUUACUUCCUUGGACUUCAAAUCAAACAACUUGAUAAUGGCAUUUUCGUAAGUCAAUCCAAGUAUUGUAGAGAUUUGCUAAAAAGAUUUGACAUGGAUGGGUGCAAGCCAAUAGCUACUCCUAUGGGAUCCGGUAUUUACAUUGAUAUGGAUGAAGUAGGAAAAAGCAUUGAAAUAUAAAAGUAUCGAGGUAUGUUUGGAUCUCUUUUAUAUUUAAUUGCCAGUAGACCUGAUAUCAUGUUUAGUGUAUGUCUGUGUGCAUGCUAUCAAUCUAAACCAAAAGAAUCACACUUAGUUUCCGUUAUGAGAAUCAUGAAAUAUAUUAAGAUUACAUCUAAUGUUGGGUUGUGGUAUCCAAAAGGAAGUAUAUGUGAUUUGGUUGGUUAUUCAUAUUCAGAUUUUGCUGGGUGCAAAUCUGAAAGGAAAAGCACAAGUGGUACUUGUCAUAUUUUGGGAAAUGCUUUAGUCUCAUGGUCUUGCAAGAAACAAGCAUAUGUUGUCCUAAGCACUGCUGAAGCUGAAUAUAUAGCAGCAGGUAGUUGUUGUGCCCAAGUGUUUUGGCUUAAACAAAAAUUACGAUAUUAUGGCUUAGACUUGGGGUGUACUCCUUUAAAAUGUAACAAUACUAAUGCUAUAAACCUCACAAAGAAUCUUGUUAUGCAUUCUAGAACCAAACACAUUGAUAUAAGGCAUCACUUCCUUAGGGACCAUGUCCAAAAGAAGGACGUAUUUGUAAAAUUUGUUGAUACUCACAACCAACUAGCAGAUAUAUUCACUAAACCAUUGGCAAAGGAACCUUUUUAUAAAAUUAGACGAGAAUUAGGCAUUCUUGAUGAAGUAUACUUAUCUUAAAUGCUUAUAUAUGAUUAUAUGUUUGCUUCAUUAUAUCUAUUUCAUGCCUACUUGAACUUAAAUGUGUUUAAUUACGUUUAAAAAUUUCAAUUUUUGGGUUAAAAAUCCUUUCACUAAUCUUUUCUACAUGUUGGUCAACGUUACCUUCAUUGCGGAUACUCCUUACUUCAGUAAUUCAAUGACCUCGAAGUUCAUUUGUCAAGUACUAUAUUUUCCUCUAGAUUAUAAACAACUAGUAUUUGAUAGCUCAUUGGUACCAACAUUGCCACCUAUAUCACCAAUGCCAUCAGCAUCAACUAUGUCACAACUCCUCGUCCUAUUAUUAUUCAUUAGUGAUGCCCACAUCAUGAACAAAUUGAGGUUAUUGAUCAUAAUCCAGAUCUAUGUGAUUCCAUUCAAGCUCAACCAUCUCCACUAGCUUUGGGUCCACUCUCACCUUCCAUUGAUGUACCCAUCCCCUUUAUUAAAAAUAUACACUUUACUCAUCCCUCAUCCUAUAUAUAAGACUGUACUCAUAACUCUACUCGUAUCCUCUUUCUCAUUACGUUUUUCUUUUCGCUCUUUCCUAUGUUUCUAUCCCUAGAAUUGGACUACAAGCACUUUUAAAUCUUGGGUGGUGUCUCACCUUCCAUUGAUGUACCCAUCACCUUUAUUAAAGAUAUACACUUUACUCAUCCCUCAUCCUAUAUAUAAGACUAUACUCAUAACUCUACUCGUAUCCUCUUUCCCAUUACGUUUUUCUUUUCGAUCUUUCCUAUGUUUCUAUCCCUAGAAUUGGACUAGAAGCACUUUUACAUCUUGGGUGGUGUCACACUAUGAUUAGUGAGAUAAAAAAUUUAGAAUCCAAAUGCACUUGGACUCUUGUCCAUCUUCCAUCAAAGAAAGCUAUAGUGGGUUGUCGAUGGGCCUUUGUUAUCUAUGUAGACCCAAAUGGUGAGGUUGGUUAUUUAAAAGCUCGAUUGGUGACUAAGGACAAGACUCAACAAUUUGGUAUUGACUACGAUGAGACUUUUUUCUCUUUAUCCAAAUUUUUUAUGGUCGUCUCUUCAUCUAUAUGGAAAUCAAGAAUCUUUUUUCUUAAUUUGGAGUUGUUGGAAGAGUUUACAUGUAGCAACCACCGAGAUUUAUUGCUCAGAGGGGUGUCAUGGAUUUGUGUACAGGCUAUAUGAUGUAGGCCAAGGAUGGGCACCCUAAGAUUUUAAUAACAAGGUUUGGAUUAAUGCAAGAAGUGAAGGAUUAAGGGUUAUUGGAUUGAUAAUAGUGCGUCAAAUAAUUAAAAUAAAUGAUGAAUAUGGAAGGUUCGUAUUUGACUGAUCGAGGCCGUACCCGAUACAAAUAAUAUAACAAUUAAAACUGUAGUACUAGGAAGUGACUCCUAGGUCGUUUCCCAAGGAUUAUCUUUCAAGCAAAGUUUCAAACACCUUAUACUCACACACACACAAGGGGGUUUUUGUUGUUGGAUAGUAUGAACAUAAAUCAAAUUCAGAAACAGUAGUUACACAAUGUAAUAAAACGACUAAAUCCCUUUGGUUCGUUUGUUCACAACUCAAUCCUCGGUUUCAAAAGAUUAUUUUCAGAUUCAAACCAUUAACUUCUGAAUUUUUUGAGAAUCAAUUAACUAAGCGAUAAUCAAUUCAAAGUUCCAGAACCUAAACCUCAAACUAGGNNNNNNNNNNNNNNNNNNNNNNNNNNNNNNNNNNNNNNNNNNNNNNNNNNNNNNNNNNNNNNNNNNNNNNNNNNNNNNNNNNNNNNNNNNNNNNNNNNNNAGCAGAGCAAAAAGAGGGAAAACGUAAAUGACUUUGUGUUUCAAAAUGAGGCAAAAAUAGAGUAGGGAAUCCGAAUUUAACCCCUCCAACACACAUAAACCAAAUUUGGCCUAAACAAUGAGCCCAAAGCUAAAUUACAAUAAAAAUAACUCCUAAAUUAAAAAUACAAUCUUCACUUCAACACAUAUCCUCGACUUCCAUAAUUCCCAAAAUGCCAUUGGUGUCAAAUGUGAUAUGAAAUUGGUAAUAGAUAUAAUCAGUCCAAUUGAUCCCAAAUUAACUCAUUUUAGGAAUAUUAGUCCAAUAAAGUCUAAAACACUAAACCAUGUGAAACAAAGUCAAUUAGGCACCAAGAAUCAUCAAUCAUGCUAAAGUUAUGAAUAGUGUGUAAUAUAUUGCUCAUCAAAUACCCCCACACUUAACCUUUUGCACUCAUGGGCAAAAUCAAGAAAUAAGGCUAUGAUAACCAACAUGCACCAAAGUGAGUCAUUCAAGAAGAUCACAAAAACUAGAAACUUAAGAAAAUCACAUAUUUCACAAUGAAAUCUAGGAAAUGCAAUGAAAUGGGCAAAUUCAAACACACGAGUAAAAGAAUCAAAUCAAGAUANNNNNNNNNNNNNNNNNNNNNNNNNNNNNNNNNNNNNNNNNNNNNNNNNNNNNNNNNNNNNNNNNNNNNNNNNNNNNNNNNNNNNNNNNNNNNNNNNNNNGCAAGUAAUCAAGAGUGCAAUCACACAUGAAAGAAUAUUAGAUGACAUACAACAAUCCAUCCACAAUUAAGGCUCAAAUUCUCACAAGGGACAAGUCUAUCACAAUUGUUUCCACCUCUUAAUUCUCAAAAGCAACUUCACAUACAGGAAUGCAUGGAUUCACACCACAAGAUAUCAAGACUUAAGUCAAUGAAAGUAUGGGAGAAAAUGCCCAAGCCUAAGCAAAACCUAAAAGUCAAAGAAAAACAUGCAUCAACAAAACCUACAACCUAGAAUAGUCUCCCCCCACACUUAAACUACACAUUGUCCCAAUGUAGCACAAUCAUAAAAUCCAAACAUACAUAUCAAUCAAUGAAAUUUGACAAGUGCAAUAAAAAGUAGAGAGGAGAAAGAAAAACUCCCUAAUUCAUGGAGGGAGGAAAGUNNNNNNNNNNNNNNNNNNNNNNNNNNNNNNNNNNNNNNNNNNNNNNNNNNNNNNNNNNNNNNNNNNNNNNNNNNNNNNNNNNNNNNNNNNNNNNNNNNNNGAAGAUGACAUGCUUUACCAAAGACAACCCGAUAAGGAGACAUCCCUAUGGGUGCCUUGUAAGCAAUCUUAUGUUUCCAAAGAGCAUCCUCAAGUCUGUUGCUCCGAUCCUUUCUGUUAGGCUGCACCCUCUUCUCCAAAAUCCUCUUUAUCUCUAUGUUUGAAAUCUCAGCUUGCCCAUUACAUUGGGGGUGAUAAGGUGUGGAAACUCUAUGAACAACCCCAUAUUUCUUGAGCAUAGCUUGCAUGGAUCUAUUGCAAAAGUGGGUUACUUGGUCACUAACAAUGGCUCUGGGUAUACCAAACCUGCAAAUAAUGUGAGACCUAACAAAAUCCAUAACAACCCUAGCAUCAUUAGUCCUGGUGGCCUUAGCUUCCACCCAUUUAGAAACAUAAUCAACAGAAAGUAGAAUAUAGUAAAAGCCAAAAGAAACAGGAAAUGGACCCAUGAAAUCAAUACCAUGAAAUCAAUACCUCAGACAUCAAAUACCUCGCAAAACAACAUAGGUAGUUGAGGCAUCUCUUGUCUCCAAGAANNNNNNNNNNNNNNNNNNNNNNNNNNNNNNNNNNNNNNNNNNNNNNNNNNNNNNNNNNNNNNNNNNNNNNNNNNNNNNNNNNNNNNNNNNNNNNNNNNNNUCUCUGAUAGGCAUCAUAUCUACAACCUCUUCCAUCCUGCUCAAGAGGUCAACCACCAAAUUUUGUGCUCCACUCCUGUCACGGAUCUCCAAAUCAAACUCUUGGAGCAAGAGCAUCCAUCUAAUCAACCUUGGUUUGGAAUCAGCUUUCUUCAAUAGGAACUUCAAAGCUGCAUGGUCAGUGAAAACAACAAUUCUAGAACCAAGCAAGUAAGACAUAAACUUAUCCAGAGCAAAUACAAUAGUUAAAAGCUCUUUUUCAGUUAUGGUGUAAUUUGCUUGUGCAGUAUCUAAAGUCCUAGAAGCAUAAUAAAUUACCCUAGGCAGUUUGUCUACUUUUUGAGCAAGGAUAGCUCCCAAUGCAUAAUUAGAAGCAUCACACAUCAGCUCAAAAGGGAUUGUCCAAUCAGGUGUUUGGAUAAUAGUAGUGGUGGUCAAGGCUAUCUUGAGGCAAUCAAAUGCCUCCAUACAUCUCUCAUUAAAAUCAAAGACCACCUCCUUUUGCAAUAGGUUGGACAGUGGAAGAGCCUUCUUGCUAAAAUCUUUAAUGAACCUGCGAUAGAAACCUGCAUGACCAAGAAAAGAACGAACCUCUCGCACACAAGAGGGGUAAGGCAAUUGUGAAAUAACAUCUAUCUUGGCANNNNNNNNNNNNNNNNNNNNNNNNNNNNNNNNNNNNNNNNNNNNNNNNNNNNNNNNNNNNNNNNNNNNNNNNNNNNNNNNNNNNNNNNNNNNNNNNNNNNUCUCUAAAAAGUCACUGAAAAUGCUCACCAUACACCACUGGAAUGUACCAGGGGCAUUGCAUAGGACAAAAGGCAUCCUCCUAUAGGCAAAAGUGCCAAAGGUGCAGGUGAAUAUGGUCUUCUCCUGAUCCUCGGGAGCAAUAUGGAUCUGGAAGUACCCAGAAAAACCAUCAAGAAAACAAUAAUGAGAUUUAUCUGUUAAGCGCUCAAGCAUCUGAUCAAUAAAUGGUAAGGGAAAGUGAUCCUUUCUUGUUGCUUGGUUGAGCCUCCUAUAAUCAACGCAGACUCUCCAACUGCUCUAAACUCUCAUAGGAAUCAACUCAUCUCUCUCAUUUCUCACCACUAUAAUUCCUGUCUUCUUUGGAACCACCNNNNNNNNNNNNNNNNNNNNNNNNNNNNNNNNNNNNNNNNNNNNNNNNNNNNNNNNNNNNNNNNNNNNNNNNNNNNNNNNNNNNNNNNNNNNNNNNNNNNUGCCUUCUUAUGCUUCUUCAACACUUGCAACAACUUCUCCUCUUGAUCAGCAUCAAGGGAGGUGGAAACAAUAACAACAAGCUUCUCAUCAUCCUCUAAGUGAGCAUACUUGAGGUUUUCAGGCAAAGGUUUAAGCUCCAAUACAGCCUGCAAAACAGAUGGAACCAAAGUAGCAGACAUAGAUUCUGCAGCUUGCACCUGGACAAGUAAAUCAGAUUGUUGUAUGAUGUCUGCAGCAAUUGAGUUAGUGCAAUCUGAUUCUACAAUAUUUGAAUCAACAGAAAUAUGCAGAAACUCAUCAAUACAAGAAUUACACAUUUCAGAAUCAGUGCAUGUAGGACAAGCGUAUGAGUCAAUCAAUGACAUAGAAUCAAAAUCAUUAAGGAAAUCACAGAUAUGCUCAUUAGUUAACUCAUCAAGUAAAUCAAUAUGAAACACAGAAUGGUCCUCAGAUGGAUGCUUCAUAGCAUCAAAAAUAUUAAACCGGACCACAAUAUCACUAAACUCCAUAGAUAAUGUUCUAAAAUGGACAUCUAUCUUAGUUUGGGCUGUUCUAAAAAAUGGCCUCCCCAAAAUGAUAAGAACUGUGUUACGGGAGGAUCUCUGUUCCAUAUCGAGAAUAUAAAAAUCAGCAGGAAAAAUAAGUUCAUCAACCUGAACCAAGACAUCCUCUAUCAAACCAGCAGGGUAAGCAAUACUCUUGUUUGCUAAUUAAAUCGCUACCCUAGUGGGUUGCAUAGGUCCAAGUGAAAGAGACACAUGAAAACAGACAUAAGCAUAACAUUAAUUGAAGUACCUAGAUCUAGCAUGACAUUCUCAAAUUUGCUAUUACCUAUUAUGCAAGUUACAGCAUAUGUACCUGGGUCCUUACAUUUUUCAGGAAUGUGAGGAACAAGUUUACCUAUUAGUGCUGAAACAUUUCUGCCCAAGCUGAUCCUCUCAUUACCUUUGAGCCUCCUCUUGUGAGUGCACAACUCCUUUAGAAAUUUUGCAUAUCUUGGAAUUUGUUUGAUUGCAUCAAGUAAAGGUAUGUUCACCUCUACCUUUCUAAAUGUGUCCAAGAUCUCCUUGUCUACCUCUUCCAUAUUCUUACUUUGAAUGGCUCCUGGAGGAAAUGGAAGAGGAAUGGAAGAUGGUUGUGCAGCACUUGUGGAAGGUUCACUAGCAAGAAUUUGUUCACUAGUGUUCUCAGUCUCGUCUAAAACUGGUUGCAUUAUUUUUGAUGCAGCUAGAUCAACUUCAAUCGGCUGCUUCAUUUUUGAUGCAGCCAGAUCAACUUCAAUCUGUUUGCCUGACCUUAGAGUGAUGGCACUCACAUUCUUCGGGUUGACCACAGUUUGGGAAGGCAACUUAUCAAAAUUCUGAGAGUGCAAUGUUUUUAAUGAAGUAGCCAUCUUCCCCAUCUGAGUGGUCAAAUUCUGAAUGGAGGACUCUUGUCUCUGAAUGGAAGCUCUGGUCUCUUGCUGGAAUUGCAUAUUCUGCAAUGUCAUUUGCCUCACCAAUUCUACUAAUGAUAUGCAGGAGGAGGAUUGUUAUUCACUUGUUGUUGCCUCUACUGUUGGAUUGGGGAAGGCACAUAUGGUCUAUUUUGUGCAACAUUAUUAUUCUGAAAUGGUGGCCCUGGAUGAAGCUGCGAAGGAUCAUACCAUCCAAGAUUCGGAUGAUUCCUCAAACCAGGGUUGUAUCUGCUUGAUGAAGGAUCAUAAUUCUGUUGUUGUUGUUGAGGUCUGUUGUUGUAAAUAUUUGCAACAUAGGCCUCAGGAUGGUCACCAGUUUUGGGCUCCAANNNNNNNNNNNNNNNNNNNNNNNNNNNNNNNNNNNNNNNNNNNNNNNNNNNNNNNNNNNNNNNNNNNNNNNNNNNNNNNNNNNNNNNNNNNNNNNNNNNNCACCAGUUUUGGGCUCCAAGAGAGAAGGACAAACAUCAGCAUAAUGGUCAGUUGCGGUGCAAAUGCCACAAACUCGUGCUGCAAGUGGAGGUUUCUGCUGAUUCAUGGCAAGUUGAGUGACCAAGGUAGCAAGGGAGUCAAUUUUUUUCUCAAGUUUAUCUUGCCUCACCGAAUCUGUCCCAACAUUAUGGACACCUCUGACCACUAUAGCAUCACUACUUCUUGCACUGAACUGUUGAGAAUUGGAAGAUAUCUUCUCAAUCAAACCUCUAGCCUCACCACCACUAGCAGCAUCAAUUAUAUUCCUCUCUAUGUUGUUUAGACCCUCAUAGAAAUAUUGCAGGAGGAGUUGUUCAGAGAUCUGAUGAUGGGGCAGCUUGCACAUAGUCUCUUGAAUCUCUCCCAAUAUUCAUAUAAACCUUCGGCAUGUAGUUGUCUGAUUCCAGAAAUAUCUUUUCUAAUUGCAGUGGUCUUGGAGGCAGGAAUGAAUUUUUCAAGGAAGAUUCUCUUCAGGUCAUCCCAACUAGUAAUAGAACCAGGGGCCAAGUAAUACAGUCAAUCUUUUGAAGCGCCCUCAAGUGAAUGUGGGAAUGCCUUCAAACAUAUGUGAUCUUCUUGGACAUCACGAGGCUUCAUGGUGGAACAUACAAUGUGGAACUCCUUAAGAUGCUUAUGAGGACAUUCACCUGCAAGUCCAUGAUAUGUGAAAUCAGGUGCAGCCAGCUCCCUUAAUGUCCUCUCACGUGGGAUUGGAGGUGGUUCAGCCAUAUUUCCAGAGUAUGCAACAGAAUGCACAGAAACAGCAGAAUGCACAGAAACAACAGUAUUCAAUAUGUGAUGAAACAAGUGUGGAAACAAAGUUUCAUGCAAAAAUUCCAACCACAGCUAUAUUAACCAACAUACACCCGAAUCAACCAACAUACAAAUAGCUAAACAAGACAGCAAACAACAAACAGUUAAUGCUACAGGCAGAUUUUGAAACCCGAAUAGAAUGGUUAUUCUAAGACACACACUAAACUAUACUAAGAACCUUUGACAAGAACCGAUAAUACCCGGCAACGGCGCCAAAUUUGAUCGAGGUCGUACCCGAUACAAAUAAUAUAACAAUUAAAACUGCAGUACUAGGAAGUGACUCAUAGGUCGUUUCCCAAUGAUUAUCUUUCAAGCAAAGCUUCAAACACCUUAUACUCACACACACACAAGACACACACAAUGGGGUUUUUGUUAUUGGAUAGUAUGAACAUAAGUCAAAUUCAUAAACAGUGGUUAAACAAUGUAAUAAAACGGCUAAAUCCCUUUGGUUCAUGUGUUCACAACUCAAUCCUCGAUUUCAAAAGAUUAUUUUCAUAUUCAAACCAUUAACUUCGGGAAUUUUUUUAGAAUCAAAUAACUAAGCGAUAAUGAAUUCAAAGUUUCAGAACCUAAACCUCAAACUAGGCGAAAUCAAUAUAAGCAUGAAUAACAGAACCUCAAGAGUUGUGAUACAUUACCAAAGGAACUUAGUCGAGAAAUUUAGUCGUGCAUGGCAAUGGAAAAACAAACCGAAAAUGAGAAAUGAAGAAGGGGUGAAACCCUAGCAGAGCAAAAAGAGGGAAAAUGGAAAUGUCUUUGUGUUUCAAAAUGAGGCAAAGUGAAGUAUGUGUGUUUGGAGUGGGGAAUCCGAAUUUAACCCCUCCAACACACAUAAACCGAAUUGGGCAUAACCAAUGGGCCCAAAGCUAAAUUAUAAUAAAAAAAAGUCCUAAAUUAAAAAUACAAUCUUCACUUCGACACAUAUCCUCGACUUCCAUAAUGCCCAAAAUGCCAUUGGUGCCAAAUGUGAUAUGAAAACGAUAAUAGAUUUAAUCAGACCAAAUAAUCUGAAAUUAACUCAUUUUAGGAAUAUUAGUCCAAUAAAGUCUAAAACACUAAACCAUGUGAAACAAAGUCAAUUAGGCCCCAAGAAUCAUCAAUCAUACUAAAUUUAUGAAUAGUGUGUAAUAUAUUGCUCAUCAAAUACCCCCAUGAAAGUGCGCAUAUCAAGAUAGCACUUUGGAAAGCUUUCUCUAUGUGUUUAAUUUUGAUGAGGAGACCUUGUGAUUAUGGAAGCUUGAAGAUCAUCAACAAAUCAACAUGCUUAAGUCUCUAGAUUGGUAUUAGACUUAGACUAAUAUUUAGUUUAGGUUGAGUCUAAGGCUUAGGUAAACUCUAUACAUGUCUCAUAUGCAUAAAACUUUAAAUCCUUUAAGUUUUGAGAUAUGUCAUUUAUAAUAUGUUCAUGCAUCAUAUAAAUACAUGUAAUCUGUGCAUNNNNNNNNNNNNNNNNNNNNNNNNNNNNNNNNNNNNNNNNNNNNNNNNNNNNNNNNNNNNNNNNNNNNNNNNNNNNNNNNNNNNNNNNNNNNNNNNNNNNUUCUAGGUGUAUUUUAGCAACUGAUACCUAACACCCAACACUUAACCUUUUGCACUCCUGUGAAAAAUCAAGAAAUAAGGCUAUGCUAAAGAGUAUUGCUUUGCAUUGAAGAGUUAAAGCAUCUAGGUUGACACGGUCGUGGGCUCAACCAUAUGGUCGGUUAACAUUUCAAUUUUCUUACAAUUUUCAGAAUAAUUGUAAAUUCCAUUUUGGAAUAAGUGGUUUUAGAACUUUCUAGGCAAAAGUCCAAAUUUUUAUUAUGUUGUAUGUGACAUUUGAAAAUUUUGCCUCUUUCUUAUCCCAAAGGAUUUAGUGAGGGACACUACAUUUAUUGCUUUCUUAAAACUUGUACUUUCAUUAAUGGGGGCUUCCUUCUUGUCUAUUUCAACUACUUAUAAAUAUACUUCCGUUUUGCUGAAUCAAUACAUAUUAAAAUCUAUCUUAAGCACAUUUCUUAGUGUAUAUUGUGAGAAGUGUUCUCCUUAGUUCUUAGUUGAACCGACUCAGAGACUUAUCGUCGAGCUAACAACCCUUCAUGGAGUUCAAGCAUUGGUUUAUCAAUCACCCUUGGUUGUGGCACCAUUUGAGGUCUUCAUUCCAUUUAGUACCUUCCACUCAUCCAUCUUCAAACUUGUUCUUUGAAUUACUGCAUGUUAUUUAAGUUAUCAUCCUACAGUCAUAAACACCAAAAUAUGAACCUUACAUAUUUAUCUAUGAUUUUAAUGAUAUCAAGCACUAGAUUUAAUCUUUCACGUCUUGGAUAAGUCCAAACCUACUAUUGGCACACAUCACUAUCUAAGUCUUUAUAUGACAUUAAACAGUCUCUCAAAGCAUGGUUCAACAACUUCAUAUAUGUUCUUCAAAAGUUUGGUAUGAUCCAUGGAGAUAAAUAUCACUUUGUAUUCCAUCAACAUUACUCCUUUGACCAAUGUAUUUCUCCUCUAGUUUAUAAUGAUGGAAUUGUCAUUACUGGAAAUGAUUACGGUAGAAUCAAACGUCUCGAGAAAUAUUUAUUCCAAUACUUUCAAACUAAAGAAUUUGGACCAUUGCAUUAAUUUCUUGGCAUUAAGGUAGCUCAAUCACAUCUAUUGUCAUAUUCUAGAUGAAUAUGUUCAAGAUAUCCUAAAGGACACAUGAAUGUUAGAUUGUAAGCCUAUUGAUACUCCAAUGGAUUGUAAUCUUAGACAUAUGUCAAAUUAAGGGAUACCAUAUUCAAACCCAGGAAGAUAUCGAAGACUUGUAGUUAAACUACAUUAUUUAACUAUGACCAUACCAUAUAAUCUUAGACAUAUGUCAAAUUAAGGGAUACCAUAUUUGUUGUAAGUGUUGUAAGUCAAUUUCUUAAAUUACCACCGGACAGACAUUGUGAUGCACUUAUUUGAAUCUUGAGAUACAUGAACGGGUCUCUUAGAAGAGGACUGGUAUAUGAGAACAAUGGUCAUAAUGAUAUUCUUGCAUAUAAUGCAUAUUGGGUUGGUUGUCCAAAUGAUAGGAAAUCAUCUUCAAGUUACCAUUUUUUCAUUGGUGGUAACUUAUCUCAUGGAAAAGCAAGAAUUGGAAUGAUAUUGCUAGAUCAAGUGCAAAGGCAGAAUAUAAAGCCAUGUAUCUUACUAUAGAAGAGCUAGCUUGACACAAACAUCUUCUCGCCGAGUUACAGUUCUAUAAACGUUGAAUCUACGAAUUUCAUUUGUGAUAAUUAGCCAACUUUACAUAUUACUUCUAGUCCAAUGUUUCAUGAACAGAUGAACAACAUAGAUAUAAAUUGUCGUUAUGUUCACAAAAAGGUUAUUGUAAGGGAGAUCAGUACACCAUUGUAGAAUUCCAAGGAUCCAUUAGCAGAUAUAGUCACUAAGUAUUUCUCAGGUCUAAUAUUAUCAUGAAGAGGGAUCUGUUUACACCCAAGUUAAGUUACACGGGUUACACUCAAUCUCAGGCAUCCAUUUUCUUAAAUCUAACGGACCAUAAGGGUAAGUGAAAUAAAUGAUGAGAGAGAAAAAGAGACAUCUUAAAUAACUUUUAAGUUUAACCCAUUUUGUCUGUUGGAUUUAAGAAAAUGGAUGGCUGAGAUUAAGUGUAACUAGUGUAACUUAACUUGGGUGUAAACGGAUCUCUCCUCUAUUAUUAUUAUACAUACAUACAUACAUACAUACAUACAUAUAUACAUACAUACAUACAUACAUACGUACAUACAUACAUACGUACAUAUAUGCAUACAUACAUACAUACAUACGUACAUAUAUGCAUACAUACAUACAUACAUAUAUAUGGAUAUAUAUAUGACAAGCUCAAUGCAUCCAACUUGAAGUGGAGCGAUGAGAUUAUUUAAAUAAAUAGAAGAUAUUUGAGAUGAUUAUAAGAUUCUAUAACUCAUUAGGAUUAAUAAAUGAUUAAUCAAAAUCACAUAAUCUAUUUAUCCUUUUGAUAUUAUUUCCAUAAAAUUAAGGAAUUCAUCUAUACACUCUUAUUCUACAAAUAAAAAAUGUUGAGUAGGUGUUUGAUGACGAAGUGAAAAUGAGAGAGAAAAUUCAAUAAUAGAGAAAAGAAAUGGGGAAUCCAUAUGAGAAAAAAGGAGCAAAAAGAAAAGGAGUGAACCCCAUGCGAGCAAACAGUUUCCUAGAUAAAGAGAAUGGAGUAAAGAGGAUAUUGCUUUCCAAACAGCCUCUUUAUAUUCUAUACUCUAAGAGCAACUUAACUUUUAUUCCUAAUAAUAAAACAAUGAUGCCUUUUGGCGUUAGUAAUGUUUUGCAGAACUUCAAGGAUGACUUCCAAAAAGAAGUUCCCAUGGGACUACCACCUCUGAGGGGAAUAGAUAAUCACAUGGAUCACAUUCCUAGAGCUUCAUUGCUCAACCUCCCUACCUAUAAGAGCAAACCAAAUGAAGUAAAAGAGAUUAAAAGGAAAAUGGGAGAGCUAAUGGACAAAGGGUGGGUCCGAUAAAGCACGAGUCUUUGUGUAGUUCUAUGAUUUUAGUACCAAAGAAAGAUGGUAAGUGGAGAAUAUGCACUAAGUAGAGAGUUAUUAAUAACAUCACCAUCAAGAACCAGUAUCUCAUACCAAGGUUAGGUGAUCUUCAAGAUGAAGUACAUGGUUCCCAAUAUUUCUCUAAACUUGAUUUAAGGAGUGGGUAUCAUCAAAUUCAAAUAAGGGAAGAGGAAGAAUGGAAAACAAACUUUAAAACUAAAUAUGGAUUGUAUGUGUGACUUCUUAUGCCUUUUGUGCUAAGAAAGAGGAUUGAUGGGGAACUUUGUGAUGAGAAAAUAUUAGACAUAUUGCAUGAGUACUUCUUUUGGCCACACAUGAGGUAUGAUGUGCACAAAUUCUAUGAAUUAUGCAUUGUUUGUGAGAAGGCAAAGUCAAAAGUGAAUCUCCUCUUAAUUCUCCUUGAGUUGACAUAUCGAUAGACUUUGUUUUGGGGUUUCCUAUGACAAAAGAUGGCAAUGAUUCAAUUUGUAUUGUUCUUGAGAUGUUUUCAAAGAUGGUGCAUUUCAUACAUUUCUUGAUGGUUUAUGAUGCAUGUCACAUAGCGGAUUUAUUCUUCAAAUAAAUUUUAAGAAUCUGUUGUCUACCAAGGAACAUUGUAGGUGAUAGAAACACCAAUUUUCUAAGUCACUUUUGGAGGAUAUUGUAGGUAAUAUCGAAACAAAUAGAAAACUGAAGGGAAAACCAAGGUUGUCAAAAGGACCUUAUAUACCUUCCGUAGGACUAUUCUAAAUAAAAAUGUCAAGUCUCUGGAAGAGUGCCUCCCACAUGUAGAAUUUGUUUACAAUCAGACAUUAUAUAGUACUACAAAUUAGGGGUGGCAAUUGGAUGGGUUUGGAUUUGGAUCCUAAUGGAUGGAUAGAAAAUUAUCCAUCAAUCCAAAUAAAUCCAUAACAUCAUAUUUUUAAAUUAUCCAAUCCAUCCAUAUCCAAUGGAUUUCAAUCCAUCCAUUCUAUCCAUGUAUCCAUUUUAAUGGAUUGGAUGGAUGGAUAUCCAACCCAUUUUUUUUUUAAUUUGAACAAAAUAUUUUAAUAAAUCAAUUUAAAGAAAAAAUUCUUUUAAAUAAUAUUAUUUAAUAAAGCAUUUUUAAAUAUCAAUUUUAAAAAAUAUUUUUCUUAACAAACACUUUUAAAAAGUGUUUUUUUAUAAGCAAUUUUAAAAAGGUGAAUUUGUGAAAAAUAUUUAUAAGCACUCUUAGUAGCAAUCUAAUGACCGAACCGAACACAAAGAUAUAGCUCGGUUUGAUUAACCGCAAAUUUUAUUUAGGAAUCGAACCGUUCAUUAGUGGUUCGGUUCCGCAGUUUUUGAACUUAUUUAAAGAAAAUCAUUUAAGAAAUAGUUUAACAUAAUUUAUAAAGUAUAAAGUCAACUAAAUGAACACUAAACACGUCAAUAAUAAAAUAUUUAAUACUCUUUCUAGUAAAACAAUAAUAAUUUAAUAUCUCAACGCACUACAAACUUGAAAUUUUAGUCCACAAAAUCUUCUAAAAUGUUCAAAAAAAUGUAAGAAUGACAAACUUGGUACCAAUAUUUUAGUCCAACAGUAACACCUAAUAAUCCACAUCAUUAGUAAUAUCCUCGAGUUCUUUCUUUAUUUUCUUUUAGUUAUUUAAUUUCUUUAUUUGAUUAAUUUCAUCUCUGAAUAGUUACAAAAUGUAUAUUAGUUUUAUUAGUUUUCUUUCUAUCUUCUCAAUGAAUAAUAGAGAUAAUAGAUAUUUAGGUUUGUUUACUAAUUUAUUUUUUCUAUUUACCUCUUAUUUAUAGACUAUUUUAUUAAUAAUCCUAAAUUUUUAAUCAUAUUUUAUCUCCUAAAUUUAAAGCUUAAUCAUCUAAAUAUAAAAUAAAAUUAUUUUUUAAUAUGCGGUUCAGUUCUAAUGGUUCCAAAAUUUAAAAAACCGUGAACCGAACCGAACUUAAAUGGUUCAAAAUUAAAAAAAAAACUGAAUCGAACUGCAUUUUAUGGUUCAGUUCGGUUUCAUCAGUUUUACGGUUUAAACCAGAACCACUUACACCCCUAAUUAUUGGGACUUCCAUAAGUUGUAUGCAACAAUUCAUCAUCUUGAAAUAUUUAAUUUUGUUAUUAUAUUAUAACAUUAGUCAAUAACCAAAAUGAUAUAUUUAUACUUUGCAUUAAGAUGUUAGGGUAAAGCACUAAGGUCGAAAUCGUUUAUACUUUUUUGAUAAACACUUUUUAAAAUCACAAUUGCAAUUUUCAACUUUUGUAAUGUGUGUGGGAUUGUGCUUAGAAAGGUGAGAGAUUUUUUAUAUUAAUAUUGAAUUAAUUGAAAAAAAAAUUGUUUUUAUUUUUAUUUUUAUUUUUAUUUUUUUGGAUGGAUUGGUUAUCCAUCUAAAUGGAUAUAACCAUGGAUAUCCAUUGGAUAUAAUGGAUGGAUUUGAAUCCAUCCAUUAUCAACACCAUCCAUUGGAUGAUAUCCAUUUAAAUCCAUUAGUUCUAAUGGAUGGGUUUGGAUGGAUUUAAUUUGGAUGGAUUUAGAUGGAUUUUGGAUUAUGGAUAAUUUUGCCACCCCUACUACAAAUUGUUCACCUUUAGAGUUUGUGUAUGGUUUUAGUCCAUUAACACCAUUUGAUAUAUUGCAUAUGCCUAACUAUUCAUUGUACAAGCAUAAAGACACACAAGCUAAAGUUGGCUUUCUGAAGAAGAUGCAUGAACAAGUGAAGGUCAUGUUGAGAAAAGAAUUGCUAGUUGUACCAAACAAGUCUACAAGGGAAGAAAGAAAGUGAUGUUCGACCCUAGAGCUUGGGUGAGUUUACACUUUAGGAAGGAAAAGUUCCUAGCUCAAAGGAAAUCAAAAUUAGAACCAAGGAUAGAUGACCCUUCCAAAGUGCUUAGCAAGAUUAGUGACAAUGCCAAAAAAUAGAUCUAUCGAGGAGGGGUGUUCGAAUCUAGACCGGUCCAGAAAUAAAACUAAAAAUCGAUCCAAAAUAGACCGAAACUGCAAAAAACUGAAUGUUGUUUGCAUUGCAUUUAUUUUUUAAUAACCGUUCGAUCCAGUUUUCGAUUUCACCUCAAGGAUCCAUACCAGACCGGAAUUGUUUAAGUGCACUAAUAUUGUUUUUGUUGUUGUCUUGUUGUUGUUGUUAUUGUUGUUGUUUUGCUAUUUUUGUUGUUUAUUGUUGUUUUUCCUAAUGUUUACUUUUAAUGUUGCUGGACACUUUUUUAAUGUUGUUUUGAUGUUGUUGAACACCAUUUUUGCUUUAUUAUGCUUAAUACUUGGUCAUUUUUAUGAGUUUUGAGUAUACCUGCAAUUUCAAUUUUAAAAAAAAUUCAAACGGAGCCGAAACGCAUAUAAUAUUUGGAUUGGAUGGGAUGAACAUCUCAAUAUAAACAUACCAGACCGGACCGGACUGCAUGUUACUUAUAUGUUUGAAUUAGAUGAUUUUUUUCUAAAAACCGAUCCAAAUGGACCGCAAACACCCCUACUACUAAGUGAUUACAAAAUGAGCUUCAUUUUCAAUGUUGUUGACCUAGCUUAGUUUUAAGAAACUGAUGACCAUCCAGAUUUGAUAACAAAUCCUUCCCAAGAAUGAAAGCGUGUCAUAAGAGCAAGAACAAGAACGACCAAAAAGGCAUUCCAACAAAUCUUGGCGCCACUAACAGAAGCCCAACCGAAGGAAGAAGUCAUGAAGUCAAGGGUAAUGCUUUGUAUUGAAGAUUCAAAGCAUCAAGGUUGACCUAGGCUAACACGAUCAUGGGUCCAUCCAUGGCCCGACCAUGUGGUCGGAAACGUUUCAAUUUUCUUGCAAUUUUAUGAAUAAUUAUAAGAGAAUAAUGUAUCUCCUCAUAUGAGGAGAUAACUUAUCUCCUCUUGCCAGUAAAAAUGUGACAUGUGUGUUAUUUUGUUUAUUUUUAAAAAUAUUUUUAUAAAAAAUGAUGAAACAUGACACAUGUCAUGAUUUCACUGGCAGGAGGAGAUAACUUAUCUCCUUAUACCAGGAGAUACUCCAUUCCCUAAUUAUAAUUUCCCUUUUUGAAUAAGUAGUUCUAGACCCUUCUAGACUAAAACUCACAUUAUUAUUAUGUCACAUAUGACCUUUGAAAGGUUUGUCUCUUCCUUACCCCAAAGGACAGAGUGGGGGACAAAGCAUUUAUUGUUUUCUUAUAACUUGCAAUUUCAUAGUGAUUCUUGUCUUCUUGUCUAGUUUAGCUGCCUAUUAAUGUGAUUCCAUUUUGUUGAGAUGGAAUAUCUUCAAUUCUAGCUUAAAAUAUUGCUUAGAACAUAUUGUGAGGAGUAUCCUCUUUGGUUCUUAGUUGAACCGAUCUAGGAACUUAUUUUCGGGCUAAUUAGACUAUGUGGCAUCCAACCGCUGGUUUAGUAAUCAUCCUUGGUUAUGACACCACUCGAGUUAUUCAUUUCCAUUUUUUUACUUUCCACAAAUUCCUUUUCAACCUUGUUCUUUAUGUUAGUCCAUGUUAGUUGAGUUAUCAUCCUAUACUAAUUAACACUCAAAUACAUAAGCUUUCCACUAGAACGGUUAUUCAACAAGGAUCUUCAAAGGAGGUUCACAUCAGUGGAGGAUAGAAUGAUGUGUGCCAAGGAUGAGUAACCAAUGAUUUGAAUAAUAAGACUCAAACUUUCAAGGAAAUGAAGGAUUAAAGACUUUCAGGUUCACAAUAGUACUCAGAAUCAUUAAAAUCAAGGAUGAAAAUGUAAGGUCGGGGUAUUCAAAUCCUGGACUAUCCAAAAAAAGAAACUGAAAUCUAGUCCAAAAAACUGUAACUGCAAAGAAAUGAAUAUAUAUAUGGAUGGUAGUGGACUGGUAUUUAUAGAACUGGUCGAGUUGCAUCGGAUUUUGGUUCCACCUUAACUAAAGGAAAUGACACAAUGCACAAGAAGGAAAGUAAUACAAAAUAGGAAUAAAAGCAUGCUUUGUUUUCAUCUUAAGACCACAUACAAUAUAAUAUUUAUUAGGAAUUACUUGUUGCUCAUUUAACAUUAAGCAGCUAAGUAACAUGAAAUAUCCAUACAGAACACCAUGAAUUAUAUGUAGUAUCUUAUGAACAGGAUAAGGUAUAUUUCCCAUGCACCAAAAGAUUUAUUUAAUAAAAUUCAAUCAUGUGCCAACAAAGUCAGAACAAAGAAGGUGGCAUAAAAGCUCCAAUAAAUGCUGAUUAAGCUAAUAUCAUUGCAAUACACAAAUUACAUUUGUGUUAUUUUGUUUAUUUUUAAAAAUAUUUUUAUAAAAAAUGAUGAAACAUGACACAUGUCAUGAUUUCACUGGCAGGAGGAGAUAACUUAUCUCCUUAUACUAGGAGAUACUCCAUUCCCUAAUUAUAAUUUCCCUUUUUGAAUAAGUAGUUCUAGACCCUUCUAGACUAAAACUCACAUUAUUAUUAUGUCACAUAUGACCUUUGAAAGGUUUGUCUCUUCCUUACCCCAAAGGACAGAGUGGGGGACAAAGCAUUUAUUGUUUUCUUAUAACUUGCAAUUUCAUAGUGAUUCUUGUCUUCUUGUCUAGUUUAGCUGCCUAUUAAUGUGAUUCCAUUUUGUUGAGAUGGAAUAUCUUCAAUUCUAGCUUAAAAUAUUGCUUAGAACAUAUUGUGAGGAGUAUCCUCUUUGGUUCUUAGUUGAACCGAUCUAGGAACUUAUUUUCGGGCUAAUUAGACUAUGUGGCAUCCAACCGCUGGUUUAGUAAUCAUCCUUGGUUAUGACACCACUCGAGUUAUUCAUUUCCAUUUUUUUACUUUCCACAAAUUCCUUUUCAACCUUGUUCUUUAUGUUAGUCCAUGUUAGUUGAGUUAUCAUCCUAUACUAAUUAACACUCAAAUACAUAAGCUUUCCACUAGAACGGUUAUUCAACAAGGAUCUUCAAAGGAGGUUCACAUCAGUGGAGGAUAGAAUGAUGUGUGACAAGGAUGAGUAACCAAUGAUUUGAAUAAUAAGACUCAAACUUUCAAGGAAAUGAAGGAUUAAAGACUUUCAGGUUCACAAUAGUACUCAGAAUCAUUAAAAUCAAGGAUGAAAAUGUAAGGUCGGGGUAUUCAAAUCCUGGACUAUCCAAAAAAAGAAACUGAAAUCUAGUCCAAAAAACUGUAACUGCAAAGAAAUGAAUAUAUAUAUAUAUGGAUGGUAGUGGACUGGUAUUUAUAGAACUGGUCGAGUUGCAUCGGAUUUUGGUUCCACCUUUCGAAACCAAAACGGUCCAGAACAAUUUGAAACUUAUUACAUAUGUAAAUAUUAGAUGGCAAUUAAGAGGGGGUUGAAUUAGUUGAUAGGAGAAAUGGUUGAUUUCUCUACUGGGAUAUCAAAGUGUUUGUGCAGCGAAAAUUAGUAGCAGAAUUCAACCAAGUUAAAACCAAAUGAAAGUACAAGACGAGAGUAGAAGAAGAAGAAGAGUACAAAGAGAAUCUUUAUACUGGUUCGCAUUUUUGUCUAUCGAAAGUUACAUUCAGUACUCUUGCCACACAAGAGAUUUUUCCACUAGAUACUUUGAGUUGCAAUUACAAUUUCUCUCCCCGAGACCCUUGUACCUUACACACUCACAAAUAUCUACCCUUGGAAAACAACCUUUCCAAGUUAACUCUUUUCCCUUUUCAGCACACCCUUGUGAUGACAAGUAUUACAACAAGAUGAAAAAUUAAAUCAAUGGAAGGAUUGCAUUUACAAGUGUUUGACAAUUGCUAUAACUUGCAAUCCUAUUGCUCUAAAUAUACUCAGUAAAUAAUGCUCUUAUAUGUUUGAAAAACUUUAGAGUUUAGCACUUGAAACAACUUCAGAAAAAUAUGAAAAUUUAGAAUCAAAGUUGCAAACAAGUGAAGAAAUUGUUUUACUAAGUUGUAAAGUUUUUGUGUAUCAAUUGUAUGUGGAUUGUAUUGUUGAAUUGAAUGUCUCAAUGACAUUAAAUUGGCUUCCAAUCAGCCAUAGUACCCUUCCAUGAAGAUGAGACACGAUUGGAAUGAGAUCCAUGCACUUUGGACGAAAAUUGUUCAUUUAAAUUUGAAAAUUUGGUUUCCAAUAGCUAUGCGUAAUCGAUUACCAUGACAGUGUAAUCGAUUGCCAAAACUUUCUGUCCAAAGUGUUAAUCGAUUAAUACAAGUAAUUAACCAAUUACUUAGUGUCAUUUAUGCUUUAUUACUAUUUUCUUAGCCUAUUAACCUGUUACGUAGUUCCAAUAACCUGUUACCAACUGUCACACAGUUUAGGUAAUAUGUUACCUAGAUCUAGUAACCUGUUACUCAGGUCAAGUAACUUAUUACUUAGCUUUUUUGACAUUGUUUCAAGACUUAUCCAAUUCUUUUGAAAAUAGUUUAGAAUUCUUUGAGAGUAAGGAUAGAAGUACAUAUUCAAGACUUAAUCUAUAAAUUUCCUUGAAUCUUGAAUCUUAUGUCUUCAUAGUCUUCUUCUUUUUUCUUAUUUUCAUGAUCUUGGUGUCUUCAUCAAAACCGUGCGAUGGUCAGGAGCAAUAUAUUCUUCACAAUCUCCUCUUUUUGAUGAUGACAAACCAACAUCUUUUGAAAUUUGGGAUUUUGAAUUUUUCUAAGAUUUAGCAUACUUCAUAUGAUAUGACUUGUUUGACUUUGAGUAUGCUCCCCCAAUCUUGUAUGCUCCCCCUUUGUUUUAUUGUAUGUGCCUAAAAAAAUUGAUAGAAAAAUACACAACCCCAACUUUUCUCCCCCUUUUGACUUCAUCAAAAAGAAGAAAAGUUAGGUGUCCAACAUAUUAUAUAUAUAGAUAUAGAUAUCAAAGGGUAACAAGAUAUAUUUGAAUUGAUUAGAAAGCCAAGGUUAGAAAUUAUUUUAAAACGACGGUAUGAGAAUAAUAUCAAAUGCUAUAAGAUAAUGGAAUAAACAUGACAUAUCAUAGCAUUCAAAACAGUUAAAGUAAAUAGUUCAAAAACAACAAUAACAACAACAACUGACUAAGAAAAAGCAUAGACCACUACUCCUAAGAAUUUGGAUCAGCCCUCUCAGCAGCCAAGUCCAUGUAAUCCAAUCGGUUUGACAAACGUCGAAGUUCUUCUUGGACUUGAUGGUUUGUAGUAUCAAGAGCAUCCAUCUUUGUAGUGAUAUAGCCUCGAAGCGAAGACAACUCGUCCAUAAUCAUCUGAUUGGAAGGAGUGCAGUCAGAGGAGGAAGAUUUAGCAUGAAAUGAGGUUUGAGUAGGAGGGUCAGCAGAGAGGUUUUCUAGGUUAGCAGAUGGUUAAUCACCAUGAUGCUUACAAAUCAUGUCGGUGGUAUCUCGAAAGAAUACCAUCUUGUGGAUCACAUCCACAUCAAAUUUGUUACCCUAAGCAUCAAGUAGGAUCCUAGAAUCAUCAACAAAGGAUACGCAAGAAUACUCAAGUAUAACAGUUAUGAAAAUAGCAUAACGCAACGGUCCAAAAUCGUCUCCAAAGGCCCACAUUUGUUUCAUUGCCAUUUAUGUCCAAUUGAUUAGCACAUUAUGUUUAAUAGUGUACAUCAGUUGUAUUUCCAUAUCUUUUGGUUGUGAAUGAUUUGAAAUUUUUGGAACCACGAUGUAACUCAUAAAGUAAUGAAGCAAACAGUUCUUUAGGUUUAAAUUUCCAACAAGUAAAAUGUUUCGGUUUCUAACAAAAUCACUCACAGACCUUUGCUUACGCAGUUCAAUUUCCCUUUUUGAAUAUCUACACAUAGAUUAGUAGAAAUCCAUUUUGUUAUAUCCUUCUAAGUCACACUAAAUAACUGAUUCUAUUAUCGUCCCUAUGUAUGGCAUAUUACCACAAAUGGAACUUAAAGUUCUGAAGUCUACGAUAAUGUCUUUGCCUUUGACAAAAGAGAAGAUUUUAUUCUUCUUGAAGUUAAAUUCCAGUAAAGUACCCUUACAAGUUUAGGAUAAUAGGCACAAUGCAUUUCACAAAACUCAUAGUCUUCGUUGCUUAAACAUGAUAGGGAAAAUGAAAUCAUUAUUCUCAAAAGAGCUUAACCUACCAUACUUAGGAGUAAAAAUGGGUCUUUGCAUAAAAGGCUCCUUGAAGACUUUCUGUUGGUCCUCGUUAGAAAGAAGUCAUGUCAAAUCCAAUAUGUUGAUCUCAUCAAAGGUUGGUUGCCUUCCUUGAGUCACAUUACUGUGUUGUUUCUUGGUUUUGGAGGAUGAAGCCAUGAAAUUGAGUUUUUGAAAAACUAGGUUUUGGAGGUUUGGAGAUUUGAGGUUUUUUAUUUUGACCACUAAACACGAAAGUAAUGAUUGGAAAGUGUUUAGAAAUGAAAAGGUAGUAUGAAUCAACUCAAAAAUCACUCAAAACGGUUGAGAAUGGUGAAUUUUCAAAGUUGGAAGGAGUUACCAUGAUUGAGGGAGUGAAAUGGAGAAGAUGAAGUUUAAAAAAAUCUAAUAUUUUUCCUUAAAUAGCAUAGAGUGUAAUCGACUACCAUGAUUGAGCAAUUGAUUGCUCAUUCUCAGUGUGCAAGUAAUUAACCGAAUAAUUAAUAGUGUAAUCGGUUACACUGUCCAGUUUUUGAAUAUAUAGGCUAUUUUAUGCCUUGUAAUCGAUUACCCUAUUAUAAUAAUAAAUUACAUACUCCAAAAUAGUAAACAUUAAUCAAUUUAAAGCACAUAAAAGCACAAGUACACAUGAGAUACAUAUAACGAAGCACAUAAAUUCAAAUAUAUAAACAUGUUUAGGAAAAAUAUGCUUCAUCUAGAAUGUCUAAUUCUCGUCUAAUUUUAUAAAAAUGUUCUAUAGCUAAAGGUUUAGUAAGGAUAUCUGCUAAUUGGUCAUGUGUAUCAACAAAUUCCAAUAGAACAUCUUUCUUUAGGACGUGAUCUCUAAGGAAGUGAUGCCUUAUAUCAAUAUGUUUGGUUUGAGAAUGCAUAAUCAGAUUCUUUGUAAGGUUUAUAGCACUAGUAUUAUCACAUCUUAAGGGAAUGUAUCCUAAGUCUAAUCCAUAAUCUCGCAAUUGUUGCUUAAGCCACAAUACUUGGACACAAUAACUUCCUCCUACUAUGUAUUCUGCCUCAGCAGUACUUAGAGCAACACAUGCUUGCUUUUUAUAAGACCAUGAGGCUAGAGCAUUUCCGAGAAUGUGACAACUACCACUUGUAUUUUUCCUCUCACUUUUGCAUCUAGCAAAAUCUAAAUCUGAAUAUCCCACCAAGUCACAUAGACUUCCUUUCGGAUACCAUAGUCCUACAUCAAGUGUGCCUUUAAGAUAUUUUAAUUUCCUUUUCACGGCAGUAGGAUGUGACUACUUGGGUUUUGAUUGAUAAUAUACACAAAGAUAGACACUAAACAUGAUAUCAAGUCUACUUGCAGUAAGAUAAAGAAGGGAAUCAAUCAUACAUCGAUACUUAGAUAUGUCAAUGCAUUUUCCAGUCUCAUCAGCAUCUAUGUAUGCUCCACAACCCAUAGGAGUGGCAAUAGGUUUACAGUCAUCCCUUUCAAAGCGUUUCAGCAGAUCCCUGCUAUAUUUAGACUAACAAACAAAGAUGAUAUCCUUGAGUUGUUUGAUUUAUAGUCCAAGAAAGUAAUUCAACUUUCCCAUCAUGGACACCUCAAACUCCCCUUGCAUCAUUUUACCAUAGUCACUAUAUAAAAGAACAUUAGUAGAAUCGAGAAUGAUAUCAUCAACAUAGAUUUGAACAAAUAGAGUAUGAUGAUCUAUUUUCUUAAUCAAUAAUGUAGUGUCGACCUUUCCUUUAGUUAAGCAUUUAUCAAGUAAGAAGCUUGUUAGACGGCCAUACCAAGGCCUUAGAUUUAAAGACAAUAAAAAUAUUACCUAUACCAAGAAUUUUUGUUUUGAUGUUCUCUACAUAGGUAAGAAGGCUUUUUUUAUUUGAAUAUGAAAAUUUUUUAAUCUCCACAUGCUAUGUGCUUUGGAAAACCAUUGUCAUGACAACACAUUUUUGCUUAUGGCUUUCAAGCACUCCUGCAAAAAAAAUUUAAAAAGAUUUUCUAGGUACUCAAUGUGAUUUGGGUCCUGUGGGGUUAGCACCUUUUUCUAUCCAUUUAUAUUGGCAAGAUGACACACCAUAUUUUUUAAUAUGACAAGUUUAGGUAUGUGACCAAUUUUAUCACAGUAAGAACAAGUGGGUAGAUACUUAUGUGUCUAAGAUUUUAUUUUAGAAAUAGGAUUACUAUGGAUACUUUCUUCAUAAAACUUUAGAGUGCUUCCCAAGAUUGUUCUUCCUAAGACAUUCUCGUUUUUAGCCAAAUGACUAUUUGCAUAGCCAAGACCUCUACGGUCUGUUGAAUAUCUUUGGACUUUUAUAAUAUUGUCUAAAUUGUGAAUGUUCUUAUUCAGUUUAUUAAGUUCAAGACUUAAUGUUGAAACUUUAGUUUCAAGAGGAACACAUUUUUGACAUGAGGAAGAAGUGGGUUUUUCAAUAUAUUUCUUUAGAACUUUGUUAUGGCUUUCCAAAAUAAAAAUUUCGUUUUUCUGUUUUAGGAAAAGUUUGGAAAACUUAACAUAUUAUUGAUGCAAAUCGUUAAAAGCAUUUUGUAACUCAUCAUAUGAAAAAAUAUCAUUUGGUGCAGAGUUACUAACCUCAUAAUCAUCGUUUGAUUUGUGUGAAGCCAUCAAAGAAAUAUAUUAUUACUCCUUAAUUUCAACAUUUGAAGUAGUGUCAUUGUCAUCUGAUAUGACAUUUUUUUUCUCCGCUUCUUGUCCUUCUUUCUUUUGAAAGUAUGUUGCUUUUGUAAUGUCAGGCAAGCACCUUUAACAUGAUAUGGUUUUAUGCAUGUGGAGUCUUGCCCCGAUGUUGAGGCUUCAUUGUUUGUUGUAGACCUUUUUACUUCUUUUGUGUCAUGUAUCCUUUCUAGAAUGUCCCAAAUUUAUUUUGACGAUUUAUAACUUGACAGUCUAAAGAAUUCUUUUUCUCCUAGAGCCGACAUAAGAAUGUUUUUGGCUUUAAGGUCAUACCGGACUUUAUUUUUAUCUUCAAUGGUCCAUGAACAUUUUGGUUUUGGUUGUUUAAACCCAUUAACAACCAUGCCUAGUAUGGAUGGACCUUCUUCUAUUGAGUUCCAUAUAUCUAAGUUCAAGGAUUCUAUGAAGAUUCUCAUUCUAAUUUUCCAGAAUGCAUAAUGUUCUCCAAUAAAAAUUGGAGGUCUAUUAAUAUCGGAACCUUCUCGUAGAAAAGACUUAGAGGCCAUCUAAAAUUGUAGGAUCAUUGGGAGUAAAUUACCCAAAAUAAGCUCUGGUGUCAAUUGUAAGUAUUAGAUGGCAACUAAGAGGAGGUAAAUUAGUUGAUGGGAGAAAUGGCUGAUUUUUCCGCUGAGAUAUCAAAAUGUUUGUGCAGUAGAAAAUAGUUGCAGAAAUCAACCAAGUUAUAAUCAAAUGAAAGUACACGAAGAGAGUAGAAUAAGAAUAGUACACAAAGAAUUUUCAUAUUGGUUCAUCUUAUUUUUCACCGAAGGUUACAUCCAGUACUCUUGCCACACAAGAGAUUUUUCCACUAGAUACUUUGAGUUGCAAUUACAAUUUCUCUCCCCAAGACCCUUGUACCUUACACACUCACAAAUAUCUACCAUUGGAAAACAACUUUUCCAAGUUGACUUUUAUCCCCUUAUCACAACACUCUUAUGAUGACAAGUAUUAUAACAAGAUGAAGAACGAAAACAAUGGCAGGAUUGCCUUUACAAGUAUUUGACAAUUUCUAUAACUUGCAAUCUUUUUGCUCUAAAUAUACUCAGUAAACAAUGCUCUUAUAUGUUUGAUAAACUUUAGAGUUUAGCACUUGAAGCAACUUCAGAAAAAUCUGAAAGAUUAGAAUCAAAGUUGCAAAAAAGUGCAGAAAUUGUUUUACUAAGUUGUAAAUGUUUUGUGUAUCAAUUGUGUGUGGAUUGUAUUGUUGAAUUGAAUGUCUCAAUGUCUUUAAAUGGACUUUCAAUCAUCUACAGUACCCUUCCAUGAAGGUGAGACACGAUUGGAAUGAGACCCAAUCACUUUGGAUGAAAAUUGUUCAUUUAAAUUUGAAAAUCUAGUUUCCAACAGUUGUGUGUAAUCGAUUACCAUGAUAGUGUAAUCGAUUGCCAAAACUUGUUGUCCAAUAUGGUAAUCGAUUAAUACAAGAAAUUAAUCGGUUACUUAGUGUCAGUUAUGUUUUGUAACUUUUUUCUUAGUCAGGUAAUUUGUUUCGUAGUUCUAGUAACUUGUUAUCAAUUGUCACACAAUUCAGGUAACCUAUUAUCCAGAUUUAGUAACAUGUUACUCAGGUCAAGUAACUUGUUACUUAACAUUUUUAACAUUGUUUCAAGACUUAUCCAAUUCUUUUGAAAAUAGUUUAGAAUUCUUUGAGCGCAAGGAUAGAAGUACAUAUUCAAUACUUAAUCUAUAAUUUUCUUGAAGCUUGAAUCUUCUAUGUCUUCAUAGUCUUCUUCAUUUUUCUUUUUUUUUUUUUUUUUGUGAUCUUGAUCUCUUCAUCAAAACCGUGUCAAGCUUAGGAGCAAGAUCUUCUUCAAAAUCUCCACUUUUUUAUGAUAACAAACCAACAUCUUUUGAAAUUUGGGAUUUUGAAUUUUUCUGAUAUUUAGAAUUUUUCUGACAUUUAGAAUUUUUCAUAUGCUAUGACUUGUUUGACUUUGAGUAUGAUCCCCUAUCUUAUAUGCUCCCCCUUUGUUUUAUUGUAUGUGCCUAAAAACAUUUGACAGAAAAAUAUACAACUCCAACUUUUCUCCCCUUUUUGACUUCAUCAAAAAGAAGAAAUGUCAGGUGUCUAGCACAAUAUAUAUAUAUAUAUAUAUAUAUAUCAAAGAGUAACAAGAUAUAUUUGACUUGAUUAGAAAGCCAAGGUCAGAAAUUCUUUUAAAACGACAAUAUGAAUUUGAAUAAUAUCAAAUGCCAUAAGAUAAUGAAAUAAACAUGACAUAUCAUAGCAUUCAAAAUAGUUAAAAUAAAUAGUUUAUAUAUGACUAAAAAGUUAAGAUAAAAUUAGCAUUCAUAAUCCAACAGGUUCAAAAACAACAAUUACAACAACAAUUGAUAAUCAAAAAAAUUCAUAUUUUCAAAUUGUUAAAAGUGUUGUUACUUACUAAUUAACACUUUCUAAUAUAUUUUUAUGUUUGAAUGUAAAUUUGACACUUUAAUAAUGUACUGAACUUGUUAUUUUGAAAAGGACUUUUAUUUUUAUAUGAAUUUAACAUUUUGAAUGUGUAGUAAUCAUGUUAUUUUUUAAUUAAAAAGUUCAAUCAAACUAGAUAUAACUUUUGGAUUCGAUUGGGUCACUUGUCUUAAUGUAAAUCAACCAAACUAAAUUAGAUCACAUGUUAUUUAUAUCUUGAGAUGAAAUAAUUUUUUGUCUAUAAACCAACCUGAACUGACUCCCAACACCCUUAAUGCAAGAUUCUAAUUGAGGAGUUCUCACCUAGCAUCAGGAUGAUUGGGAUUGUUCUUGAGUUGGAAAACAGAAAUAAGACAAGUGUUUAUUGUUUUUGGAGUUGUGGAGGUUGUAGGAUGAUAGAUUCUUGUGAAAAAUUAAAGGCCAAUUAUUUAUGCUCCAAUGGAGAUCGAAAUUCAUGAAGAAAAAUAACAACCAACAUGGUUUUAUGAUGAAUAAAUUCUAAGGCUAUGAAAUAAAAUGAAAUUGAUACAAUAAGAGGAAAUGAAGGAGACAUGAAAUAGAAAUAAGGUGUGCCACACUCAGGGGGAAUGAUAAGCCCUUAGAAAGCCAUAAGAGAAAUAUUUUUUUGAUAAGUUCAGGUAUGGAAUGUCAUAAGGAAAUCUCCUUGAUAAGUUCUCGGUUCAAUUGGAACCCAUGAGGCUCACUUUCUCAUUAUGCUCUAUGAAAAUCUCUGAACAAGGUGAAUUAUGUUCUAUUGAUUCAAAAUAUAUAGUACAUAUAUAUGACAACUAGCCUAAACAAGAAGACAACCCUCAUUAAUGAAAGUGUAUGAAAGCAAUAAAUAUAUUGUCUUCUACUAAGUCCUUUGGAGUAAGGAAGAUGUAAGCAUUUGAAAGGUCACGUAUACAUAAUUAAAACUUGGGUUUUAGCCUAGAAGGGCUUAUAACCACUUAUUCAAAAAAGAAAAUUACAAUUAUUCAUAAAAUUAUGAAAACUUAUGUGACAGUAGAUUGACCCACGACCAAAGUUCCUUGCUUCUUCACAGCUUCGCACCAGUCUAUCCUCUAGGGUCAAAUACAAAUCUUACAUAUUUAUCUUUGAUUUUAAUGAUGUCAAGCACUAUUGUGGACCAAAUAACCAUUAAUAUUUCAAAGCAUGGUUCAACAACUUAAUAUAUGUUCUUCAAAAGUUUGGUAUGAUCCAUAAAGAUAAAGAUCACUUUGUAUUCUAUCAACAUUACUCCUUUGAUCAAUGUAUUUCUCCUCUAGUUUAUAAUGAUGGCAUUGUCAUUAUUGGCAAUGAUCAUGAUAAAAUCAAACGUCUGGAGAAAUAUUUAUUCCAAUACUUACAAAUUAAAGAAUUUGAACCAUUGCAUUAAUUUAUGACAUUAAGAUACUUCGAUCACAUGUAUUGUCAUAUCCUGGAGGAAUAUGCUCUAGAUAUCCUAAAGGACACAUGAAUGUUAGAUUAUAAGCCUAUUGAUACUCAAUGGAUCUUAAUCUUAAACAUAUGUCAAAGUAAGGGAUACCAUAUUGGAACCUAGGAAGUUAUCUAAGACUUAUAGUUAAACUACAUUAUUUGACUAUUACCAAACCAUAUAUAUCAUUUGUUGUAAGAGUUAUAAGUCAAUUUCUUAAUUACCACUAGACAGACAUUGUUAUGCAGUUGUUUGAAUCUUGAGAUACAUGAAAAGGUCUCCUAGAAGAGGACUGGUCUAUGAGAAAAAUGGUCAUACUUAUAUUCUUGCAUAUAUUGCAUAUUGGGUUUGCUGUCCAAAUCAUAGGAAAUCAUCUGAAUGAUAUUGCUAGAUCAAGUGCAGAGGCAGUCAUGUCUCUUACUAUAGAAGAGCUAGCUUGGCACAAACAUCUUCUCACUGAGUUAAAGUUCUCUAAAAGUUGAACCUACAAAUCAGACAACUUUAUAUAUUACUUCUAGUCCAAUCUUUCAUGAACAGAUAAACAACCAUUAUAUUCACAAAAAGGUUAUUGCAAGGAGAUCGGUACACCAUUGUUGAAUUCCAAGGAUCCAUUAGCAUAUAUAUUCACUAAGUCUUUCUGAGGUCCAAAAAUAUCAUUAUAUAUAUAUAUACAUAUACAUAUAUAUACAUAUACAUAUACAUAUAUAUACAUAUAUAUAGAUAUAUAUACAUAUAUAUAUAUAUACUCAAUGCAUUCAACUUGAGGUGGAGGGAUGAGAUUAUUGAAUUCUAUAUCUGAUUAGGAUUAAAUAUAUGAUUAAUCAAAAUCAUAUCAUGUAUUUAUCCUUUAGAUUUUAUUUCCGUAAAAUUAAGGAAUUCAUGUAUACACUCUUCUAUUACAAAUAAAAAAUGUUGAGUACAUACAAAUUACUCAUGGAAUUCAAAUAAACAAUUUGUCUCUUUCAAGUAGGAUAUCCAACUAUUGGAAUUUGUUAUUUUGUAUAUCCUAAUAGUUCCUAAACAAAUAAAAAAAGAAACAAGCAAGGGAUAAUUUUGAAAGUUGGUUGGUAUGAUUAAUAUUAUGAUUGGGACAUGCUAUAUUAGUUUGUAAAUGGUAUAUAAUCAUGUACAUGAGGCAGAAACAAGCUCAUGUUUGAUCUCUUUUAACCUUCUCUACAAAACUGUAGACAGAAGAUCUGAAGCCUAUAACAUAAAGGCAGAUUCAGAAUUUUAAUCUCACAAAUCUCAAUAAUACAUCCCUUCCUGCUCCCAAACAUCCACCAAGAAUUCAACCAUUUCCUAUUUAUUGAAAAACAAUGUAUCAAUUAAUAAUUCUUCAUUCUCAACCAACUGCAAACAUAGACAGGAUACUUACAGACAAGGGUAUGGGCUUCGGAAAAAGCCGUCUGGUCCCGAGCAAAGUUUCAUAACUUGCAUUUGCACUGCAAGUCAUUCACCCAUGAGAAAUUUAGAAAGACAAAGGGAAAGUACAGUUAAUGUAGACUUUAGUUUGUAUAAGGCAAUAUAAAGUGUAUGGCUAUGAAGAAAAUGUACAGCUAUAUGCAUCCUGAGCUAAAACUAUGUGAUUUGUGCUGAAAUCGCGAAGACCCGAAAGAAAAAUAAAGAAUAUCACCAAUGCAAUAAAGGUGCAUAUGUUUUGUCAAAAUAGGUCUAAAUAAGGUUAUGCAAUGAGGCUAUUUCAGUUUCAGCAAUUAGGCCAUAAACCAUUAGUAGCACUUCCUAAUGACAUACCUUAGUCUGGAUUCCUGCAUUUGCUGGGUUUGGUUCUUCGGUCUAUCACUUCCGAUCCACUUAAGCCUGUUCUUAUUCCAGAGGAGAAGACCUGCAACGAACAGUGUAAUUUAUCGAUAAGAAAUUAACCUUUCUUUUACUUUUAUAAGCAAAAAAGUAAAUCAUCAAAAUAAUAAAUGGUGGCUAUAUAUACAGGUAAACUGAAAUAAAAUGGUUUUAGAAAAUGAUGUCUAUCUCGGAAUGGCGAAUAAUGAACAAAACACGUAAAAAACUUAUAUGCCAUGUGCCCAACACCUGUGCUAACAACAGCGCCCACCUCGGUCAUAGGACUGGGCCUCAUGGCCUGUCUACCCUUUCCCUUUUCCUAUCUAGAUCUUCAAGGCCUUGUCUUACCCGAAAAAACAUAAUUUAUGAUAAAAAUAUAACUUUUCAAAUAAUUAGUCAUGAGUCAUAGGAAAGAAUCAAGAAAAAAUCUAGAACUUGCCUCGGUUUACAAAUUCAUGAUCAUUGCCUUCCAUAGAAGUUCCAAGAAUUUGAUUUAAUGUACUAACAGACUGGAUACUUCUUUGAGAUUGAACGGUGCUGUUAUCCACAUCAUGUGUACUCGAACUCCAGAAAUCAUCUGAUGUGGUUGGUUUUUUAACUGUCUGCCCCUGAAUUUUUCGUCCGUUCGUCACUUCAUCCACUGCUUUAAUUGGUGUCAGUUUUGUGCAGCAUCCAAAACAACCACUGCUCUGUUAUAAAACAAGUUAAAUAACAGCAAUAAUAGAACAAUCAAGCCUAUAUAAUAAGACUCAAUUUGCAGUAUAUAAGCUUCUCUGGAAAGAAUGCUAAAGCAGUUUGGAAAUUGAGCCUGAAAUAGAAUAGCAGAACACACUCACAAUAUGUUCUCUGUUAUUAACAGAACCAAGAACACAAUACACCUCAAGUUGCUACCUAUGUUAAAUGCAUUUAAUAACAACCCUAUGCCCAAAAAAUAGUUGAGGAAGUUAAACCAGACCUAGUAAAAAAUAUAACAUUUUGCUUCAUUUCUCGGAUUGUUCAUUUUAAAGUUUAGCAUUACCAGGAAGAACUUUAGGGCUAUAAACUGAUGAUAGAGAAAUCUUGCUACAGUCAACAUUCCAACACAGAAAUCAUUGUGACCUUGUUUGCUUGCUCCACAGUAAAUAACACUUAACUAGUUUGCAAUGUGUCACAUAUAUCAUCUUAUCAAUGUAUUUAUGUAGGAUUGGGGCCGUUGCGGUGUGAAUUAAUUUCUAAUUAAAAAUAUAUUUUUUGAAUUCGAUGUGGUCCAAUGCGGUAGCGCUAUCCGCUAUGGCCGCAUCACAUGAUGCGGUCCGCAAUUUGAAUCAUUGUGUAGGAUCUUUUCUAUAAUUUUCCAAGGUAACUAGCGAUAACAUCGUGUACAACACAAAAGGAAAUCACUCUUUUCAAGAAGCUUUAGUUGAAAAUUGUCAGCACCAUACACUGAUAAAGGAAACCUCAAUCAGUGAUAAGAUUGUAUACAACACAAAAGGAAAUCACUUUUUUUCUAUAUUUUUGGAUAUUCAGGUGUUCUGAUUGAGUAAACCUCAUUCUUGAUAGGUUCCAAGAGUUAUUCCACUAAAUCAAAUCAAAUAAAGCUUGAAUAUUUCCUUUUAGAUCUAUCCAGUAGACUGUUAAAACAAAUAGUACCUGGCUGAUUUUCAUGGCAAGAGUCGGAUAUAUAACUAUGGAAUGAUGUAGGUACAAAUACACUUAUUUAUUGUAAAAAUUUAGACAAAUAAAUUACUCUAACCCUAGAAGAUUUCAUAUCAAUUAUUUGCUAAAGAUUUGAUAUUCCCUUUCUGUAUCCCUUGUACAUUCUGACCAUUUCAUCCCUCAAAUAAAGGAAGACACUUUCUCUCCCACCAUCCCUCAUUUAACCACUAAAACUAUUUUAUAUCACUGUUUAAACUCGGUUUUUCAUUUUCAACCACUAGAGCCUGAUAAUUAUGACCCAGAAGCUUACAACAGAAAUCAUUCCCUGUUCAUUUAAUUUGCACCCCAAAAAAUGAUGACAGCAAGUCAGCAACAGGGUUACUAUAAACACUUAUUCAGAAAACUUAUUAGACCAAAUUGCAUUAUUCAAUGGCAAACACACACUUUUGCUACCCCAAAUGACUAAUUCAAACUAAAUCCUGGAACCCCUUUUCUUCUACAAGUCAACUACCCCAAAAAAAAUAAAGUAUAAAAGAAGAACAAGGCAAAUCAGUCCUUAAUUAGUACCCCAAAUGUCUGCUUAAUGCAUAUUCACCAGUAAAUUUAUCAAUUUUGUAAACAGAACUACUACCACAACAAUCGAGUCUUUCUCCACCACACAAAAGGUUGUGCUAGAAAGUCUACAAUUAAUAUAAAACUUUGCCAAAUCAUUUUUCUUGGUAUAACCAAUGGUAUUCCUCACCUUAUGGGUAAAGAACUAAUCUCUUUCGGGUGUGUGGCUACCUCUCCCAACAAAUGUCGCUCUCAAUAAUCAAACUUUUGACCUUUCUGACAUAUCUAGGGAUCUAGUAGGGCCUUAAACCAUACACCAAUACCUUAUUGGUUUUGCCAAAUCAUCUAACAAACAAUGUAGUUAUAUUGUUAAUUUUGGAAACAGAACUAAGAGACAGUAAAUAAAGUCCAAAUCAAAAACAGUAACACAACAGAUACAACUUCCAUAAACUGAAACACUUCCAUUUAUUCACUCAAUUCAACUAAAGCAAGGGAAUUGAGGAUAAUAUUUAUAUCAAUAUUGAGAACGAAGGAAAGCUUACCACAUGCAUUCCAAAAGGUCCCUGAUCCAAAAAAUAAUGGAACUAAUCAUCAUCACCAAAAAAUGUCACUGAUUCUCAACAAAACAUACCGAAAUCUUGACACUUCAAAAAAAGAACAAAUGGGUAUUUUUGUAAUGAAGAAAUGAAGGUGAAAGUGGGCCAGAACUAAGGGAGGAAAUUUCCAAGAAAAAGAUUAGUAUUUGAUAGAAAGAGAGAGUCAAUGGGUGAGUUCUUACACUGUUUGAACGGAUGAGUUAGAAGGGUAUAUAGCUGGCUUUGAUUAUCGUGUAUUUCUACACUAACAUCGCUGUCCUUUGACUAAUAUUUUCUUUAAAAGCACAAAACCAUGUUGCAAAUUGACCCAAAAGUCCAAAAGAAAAUAUUACUUCCUCUUUUUAAAAUAUACCGAACAGAAGUAACAUAUAUUAGGAAUAUAAUUAAUUUUAUUAAUAUUCAGAAAAGUAACAUUUGAUUUCUUAUUUUAAUCAUUAAAUUUUACUCUUAUUACUCAUCAUUUACUUUUUCUCAUAAAGAAUUAUUGAAACAUAAGCAUUUAAUAUUAUCAUGAAAUUAUAAGUGGAGAGUUAUGAUGAAACAAAUUUAUAUUUAGUAACUCCAUCGAUCAUGUUAUCUUUAAUAUGUGUUUAUGAAUGUUUUACGAUUGAAUCCUGGAGAUCAAGUUUGUUGUAAUAGAGGAUACUUAGGUAGCGAACAUCAUGUCUAAGCUAGAUUCUCACUCAUCUAUUCAAUGACAAAUCUAAACUUCAUUUCUAAUUGAUUGUCAAACCUUAUCUUAACUUAGAUCUUUCUCAUCUACCUUAGUUUUUUUGUUUUGUUUCUUUAUACCAAAAAAAAAUUAUAUUUCAUAAAGUGAACAAUAAUUUUCAAACAAAGAGGAUAAUAAGUAAUAAUUUAUUUGUGUGUGCUGUUGAAACUUUAUACAAAAUAUAAUCUUUUACCUCUAGCAUGUGAGUAUACAUCUAGUGUUUACUCAUCCCCAUACAUAUUUGUGUCCACUCAUGCAUAUAUCAAAACAUAUAUUCAAGGGUAAAUUAAAUUGAUCCUGAGUUUUAGUGAAAUUAUACAAAUUAUCUCUCAUUUUUCUACACCUACAUAAAUCCCCUAAUUUUUAUACUUUCAUUACACUGAUCACCUCUGCAUGAGAAAUAAGUGUAAUUUUUUGAACAAAAAAUGUGAUCAAUGCAAUUAAGUUAAACAAAACAUGGUAUAUUGUGGAGACAAAUCCAAAUAAUAUAUGAGUCGAUACGUCUUUAUUAUUUUUAGUUCGUUACGAUAUAGUAUAAGACCGAUUUAAACAAUAUCUCUUUAGAAUUGUUGAUGCAUUUUGUAAUAAAAAAUAAUAAAGAUACAUUGAUUUGUAUAUUAUUUGGAUUUGUCUCCACAAUAUACCAUGUUUUGUUUAACUUAAUUGCAUUUAUCACAUUUUCUGUUUAAAAGAUUACACUUAUUUCUCAUGUAAGGAUAGUCAUUGUAAUGAAAGUAUAAAAACUAGGGGAGGUUUGUGUAGGUGUAGAAAAAGUGAAAGGUGGUUUGUGUAAUUUCACUAAAACUCAUGAAGUGUGAGUGUAAUUAACUCUAUAUUCAAUAUGUUGUCACAUUUAAUGAGACAUUUAUAUGUUUUUUAACUAUAUAUAUAUAUGACAAUAAUUAUCACAUAAAUAGUAAUAAAUGUAUAUGAUAAAUUUAUGAAUAUAGUUCAAUCAUUAGAAUCUAUUAUGAAAUAAUAAUAAAAUAGAAUAUAUAUAAUCUCAAAGUAAUAAAAAUUAUAAUAUAUAUGUAUAAUAUUUAUUAAAAACAUAUUUUUAAAUAUGCAAUACCCACAUGGUAGAUUUUAUAAUACAUCUCCGUAUCCAUAAAUUAUUACAAUGAGUAUUUUUAUUUGUAUCCAUAAAUAUAAAUAUUUUUCUUAUCCAUGUGACAUAAUACAGUAUGUAAAAUCUAUAUUUAAAAAAAAGUAUUGAUACUUCAUACACCAACGAUAGAUAUUAUGUGCAAGUGAAAAUCAUUUGUAAUUAUGGUUUAGAGAUUAUGGAACCCAUCUAUAGAACUGAAUUUUUUUUAAUAAUUAAAAGAAAAAGUUCACAAAACCCCUUAAAUUUUAUGUGUAUUAUAAAUAGAUAUUAUAAACUAUUUUUUCUUCCUAAUUUCUCCUUAAACUUUAACUAUUGAUAAAUUGGUCCCUACAUGUAUACAAGUUUAAAUUACUAACAAUAAAAUUGAAAUUAACACAUUAGAUAAUGCAAUGUUGAUGCCAUGAGGAAACGCAAACAUCAAGGAUGGGGAAAAGGUCAAAUGUUGCAGAACCAACAAGUAUUUCAGGUCCCAAACCUGAAUAUUCAGCAUAGUUAUAGACAAUUACAACUGUCUUUAUUGCUUAAUAGUCCCAAGUCUCUCAAGAAACCGAGAAAGUUGGAAUAUCAUAAUUAAAUAAAUGUUAAUACUGAAUCAACAUAUAUCAAUCAAGAAGGAAGAAAGUCACUACAAACACAUAACUUUUUUAUUAUAAAAACAAUUUGCAGCACUUCGCAAUAUAAAGAGACCAAACAUGACGUCACAUUAAUUAGCAAUAACUGUGUUGUGGUAAAACAUGUUCUCACACAAAUGGGAGAUAAAAAAGCAGUAUUCAUGAUAACUAGUAUUCAUCUAAGUAAGACAUAUCAUGCAUUACAUUGACCCAGUGUUAUUAAAACCGUAUUCAUCUAAGUAAGACACAAAUGGGAGAUAAAACAUGUUCUCACACAAAUGAAAGUCUCGCAAAACUUAAAACUUGAUUUAUCUAAAAUAAGACAUAUCACUCAUCCAUACAUGAUAACUAGUAUUCAUGCAUUACAUUGACCCAGUGUUAUUAAAACCGUACCGGUUAUCAAACCGGUCAAGCUACUGGUAUAGUGGUACAGUGGUUCAACCAGUGGUUCAAUAAUUAAAUCGCAUGCCGGUUAAACCGGACAUGCUACUUAUAUUUAUAUAUAUAUAAACCUAUAACAAAAAAAUUCCAAAUAAGUAGAUACUCAAAUUUAUAAUCCAUAUUUAUAAUCUAUUCAAAAUUCACAUAAAUAAACAACUUUAAGUCUUUAACAAAUUCAAAGUCUAAAUUAAAAAACAUAUAUCAAUCCAAAAGUAUCACUUAACAACCGCAAAAUAUAAAUAAAUGACAUAAGUUCACAACUCACUCUACAAAACAAAUAAAUUUGGAGUUUUAACAUUUAACAUCAAUGAGUCAAAGUUGCCUCAUAUGAAUAUUAUACUUUUCUAUUUAAUCCUAUCUUCAGACAGUACUCCAAGAUUACACAAAUGUCACUGAGAUUACACACGAAUGUAAUCUAAGUAUGUUUUGGAAGUAUGUGCCUUGAAGGGUUGAAGAAUGGUUGGAAAUGUGGGUCACCUUGUAAUGGACUUUUAAGUUUUUAAGUUUUUUUAAAAAAAAAAUAUGUGUAUAAACCGGCCGGUUUAGUAAAAUACCGGCCGGUUCACCGGUUUGGAUCGGUUUGGACCGGUUUUUGACCGGUUUUGACCAGUUUAAUACUUGGCCGGUUCAACACCUGUACCGUACCGGUUAGGGGUCCGAUUUACCGGUUUUCCGGUUGAACCGACCGGUACGAAACGGUUUUUAUAACUAUGCAUUGACCACAUAUGAUUAGGAAUGACAACGGGGCGGAUCGGGGUCGGGUUUGCACAUAUCCAAACCGAACCCGAAAUUCAAAACCCGAACCCAAACUCAACGGGGUUGAAAAUAAAAAUACAAUACCCGAACCCAAAAAAAAACCGAAAAUGAUAAAGUAUUAAGGAAAAUAUGAUAUUAUUUUCGUGUAAUUUUUCUCUAACAUUUCUAUUUUCUCUUGUAUUAUUUCAUUUUUUUAUGUUUGAAGAUGCAAUAGUAUGUAAAGUAAAACUAGAAAUUAAAAACAAUUGGCAAAUGAUAGAAAUUUCAAUUUUAAAUUGAAUUACCUUAUUUCGAGACGGGUUUGGGUUAGGGUCUUUGCUAUACCAAACCCGAAAUUUAAACUCGGGUAAAACCUGAACCCAAACUUAAUCACAUCGGGGUUUCCCCUUUAAAUUCGGGUUCGGUUCGGGCGGGUACCCACGAGUUCAGUUUUUAUUGUCAUCCCUACACAUGAUUUUGUUGCAUCAAAAUGGUACAUAUUUCAAAAUCAUGCAUUGCAUGCACAUACAUCAUGUAGGAGGUUCAUCAAACAUCAUGUAAGAGGUUCAUCAUAUAUCAAAGAAAUUAAUUUUCAACUCUACUAAUAGACAUGGAAACUAAUAAUCAGUUAUGUAUGAGAAUAAUCGAUUAGAAAAAGAUCGAGUAGCUAAAAGAUUUAGAUCUCUUGGCACCAAUAAUUGAUUACUCAAGAAACAAUCGAUUAUUUUCAAGAGAUAAGUUUUUAGCUAGUUGAUAAUCGAUUACCAGUUGAGAUAAUCGAUUAGACAUAACAUGAAAUAAUUUUGUAUAAAAACAGUUUUUCUUCUCAUUUGUUCAGAAUCUUGGUUUUCAAAAUUUCAUAUUUUCAUAAAAAUUCUCUGAAUGAAAUCUUGUGUUGAAAAGUGUUAGAGUUUCUUUGGAUUUCAACAUUGAAAAGAGAUUGAAUUCUUACAUUCUUUUCCUAGAGUGCAUUAUAGAUUUCAUAUACACAAACCUUGCUUCAAUCUUCACUUAAACUUUAGGGUUCUUGUGAGAUUUUUGUCUUUGAGUUUGUUUCUGAGUUUAGUAUUCAAUUAGCACGUAUAAGGUGCAUAUUACUCAUAUUUUUCUUUAACCAAUUUAAUUGAAAUUCUCAAAAUUGUUGAGAAUUAGAGUGAAAAUCUAGCUGAUGUUAGGUAUUGAGUCUUCACAUUUACAAAGGUCUUGGUUGAGAGGAAUUAGCGGUUGUGGUUAUACCAUUAGUAGAUGUUAAGUAUCCUAAGAGACGAGUAGGAGGUCAAACCGCCGUGAGAGACUCUAGGACCAAGAAAUGAGCGUUUGUAAAGUCAUUGGGAGCGUGUUUGUAAUAUACAUUUUAUUCCAUGUUGAAUAAAAUCUCACAAGAUCGGAAUGGAAGGCUUGGAUGUAGUUUGCAAGUGGACCCGCAAACGAAGCGGAAUAAAAUUCUUUGUGCACUAUUCUAUCCUUUUAUCUCAAGAAAAUUUCAGUCUUUACGUGUUUUGUUAUUGGUUCUUGAAUUUGCUUAUUGAUUCUUUAUCUUCAUAUUAUUGAUUUAGCAUUUGGAAUAUUCUCGUUAAGCAAAUUGAAAUUGUAAAGAUUGUUUAUGAGAUAGCUUGUUUUGCAAAAAACUAUUUUGGUCAAGAUUUCAAAGAAUCAGAAUAAUUGAUUAGUGUUGAUAAUAAUUGAUUACUUUUACUGAUAAUAAUCAAUUGACACGUGUAAUAAUCGAUUAUCAUGGAUUGUUUUUCAAUAUUCUCAAUGAAUAGAAAAAGUAACAUUAGAAAACCGCUACACUUAUUCACUCCCUCUAGGUAUGUUUUACAAGACGUUUACUCAACAAGUGGUAUUAGAGCUAGUAUGACAAUGCUAGCUUGAUCGCUUAGAUCAUUGAUCCUAGGAAAAAAUCACAAUGGGCUCUACUAACCCUUUUGGUGACAAUGUCGCAUCCAUCAAUCGCCCUCCAUUUUUCAAUGGCAAGAGGUACGCCUACUGGAAAGUACGAUUGAGAAUAUUCAUUGAAGCGAUUGACACAAACAUUUGGGAGGUUGUAGUCAAUGGUCCCUACAUUCCACUACAACUAGUAAGUGGAAGGUGAGACUAAAGAAAAGCCAAAAAUUUUGUGGAUGGAUGAUGAAAAACGAAAAAAUCCAACACAGUUUAAAAGCUUAAAACAUCAUCACAUAUGCGCUUUCGCAUGAUGAAUUAUUUAGAGUGUCGCAAUGUAGUAGUGUUAAGGAAAUGUGAGAUACCUUAUUAGUAACCCAUGAAGGCACAAGCAAAGUCAAGCAUGCGAGACUAAAUGCCUUAACACAUGAGUAUGAGUUGUUUAGAAUGUUUCCUAAUGAAUCAAUCAGUGAUAUACAAAAAAGGUUUACUCAUAUUGUUAAUCAUUUUGUGCAUUAGAUAAAUCUUUUGUUGCCAAAGGUGAACUAACAAAUAAAGUAUUGAUAUGUCCUGACAAUAAUUGGCAACCCAUGAUAGACACCAUGGAGUCAAAGGACUUGGAUUCAAUGACACUCGCUACACGUUUUGGCAAACUCCAAGAACAUGAGAUGGAGUUAGGCCACAUGACAUUGCAUGAAGAAUCAGAUAAAAAGAAUAAGGGUAUCUCUCUAAAAUCCUCAAAAUCACAAAGCUAAGAAGAGAAAUUUGAUGAUGAUUCUGAUUCAGAUUCCAAUGAAGAAACCAUAACACUUCUAGUACGAGAAUUCAACAAGUUCCUCAAGAGGAAAGGUGGGCUGAAAAGGUUUCAACAAAAAAGGCGAAAGAAUCAACCAGAAAAGGCAAGGAUCCCAAGGAACGCCUCACUUGCCACAAAUGUGGGAAAGAGGGACAUAUGAAAUAUCAAUGCCCAAAAUAUCUUAAAAAGGUUGAGAAAAACAAUAACAACACUCAAGACUUUAAAUCGAAGAUGACUUACGUAGUACGGAAUGUUCCCGAAGAGGAGUCAACAACGAGCACCUCGGAGGAGGAAGAAACAUCAAAAUUGUGCCUCAUAGUCAACACUCAUGAUUCUUGCAAAUCAAAUGAACAUGGAGAUUCUAGUGAGGUACAAUCUUUUGAAACUAACUCAUAUUCUGAAAAUUCACCUACAUAUGAUGAAAUUUGUGGUGCCUUUGUUGAACUACAUGAAGAAUUAAAGAAUCUAGUUCAAAUGCAACAUGAAUUAAAAGAAUUAAAACUAGAAAAUGAGACUCUUGAUCUUAUAUAUGUUUGUUCUUCAUGUGAUUGUUCUUCUAAGUUAAAUGAGACAUCUAUUUGUGAAAAUUGCAAGAUUUUAGAAGCUAAAAAUUCUAUUUUUAAAAAAGACAAUUGCAAGUUUCACAUAUAUAGUCAAAACCUAGACAAUUUGCUUGCUACUUCAAGAAACAUAGGUAACUGAGCUGGUUUAGGCUAUAAACAUGCUAAUAAAAAAAAGGUCAUAUGGAAAGCAAGUAGCUCAUACUCAUAACAUGCAUCAUAAUAACUUGCCUACUUUUUUAUUGUGAAAUUUCUGGCCAUACAUCCAUUUCUUGUCAUAUAAGAAGGCAUGUAGUGCCUAGUGGCAAAUUUGUAUCGAUACAAAAAGGGUUAGCACCCUUGGUUACUAACAAAAAGGGACCCAACAUAAAUUGGUACCUAAAAGUAUCAAGUAAUUUUUUUUUGUAAGUAUGCCUCUAAAGACACGGACAACAUUGGUACCUUGAUAGCGGUUGUUCGAGGCAUAUGAUAGGUGAUAGGUCUAAAUUCCUUGAAAUAUCACUCAAAGAAAAGAGUUGUGUCACAUAUGGUGAUAACAAUCAAGGAAAAAUACUCGAUGUUGGAAAAAUAGGUAAUGUUUCGCAACCUAUUAUCGACAACAUCCUUUAUGUAGAAGGGUUUGAGCAUAACUUGCUAAGCAUAAGCAAGAUGUGCGAUCAAGGUAACAAACUGUCUUUUGAUUUUAAGUUUUGUAUUAUACACGAUGGCAUAAAUAAUAAAGUUAAACUCAUUGGUCAUAGAAUUUACAACAUUUAUAGGAUUGACUUGGAAGAUAUCACUUCUCUAUUUUCAAAAUACUUUAUUUCGAUGGAAAGUGAUAUUUGGGUUUGGCAUCAUCGAGUAGCACAUAUUCACUUAAAACACCUAGAAAAAGUGUCAUAUAAGGAAUUAGUAAUUGAGCUACCAAAACUAAAUUUCAAAACAUAUGACAUUUGCGACACUUGUAAAAAAUGUUAGCAAGUUAAAAACUCUUUUUCUUCAAAAACAGUGAUAUCCACAACCUGGCCAUUGGAAUUACACCACAUGGACUUGUUUAAACCCUCCCAAGUUAUGAGUUUUGGUGGUAGCUACUACACGCUCAUAAUAGUCGAUGACUUUUCUAGAUUUACAUGGACAUGGUUCACUGCCUUAAAAAGUGAUACUUUUAAAUCUUUUAACAAUCUUGCCAAACAACUCCAAAACCAAUUUAAUAAAAAAAAUUGUGUUUAUUCGAAGCGAUCAUAAUGGUGAAUUUGAAAACCACUUGUUUGAAAUUUUUUGUGAGAAACAUGGUAUCCAACACUAAUGGAGUUGUUGAGAAGAAGAAUCGAGUCUUAGAGGAGUUAGCUAGAAUUAUGUUGAAUGAGAGCAAGGAUCCAAAAUACUUUUAGGCUGAUGCGGUACAUAACAAAUCCAAUGUGAUUAAUAGAGUACUAAUUAGGCCUCCACUUUCAAAAAAACCCUAUGAACUAUUAAAAGGUCGUAAACCAAAUAUCACACAUCUUCAUGCUUUUGGUUAUAAAUGUUUCAUACUUAAUAAUGGAAAAGAAAAAUUAGGAAAAUUUGACUCAAAAUUAGAUGAGAGAAUAUUUUUAGCUUACUCUGUACAUAGUAAGGCUUAUAGAGUUUAUAAUAAAUACAAUAUGUCUGUAGAAGAGUCUGUUUUUGUAUAUUUUGACGAAUCUUCUCUAAAAAAGAGAAGAGAAUGGUUGUUUGUGAUGACAUUUCAAGUGCUUUAGAAGACGCUUAUAUAAAAUAUGUGGAAGCAUAAAAUGUGGAGCAUAAUGAUCAUUAAGUAAGUCAGGAUCAUCAGGAUAUGCCUAAAGCAUGGAAAACAAAGAAAGACCAUCCCAUCGACAAAGUGAUAGGUGAUAUUUCUAAGAGACUGGUAACCCGAAACUCUUUAGGUAAUAUUUUAAAUUUUGUUGUUUUUGUUUCACAAAUCGAGUCGAAAAAUGUUAAUGAGGGCUUAGAGGAUGGACAUUGGGGUAUAGAUAUGCAAGAAAAGCUAAACUAGAUUGGGUGAAACAAUGUAUGGGACUUGGUCCCUAAGCCAAAUGAUUAUCCUAUCAUUGGCACAAAAUGGGUCUUUCGUAAUAAAUUGGAUGAAUCAGACUUGAUAAUUAUAAACAAAGCAAGGCUAGUAGCUCAAGGUUAUAAUCAAGAAGAAGGUAUAGAUUAUGAUGAGACCUAUGCUCUUGUUUCUAGGUUGGAAGCCAUUAGAAUGUUAUUAGUAUAUGCAUCUAUCAUGGAUGUCAGACCCUUUCAAAUGGAUGUAAAAAAUGAUUUCUUAAACGGUUACAUUCAAGAGGAGGUGUAUGUUAACCAACCCCCUGGUUUUGAGAACUUUAAAUAUCCAAACCAUGUCUUUAAGCUUAAAAAGGCUCUUUAAGGUUUGAAACAAGCCCAAAGGGCUUGGUAUGAAAGACUAAGCUUAUCUCUUUUAGAAAAAGAGUUUUGUAUGGGGUAAGGUAGGCACCACACUUUUUAUAUCAAAAUCUGAAAAUGAUAUAUUGUUAGUGCAAAUAUACGUAUAUGACAUUAUUUUCGAUGCUACUAAUGAUAUUUUAUGUAAUAAACUUUUGGAUUUGAUGAAAAGAGAACUCGAGAUGUCUAUGAUGAGAAAAUUAACCUUCUUCUUAGGGCUCCAAAUAAAGCAAUUGAGCAACAGUGUUUUUGUUCACCAAUUGAAGUAUUGUAAGGAGCUUUUGAAGAAAUUUGAUAUGGAAAAAUAAAAGGAAGCUUCUACACCUAUGGCAUCGUCUUGUCAUCUUGACAAGGAUGAAAAGGGGAAAGCUAUCGAGGUAACUAUGUAUCGUGGUAUCAUUGCUUCAUUGUUAUAUCUUACAUCAAGUAGAUUUGAUAUUAUGUUCAAUAUGUGCAUUUGUGCUAGAUACCAAUCAUCUCCUCGAGAGUCACAUUUUUUAGCUAUAAAAUGCAUCAUGAAAUAUUUGAAAGUAACUAAAAACAUAGGACUAUGGUAUCCUAAGGAUGCCUCACUCUCUUUGAUAUGAUAUUCAGAUUCGAAUUUUGCCGGAUGCAAGUUGGAUCGUAAGAGUACAAGUGGAACUUGCCACCUUUUAGGUAGUUCGCUAGUGUCAUGGGACAUCAAAAAGCAAGCUUGUGUUAUUUUAUCAACAACCAAAGUGGAAUAUAUUGCCACCAGUGUGUGUUGUGCUCAAAUCUUAUGGAUGAAGUAACAAUUAUUAGACCACGGUCUAAAGCUUGAUAAAGUACCAAUCAAGUGUGACAACACAAGUGCCACUAACCUAUCUAAUAAUCUCAUAUUGCAUUCAAGGACUAAGCAUAUAGAAAUUAGACAUCAUUUCCUUAAGGAUCAUGUGCAAAAAAGUGAUUGCAUAAUUGAGUUUGUGAAAACCUCAAAGCAACUAGCCGAUAUAUUCACCAAGUCAUUUCCAAGGGAUAUUUCUUUGUAUUAUGUAGAGAACUCAAAAUUCUUGAUGAAUCAUAUCUAAGUUAAUGUGCUUUAGGUUCUUCUAUAUGACUUUGCCAGGAUUAUAUUGUAUGCUUAUAUGUUAUUCUAUUUGAAUGCAUGGUUCUUGUAUCUAAUCGAGUGCAUGAGUGUUUUGCUUGUUAGUGUGUCUUAGCCCCUUAGGAUAGGUUUCUACCAAUAGUAUCUUAGCAUCCCCCAAGAACUACACAAAGUAUACUCAAAUCUGUGAUUUUACUACAUGUAAUCGAUUGUUCUGAGAUCUAAUCGAUUACCUGGGAGAAAAUUUUCAAAACUGGAAAAAAUUUCAUAUCGAUAAUGGAUUAUCUCCUAUAGAUAAUCGAUUUCCAACAACAGUAAAACAUAUUCAAAUAAAGAUCAAAAGGCUAAUUCGUCUAAACCCUAAAUCCUCUAAGCUUUGACCCAUUUCAAAAAAUUCAAAUUAGUUAUUCCAAUAGCAAAUUCGAGCAACCCCUACUCUAAUCUCUUCCACCUCUACACUUAAAUUGAUCCAAUAGUUCCAAAAACCUGAAAUCCCCAAUUCUCAUUUUCAGAACCAUAAAACCCCAAAUUCAAAAAAAAUCGAUUAAUCAUUUGUUUAGACCAUCUACCAUAUGAAAAUAUGAGUGAAGGAAAGACACAACGCAUUAAGCAUACUGCAAAACGUACGAGAACUUCGGAGGUUGGUGGUUCGUCCACUACUAGAAUCGGAAGAACCACUGCACGGAGUGACCUUUAUUAUGCUCCAAAUCUCCAAGAUGAGAGGUUGGCCAAACUUCAUGGAAGAAAACAAAGCUACAUUAGGUAUGUUGACUUGUCUUGGAUGGUACAACAAGGAUUUGAAUUUCCCCAUCAACUAGAGGCAUAAGGAGUUACUGGUUUCUAAGAACUUAACGAUAACAUUUAUCCCUAUCUAGUUAGGGAAUUCUAUUAUAAAUUUUAGUUUAAGGAUGGUGUUUAUGCUAGUUUGGUUAAGGGAAUGGUAUUUACUUUGGAUCAGGAAUUAUUUCUGGAAGUUGGAGGACUUUCUAGUUAUGGUGCAUCUUGGGGAGAUUUUCAUGAUGAGACAUGAGACUCAUAUGACACUGGGAUAUGUACAAAGAAGCUACUAAAGUUAGUUCAUUUUUUGUUGAGAAUCGACUUUUACACUACGCAAUUGAUACAUUUUAGUUCAGAGAAACAGAAACCAUGCUUAGCCAACUAUCAACGACUUUAAGUUAAUGUUUGCUAUCAAGAAGGGUAUUAUGGUAAAUUGGCCUGAUGAAAUUCUGAAGGUCAUGUCUGGGAUUGCCUCACCUUUUUCUAGGCUGCUUGGAGAUAAUGACUAUUGAUUCCCGCAAGUAUUCAAUAGGUGACAACUUAAUAAGAAAAAGAGUUUAUAUAAGUAUGGUGCAAUAUGGAUAUAUCAAGAAAAUCACAAUACCAUUGUGAUUUAAUUGGAAACUAGUUGCAAUGCACACAAUCUUUUUUAUUAACAAAACAAAGAUUCUUUGCAUAAAUUAUGGUACUUAAUUCCACUUUGAUUCACAUUUGAUUCUAAUGUCAUUAACAUGGACAUUUAAUUCAAAUGUCACUAAUAUGAAUGUUUAAUUAUACUUAGAUUUAGGGGUGAGCGUGAGAUGGGUUGGAACGGGUUAAACUUGUCCCUCACUCGUUCUUAAAUAUUGAUCGAGUUAAUUUUUGAACCCGUCCCUAAUUAGGAUGCACGCGUGAGAGACAGAUCCAAAAUAAGACGUGUCAAAAUAGAGACGAGUCUGGGUUGGAAAAGGACAAAAUGACAAACGUAGAUUUUUUUCUCAAAUCUUUAAGCAUGCAUAAUUAAAACUAUUACAAACUUUAUGUAAACUCAACUAAAACUUGCAUUUCUCAUACACCAGUAUAUAAACUACAAAUCGUAAAUUGCAUCCUUCAAAAUAAAAACUAUCACAAUCUUAUUUUUUUAUACAAUUGUAAUAUUUACCUUACUCAUAUUGCAACACAAUCAAUUUGAUAUGAUUUGUUUUUCAUAGUAAGGAAUGAGGAUCAUAUGAUAAGUGGUGUAGAUAUGUUAUAUGGGCUUCUAUGUAUUUGAGUUAUGUGGACUAAACAUAUUGAUAGGCAUGUAUUCAACUAUUCUUGAUAUAUAAUUAUAAGGGACGAGUCGGGUAACCCAAACAUAGACCUGAACUCGUCCUUUUUUGACAACAUGUUUGUCCCUUUUAAUCGGAUUUGUCCUUUUUUAUUUAUUUGGAUGGGUUUGUCCCUAAGUCAUCAUGUUAGGAUAGGUUUACGGGUCGGAUCGGGUCUUGAUCACCCCUACUUAUAUUCUCAUUUUAUAACGCUUAAUUCUACCAUUAUAUAAUAUUAAUGUGCAUGUUUAAAAUAAAUUUUAAAGUAAAUUACACUGACACCCUCUGAGCUUUAGCUUUAGUGAUAUUACAUAAAUCACGCUUCACUUUUUUACACCUACACAAAACCUCCUAAUUUUUACAUUUUCAUUACACUCACCACCCCUGCAUGAGAAAUACAUGUAAUUUUUUAAACAAAAAAUAUAUUAAAUGCAAUUAAGUUAAACAAAACAUGAUAUCAAUAUUAUUGGGACCAUACCAGACGGUCCGACCGUCAGCCGUUCACAUGGCCGUGGAAAAACCGGUCUAGCCGAGUUAGACCAAGUAAAAUGGGAAUAACCUAAUCGGUUAAACCGGUCGGCUACAAUAAUUAAAAAUUCUCAGAAAAUAAUAGUAGAUCCACCAAAAACAUUAAACAAAGAAACAAAUAGAAACCUCACAUAAAACCUAGCCACCAAACUCAAGAGAAGUUCACUAUUGUCACGCCGUCUUACAGAGCACAGUUGCAGCGCCUCUCGAAGCAGCGUAGCACCGCCUCUUGAAGCAGCGUCACACCGCCUUCACAGUAGCGUCUCAUCUCUCACAGAAGUGGUCUUUUAUUUGAAAGGGUUUGUGAUUUUGUGCUUUGUUUAAUCACUUUCUCCACAACCUAGUUUCUUUUAUUUGUGCCUUGUUUAUUUGAAACUUGAAAGAGUUUUUGGCUUUGUCCUUUAUUUCAAUUUUCAACAAUGCAACAAUUCACUUUCUUUUAUUUGUGAUUUGUUUAAUAAAUAAGAGAUGAUGUUAUCUUUACUUUAUUGCAUACACCAAAUAACCAUUGCUGCAUCUUUAUAAUAAACCUACAAUAGUACCCUUUCUUUUAUUAUUUGUGUUUUGUUUAUUGAGUAAAAUAUUAUGGCAUUUUUACUUUAUUGCAAAAAGCGGAAGACCAAUGCUGUAAGUCUGCACCAGACCUGCAACGGUGCACACUCCAAUGCCUACCCUUUAUUCAAUUUGUUACUGCAUAGACCUGCAACUUUUAUUUUGAUUUAUAUGUAUGCAUCCCAUUAUGCUGAUAUUAAUAAGUGUUUUAUUCACUUAUUUUUUAUUAAUUAUAUAAUAUAUUUAUAAUUAUAUAUGAUAUUAUAAUAUUGUCUGGUUCGAUCGGAUGGUCUAACCUAUUAAAUUGGUUAGAACUUUAUUAUCUCUGCCGAGUUAAUGUCCGGCUCGGGUCUCAGAACAAUGUAUAAUAUAUUGUGGAGACAAAUUCAAAUAAUAUACAAAUCAAUGUAUCUUUAUUAUUUUUUGUUACAAAAUGCAUCAACAAUUCCAAAGAGAUAUUGUUUAAAUCGCUCUUAUACUAUAUCGUAACGAAUCAAAAAUGAUAAAUAUGUAUUAACUCAUAUUAUUUGGAAUUGUCUCAUAAUAUACCAUGUUUUGUUUAACUAUAUUAUAUUUAUCACAUUUUUUAUUUAAAAGAUUACAUUUAUUUCACAUUCAGAGGUGAUUAGUUAAUGAAAGUAUAAAAAUAAGGGUUGUGUAAUUUACUCUAAAUUCUAAAAAAUCACCCAAUAAUGAUUAAUUUUGAUAAUCUUAUUAUAUUAUCUUAUGCAAUUGCAAGAACUUAAUGCAUAUUGUAACGUGGGCAAAGUUGAGCGAUUAGAUUGCAUAAUAGUAACUCUCUCCCUUAAUUACCAUGAUGCCCCUUCUUUUGUAUUGAAUUGUUAUUCGAAAUUGACUUAGAUGUAUGAAGAAACAAUAUUUCCUUGAUUGAUAUUGCCACAAUGCUAGCUCUUGGUUCCCAGGAAAAUUCUGAAUAGAAUUUAGUGGAAAAUAUUCCUUAUGAGAGAAUUAGAGUUAUUCUCAUUAAUGAUAAUCUCACUUUCCUCAGGGAUUUUGUUUUGCAAUUGCUUUCACCUUUUAUUAGUAAUUAUUGCAUGUGAUUUCAUAAGCUUGAAUAUCCCAUUUUCAGUUCUUAUACAUUUCUGAUUGUCUGACUUGAUAAUCUUAUUGUAUUAUCUUAUACAAUUGCAAAAACUUAAUGCAUAUAUUAUUAUUAUAAUUCAUUAAUCGUAUAAAUAAAACUAAUAAUGUUGUGCUUGAUGCAUAUUGUAUAUGUAACUUUUUAAAUAGAACAAUAUACUACAAUUUAAACAUAAUUAUAUUUUAUAAUGUUUAAUUCAUAUUUUAUAGUUUAACAUUUGAUUGAAAGUUUAAUUCUAGUUUGAUUGUCAUUUUAUUACAUUUACGUUAGACAUUAUAAUUAUAUUGAAAUUUUAUUACGUUUACAUUGUAUUAAUAUUGAAUUGUAUUAUAUUAAUAUUUGUAGCCAAUUUUAAAUAUUAAAAUUUUAUUGUAUUAAUUUUUACAACCUAUUUCAAAAAAAAUUCUAUUAAGACUGAGAAGAAUAUAAAAGAUUAAGAGAAACCCAUUUUUUAAAUAAAAUAGACAUGGCUUGAGCUUGGAAGAGAAAUUGUACAUGUAAAAUUAAUCGAUCGGUGAUCAAAGUAAAGAUGAUAUGCAGAGAAAAAUAAAAAUGAGUUUGAUUUUCUCAUUAAAGAGUAAAGAGAGUGUAUAGAGAAAGAGAAAAACAAUUUAGAAAGUGAAUUACAUAUGCUUAAUGGAACGGAAAAAUCAAAAGAUCAAAAGAAGUUAAUCGAUUAAUGAUCAAAAAAUGACAACAUGUAGAUAAAAACGAAAAUGAAUUUGAUUUUCUCAUUGAAGAGUGAAGAGAGCGUAUAGAGAAAGAGAGAAAGCUUAGAAAGAGAAAGAUAAUUUAUAAAGUGAUUUAUAUAUGCUUAAUAGAACGGAAAAAAAUCAGAAGAUUAAAAGAAAUUAAUCGAUUGAUGAUAAAAAGAAUGAUGACAUGUAGAGAAAAAAUUAAAGAAAAUGAGUUUGAUUUUCUCAUUGAAGAGUGAAGGGAGUGUACAGAGAAAGAAAGAAAAAAAAUUAGAAAGUGACUUACAUGUGCUUAAUAGAAUGGAAAAUCAGAUGAUCAUACUUAUGAAAUUAAUUGAUUGAUGAUCAAAAUAUGGAUGACAUGCAGAGAAAAAGAAAAUGAGUUUGAUUUUCUCACUAAAGAGUGAAGGGGGUGUAUAGGGAAAGAGAAAGAGAGUUUUGAAAGUGACUUUUGAGAAAAGAUGAAAAGUGAGAAUGGAAGAAGUGUGCAUAGAGAUUUUUAUGGAUUACUUGUUGAGUGGUAGACUCUACAAAUUAUAUUCUAAAUUUAGGAGGUGUCAAAUUUUGAAAGUGUCUAUUUUUGUAAUAACAUGAGUCCAACCAAUUUAUAAUAAGAUAGUAGAUGUUUAAUUCAACAAGUUUAAGAUAUAAUCGAAUCAAUGUAAUUAGUGAUGAAUCUGUUUUAAUACAUGUGAGCAUGAUGUUAAUAUCUUCCCCAAUCUAUAUUUGACUUCCGAGCUUAGAACUAUACUUUAGUGAUCAUGAUUGUAAGAAAUUUUGGGUCACACAUGUAAUGUUUAAAUGUGUUUAAGGUCAUUAUUUUAUGUAGUCAAAUUAAAGUGAUCUAAUUCAUGUAAGAUAUAUGGCUAUAGACAUAAUUGUCAUGAAAAUUAUUGUGUAGAUACCUAAAGUCUUAUUUCUAUUUUAUGAUGGACAAAAUUAAAAUAGGAAAAUGAAGUAGCAUCGUCAUUCAUGAAAGGUUAUGUGCUUCUUAUAAAUAUGGGGUUAUGGUCCCUAAUUGUAGACCACAACAUAACAUACAACAAUAUGAACCAAAAUAUGAGAGUUCAUUCUCUUCAUCCCAUUAGAAGAGAAACUAAGGCCAAGGGUAAUAUACAAUUGGAAGGCCAAAGAAUCUACAUGUUCUAUAUGAACAUGCAUUUGGAUACAAGAAUAAAGGAUGACAUGGGGUUGGUGGCAUGAUGAAUGAUUGUAUAAGGUUCAUUCACCAUAUUCUCUAUGAAUAUAUUAAGGUAUGAUUCCGCUAUAGUUUUGUAUAUUUUCGUGAUGAUUUGACAUGAAAAUUCUUGACAAUAUAUGAUGAUAAUAUUUAUCAUCUUUAGUAUGUAUUAUGUAUUUUAAGUAUAAAGUCUUCCGCCAAUAUAUAAAGUCUACCAUUAUUAAGGUCUAUCAUUAGAGAUUUUUUUUCCAAUAAGUGGUAUAAGAGCCACCUUCAUCUCAUUUCAUUAGGAAAUAACGUUAUCAAGUAAUACUUUUGAGAGUGUGGUUGAAUUGUCUUUAUGAAAAUUUAUUGUGUCCUAAAAAUGUCAUAUUAAGAUUAAACAUGUUCGAAUUGUUUUUGGAAUCUUUAUUUUUUAUCAUGAAAACAUGUUCUACUUAGUAUGGUUUUCAUGAGAGCAUAAUUUUUGAUUUUGAUUAAAGUUGACACAAGAAAUUAUUGAUGGCUAUAAUGGACAAUUUCAUUUGUUUAUUGUGUGCAUUUCUUAAAACAUACUACUAUUUUGGUCAAGUUGAAUAACAGUAGGAUUAUUGCUAUUCAAUUUAUUUGAUUCUAAAUUUAUGAAUUAUAAGUUAAGAAUUACAACCACAUAAAUUUGUAGAAACAGAACAGCAAAUAAAUUUGUGAAGUUCUGGUAUUGUUGGUUGUGUGAUGAAGCUUCAGUAUUAGGAUUAUGAGUUUAAUAUCUAGUGAUUGAAAAUUUUGUUUUUUUAUUAUUGUCUCAUUAUUACGGGUACAUAAAUUAUUUUCUGUUGUAAGAUGUUACAACUAUUCAUGAUGUGCUGCACUGGUUUGUGAUUUUUCAUGUCAAAACUUAUACCCGUAGUUCAAUAGACAGAUUCUAUUGUUUGAGCUACUAUUUUUUUAAAAACUUUUCAAUUAAAUAAUAAUGAAAUGUUUGGAUUUUAUAUCAAGGUUUUGGUUAAACAACUCUAGAAUAUAUAGAAAUAUAUUUUGGUUAUCAAACAAUGCAACAGUUUGUGACUAGUUGCAUUGGUCGGGUGCUUAGUAUUUAUCUAUCUGGUCAUGGGUUGAACACCCGAUGGUUGCCAUAUUUUUUGCAUAAUGUUUCACUUAAAUUAUAUAUAAGUUUUACUUAUAGGAAAAGUUGUGACUAGUUGCGUUGGUUUUGUGAUUUUUCAUGUCACCAUUUGAUCUAUCUGUUUGGUGUUUGAAAAUUUGAACCUGGGAAUGUUAGGUAACUAGAAAAGAGACUCAUACUAGGCUACUAGUGUAACAUGGCGAUUCUGUCUCCAAAGUAUAUAUAUUUAUAUGUUGUGUAUAAAUAAGAUAUAUUUUGGAUUAAGUAUUCAAUCAAAUUCAAGUUUGUUGAGGGUAUUUUUUGAACUAUAGAUUGCUCAUAAUAAAUGUCAAAUAUUAGUGUGUAUAUGUAUCCAUGCGAAUAUUAAUCGGCCCAAAGGAAGAUUAUUAUUUGGCCGGAUUAUAUAUACACAUGUGAUGGUAAACAUUUGAUAAUUAUAAGUUGUAUAUGUGAAUGAUAAAUCAAUCCAAAGAAGGGUUUAUUAUUUGACAUAUACUGUGAUCAAUGUUUAACCAUUACAACAAGAGUUCCAUUAUCAAUUGAUAUGGAAUAUCAAGUCAAUUGUAUGUUUGUAGUUUUAUGCGAAUAAUGAUCAGCCCAAAGGAAAAUUACUAUUUGGCCAAAAUUAUAAAUAUACUUGUGGUCAUAAAUAUGUGAUAAUCAUAUAGUUUUUCAUAUGAAUAUUAAGUUGGUCCAAAGAAAGACUUAUUAUUUGACAUACUUAUUAUUAAUAUUUGAUUACUGCAUUGAGUGUACCACUUACAAGUUAAUAUUUGUGUCCAAAGACCGAAUAUUAAUGUUGUACUAGGUAACUCAUGGUGUUCCCCCCACCAUUAUUUGAAUCUAAGGUUUACAAUUGAUUGGGUUUAAUUGCAAGAAUGAUUUCAAUUUAUUUUAUUCUUUGCUCUAUUGACUUCUCUGCUUUUAUAAUAUCUGCAAAUAUAUAUUAUGUCUUCCUAAAUUGCACUAACUUUAAGAAUUAAGGAGAAAACAUUGUAUUUGUUCUCCAAUGCAUGAAUCUAUACCUUGCACUUUAGAAAGGAACAAUUCAUUAAUUUAAGGAAGUUCCAUUAAGGAUAAAGGGAACUAUGAGAAUUGAGAAUGUUCAAAUAACAUGAGUCUUAUUUUCAUUAGGUAUGCAAUUUCAUGAACAUUCAUGGGUGCAAUGUUUUAGGAAUGAACUUUAAAGUUAAAGAUAUAUAGUAGAUUCCUUAUGCAUUGGCUAAGUGAGUCUAAUGUAUAUAUAAAGUUGUGCACAUCAGGAUAUUGUGUACUUUGUUAGAAUGCAGAUGUUUAAGGAAUUCAAUAACCAAUAAUUGGAAGACAACCAAUUAGGUUAUUAAGUACUUAUAAAGAACAAAGAAAUUAUGUUCUUACAUACAUAAAGUGUUUCACUUAGAGAUCAUUAUGUAUUGUUAUUUAGUCUUGUUAGAUAUCAAUACAGUUGAAAAUCUAUAUCUAUCUAUUUGGUGGGUGAUGAGCUAUUUCGGAAAGUGCUAAGCAGACCAUUAAAGUUAUAUUGUGACAAAAGGUUAGCAGAGUUAUAUCUCGUUUAAGGAAAUAAUUCAGAGUGGUCAAAUGUCUAUAUAACAUAUUGACACAAACUCCAAGUUGCAAAAGGUUUAUCAUAUAAGGUCUUUCGCAAGUACAUUGCUCAUAUGAGUAUUACAUCACUUGAGGAUAUUUUGGUUUAGUGAGAGUUUAUAUUUGGAUAUUCUCUUUAUAUAGACAUGUCUACGGAUAUGUAUAUAUAUAUAUAUNNNNNNNNNNNNNNNNNNNNNNNNNNNNNNNNNNNNNNNNNNNNNNNNNNNNNNNNNNNNNNNNNNNNNNNNNNNNNNNNNNNNNNNNNNNNNNNNNNNNGGUUAAGUCAUCUUUAGUUCAUACAAACUAAAUCAACAAAGGCGGAAACUACAUCGCCACUAACAUAUACAAAAUCCAAAAAGAAAGGGCGGAAAUACUAAUCAUCGCCAACAGACACUAAACAAAGACAUGAACAAGCUGAAACCGUCCUUGUUUCAAAAGUCACAAGAUGAUAAACAACUCCUAGUGGCUAACUCCAAAGCUAGGGUAUUGCCUCUUCCUCAAUUCCUCAUGCCCCCUCCUGGAACGUCACGGACGGGUAGCUCCAAAUCCGAGUACAGCUGUCUACCUGACGAGUACACGUCCGAAAAGCANNNNNNNNNNNNNNNNNNNNNNNNNNNNNNNNNNNNNNNNNNNNNNNNNNNNNNNNNNNNNNNNNNNNNNNNNNNNNNNNNNNNNNNNNNNNNNNNNNNNACCCUACCCGGGUUCGUCGCAUUGUUCACAACCUCAUCUUAUUUCAAUCUUUCCACACUGUCCCUCGCCCAAGUGGGGACUAGUUGCUCAAGCGACAAUUCGCCUUUAAAUCUCAAAUAGAUUGAAGCUUUCCUCGCCUAGGCGAAAGUAUUAUCGCCCAAGCGAGAGGGUUCCAGAAAUCUCUCGCCCAAGCGAGAGGGUUCCAGAAACUCAUUAAAAUUCUGGAUUUUUUUUUCGCCCAAUCGAGUUUUUGCUCGCCCGGGCGGACUUUUGCUCGCCCCGGCGACGCCUCGGUCGCCCCCAGGCGAAAAUCCUGGAAUUUGUUUUUUUUUCGCCCGAUCGGGUUUUUGCUUGCCCGGGCAGACUUUCGGUCGCCCGGCCUCGCCCCGGCGACGCCUCGUUCGCCCAGGCGAAAAUCCUGGAAGUUUUUUUUUUCGCCCAAUCGGGUUNNNNNNNNNNNNNNNNNNNNNNNNNNNNNNNNNNNNNNNNNNNNNNNNNNNNNNNNNNNNNNNNNNNNNNNNNNNNNNNNNNNNNNNNNNNNNNNNNNNNUUUACCUUAUCUUUGAAAAUGCAAAAGUGAGUGAGUGAAGUGUGAAGUGUGAGGGGUUAAGGAGAGAGGGAAAUCAGAUUUUCCUCUAGGCAAUCAUCAAAAAAUCCCUAGGGUGGCGAAUGAGGUCAUGAAAUAUUUGAGAAAGUGAUGGGAGAUUUGCUUUAUGGAAGUCAACUCUCACAUCCCAAUGCAAAAUGAUUACCUUGUGGAUAUGUGCAAUAAACAUGUCCGAGUAUUAUCGGCCAAUACUCGAUCGGGUAUUAUAAAUUGCCCGAUCCUAAUAUCCGAUUAGAAUUUCGGAUUUCGGCAUUUCGAGUGAAAAAUAUUUAGAAAAUAGGUAUGAGUGUACUCCAAGUCUAUAUUGACUCGAAAUAAAAUUACGAAUCCAACGGCGCGAUCGAAAUUCGAUUUCGAGUUACGGAACUCAAAAAGACACUUUUUGAGCCGUACCGGGCGGAUUCGGCCCCGACAGUGGUCCAGAACCAACUGUCUCAAAAAAUUACCAGAAAUUACCAGAAAAUCGGAAAUAAAAUUUCAAGAAUAAAACUCAACUAGAGUUUUGUCUAAUUCUUUACCAAAAAUUCCCAGAAAUUCAUUUUCGAAUAUAUAAUUAAUAAAAAUAUUAGCAAAAUCUUAUAAUUCAAACUCGUAAAAUUCGCGGUGUUACAUCACCUUCAUGUUAUUUUAAUGCUACACAUUUCAUGAUUGAUCUAAUGUCAUUUAGUUGUGUUAAUAUUAGCGAUCAUUGUUUGGUUUAGUUAUGAUUGAUAUAACGAAAGUCGCUUUGGUUCUAUAUAUUGAUAUAAUUAUUGGACGAGAUAAGGAUAUGUCUAAGAUUUAUUAUAAUGACGUAAUUUUGAUCUCAUAAAGUCUAACACAAUUUGUACAAUUACAUAUGUGACCAGUGAGAGAUUGUUAGAAAUUUUGGGUCACACAUGUAAUGUUUAAAUGUGUUUAAGGUUAUUAUUUUAUGUAGCCAAAUUAAAGUGAUCUAAUUCAUGUAAGGUAUAUGGCUAUAGACAUAAUUGUCAUAAAAAUUAUUGUGUAGAUACCUAAAGUCUUAUUUCUAUUUUAUGAUGGACAAAAUUGAAAUAGGAAAAUGAAGUAGCAUCAACCUUCAUGAAAGAUUACUCGCUUCUUAUAAAUAUGAGGUUAUGAUCCCCAAUUGUAGACCACAACAUAACAUACAACAAUAUGAACCAAAAUAUGAGAGUUCAUUCUCUUCAUCUCAUUAGAAUAGAAACUAAGGCUAAGGGUAGUCUGCAAUUGGAAGGCCAAAGAACCUACAUGUUCUAUAUGAACAUGCAUUUGGAUACAAGAAUAAAGGAUGACAUGGGGUUGGUGGCAUGAUGAAAGAUUGUAUAAGGUUCAUUCACCAUAUUCUCUAUGAAUAUAUUAAGGUAUGUUUCCACUAUAGUUUUGUAUAUCUUGAUGAUUUGACAUAAAAGAUCUUGACAAUAUAUGAUGAUAGUGUUCAUCAUCUUUGGUAUGUAUUAUGUAUUUUAUGUAUAAAAUCUUCCACAAAUAUAUAAAGUCUAUAUUAUUCAAGAAUUUUUCCUACAAUGCUCUCCAAGAUUAAACUUUAUUCAAAUUGAUGCUUUAUUAAUCCGUUGUCUUUGAAUUCCCUUAACAAUGCAUUUCUGUUUAUGAAUGAAGACUUGGGCUUCUCUUGUAGAACUGAUGAUCCAAUCACUUAUAACAAUGUGAAUAUAGACAAUGAUGCCAGAAUGAAUUAAUUUGAUGGGUAUUGCACUUAAACGAGUCUUUAAACAUAGACGAGUAUUGACUUAGAUGGUCUUGAUAUAGACGAAUAAUAUUUUCAGACACAACAUUAGACAGAUCAAUCUAUUAAUUUAAUAUUAUUGUAUUUGAUCUUUUUUGGAAUCAUGAAAACUUAAAGGAUUCAUAUCUUGAAUGUGUUCCAGGUUUUUGUCUUAACACAUUUUUUUCAUAGGAGGUGCUUCAAGUGGGGUCAAAGUUUAUUGGAUUGUAUGAAUUUGAGAGACUAUUCAUGUGACCCUCAACAUAAGGCAAAGGCAAAGUAUUCAGAAAUUAUCUUCUCUCGGAGGACAUAGGCAUUGUCUUAUCAUUUCUCGGUCAUGUAUGCUACAAUCUUUGGUAACUUUGGUGUUCGGUUUCCCACUAAGGACUUCUAGAUUGGUGUGUUGAAUCAUUUAAGGGUAUGCUAUGUUAGAAUUAGAUAUGAUCUAAAAGAGUUCUAAAUCAUAUGAACACAAAAAGCGGAAGCAAAAAAUAUCGAGUUAUCUUCUACCGUUGUUGCGUUUUCUAGCCAGCUUCAGACUCCGACUCCGAAGAGUGAUUUCGAGGUUCUUCUAAGCUCUUGAUCUCACCCUUAGAUGAUGUUGAUUUUCUGAAUGUGUGAGUAAGCUUAGUAACCCCAAAACCUUUGAAUUAAUAACCACAUAAUCAUCAAUGAGCAAUAUUACAAUUAAUGGUAAUUGAUUGAUUCUGAAAAUUAAAUGUACGUUAUAUUUGGUAUGAAAUCAUUUUCUUAUAUACCCUAUUAAUGGAGAUUACUUUCAUUGAUAUCAUAAUUAAUAUGAAAAUAUUCUUACAUUAAUUAUAAAAGAAAUAAAAUGUAUGAAUCAUGGCGAUAAGUUCUCUAUGAGCGAAUAUUAUUUUCCAUGUAUUAUAAUAUAUUAAGUCUCUAAUAAUAGUCUCUAUUCUUUAGUGAAUAAAUCAUAUGUUUAUUAUGGGUCAACGCAAACGAUAUUUCUCAAUAAAUUAAAAUGAAAGUGCACAACUAUAUGAGAAAAUAUCUAACUGAAUGAGUUUAUUGAAAAAUAAUGUACUCAUACAAUGAAUGAUUACAUCACAGAACCAAGUCCCAUGUUUUCUACAUGAUCCAUGAAUUUCUUUGGUGGUAAGACAUUAGUCAAAGGAUCGGCAAUCACCAAGCAGUACUAAUAUGUUGGAGGGCCACUUUACCAUCCUUAACACGUUCUCUUAUGGCUAAAUACUUAAUGUUGAUGUGCUUAAUUCGACUUCCACUUUUGCUAUUCUUAGCCAUGAAAACAUAUGCUAAAUUGUCACAGUACAACUUUAGUAGCCUAGAAAUAGAGUCAACAACUCUAAGCACGAAUAUGAAACUCUUCAACCAAACACCAUGAGAUAUAGCUUCAAAACAUGAUACAAACUCAACCUCCAUUGUGGAAGUAGCAAUCAAUUUCUGCUCGAAGCUGCUCCAAGACACGGCUCCACCAACGAACAUAAAAACAUAUCCUGAAGUGGAUUUUCUUGAAUCCAUAUAACCAACAAACUUAGUGUUAGAGUAGCCAACCACCUCCAAUUCACCGGUAUGUCUGAACAUAAGCAUGUAGUUCUUUUUUUUCUUGAAGGUAUCUCAUAACCUUCUUUGCAGCUUUCCGAUGGUCAAGACUUGGGUUGCUCUGAUAUCUACCCAGUACUCCAACAGUAUAUGCAAUGUCAGGUCUGGUACAAACCUGAGCAUACAUAAGGCUUCCUGCAACGGAAGCAUAUGGAAUAUCCUUCAUUCGUUUCUGUUCAAGGUCAUUCGAACAUUGAUCCAAACUGAAUUUUUCAUCCUUCACAAUAGGUUCUACACUCGAUGAACAAUCUCUCAUCCGAAAUCUCUCCAGAACUUUGUUGAUAUAGGUCUCUUGAGACAAACCCAAAAUGCCUCGUGAUCUUUCCCUAUGGAUCUUAAUGCUAAUGACAUAAGAUGCCUCUCCCAUAUCUUUCAUAUCAAAGGUCUUUGAAAGGAAUUGUUUCAACUCAUAUAGCAUUCCAUUAUCAUUAGUUGCUAACAAAAUAUCAUCCACAUAUAAAACAAGGAAACAUAUCUAACUCUCACUAAUCUUUUGUGUGAAGAAGAUCUUCCUCUUGACCUUGACACAGUUUUGAUGAAAACCAAGAUCACAAAAAGAAGACAAAGGAAGAAGACAAUGAAGACAUAAAAGUUUCAAGCUUCAAGGAACUACGUAACAGGUUUUUGGAACUACGUAACUGAAGGUUAAUAUGCAUGUUCAUAACAUACACUGCAAAAAAUUAUGGAUCUAUUUGUGUUAAAAUAUGCAUACACUAUAAUAGUUUAGACAAAACGGUUUGUAAAAUUACCUUAGAAGACUGCGAUGGCUUUCGAAAAUUAUCCUUCAAAAGUAUGAAGGUCCUACACGCGUAUCCACACCGAGACCAAUCUUUGUUGUAUCAACACUUGAUUCGUGAAAAAAAAUCAACUCAAAACUACUAUAUUUCGAACAACCCAAAAAUUAGGAUACAAACUUUUUUCUUUGUGUGUGUAUUUUGAAUCACACGUGAGGUUUGGUUUAUAUAAAACCAAAAUCUCCCUCAAAAAAUUUAGUGCCAAUUAAUCACAUAUUAAUUUAGCAUAAAAUCAAAACUUCAUGAAUCCAUUUAAUGCCAAUUAAUCACUCAUCAAUUCAGCAUAACGUUUUUGGUUUUUGGUUUUCAAAACUGACUAACAGUUUUAAACAUUUGAAAUAUUACAAUUAAGUCACACUUAAUUAUAUUAAAGAUGAUUGAAUAAUAUUANNNNNNNNNNNNNNNNNNNNNNNNNNNNNNNNNNNNNNNNNNNNNNNNNNNNNNNNNNNNNNNNNNNNNNNNNNNNNNNNNNNNNNNNNNNNNNNNNNNNUGACUUAAGAAACUCAUUUCUUCAUUCAUUCAAUUUCCCUUGGCCAAGGUCUUUAUUUCUAUAGAGUUCAAACUCAUUACCACGAGUUGAUGGAUUCUUUCUUGAUUAGUCAGUAAUUCUACAAGGAUUUAAUUAUACCCAAUAAUCAUUCAACUAAUAUCAUAAGGCAUUAGGUGUCCGAUAUCAAAAUAUAAUAAAUAACUUGUUAAUUACUAUGAUAAUCUCAAGCCUAAGGAAAAUAUAUAUUUCUUCACAAGAAUAUCCUAUUAACAGUUCAAAGGUAAUAUAUUAAUCAUUAGGAAUUCUCCUUUGAGUCAGUUCAAUGGUCAUAUNNNNNNNNNNNNNNNNNNNNNNNNNNNNNNNNNNNNNNNNNNNNNNNNNNNNNNNNNNNNNNNNNNNNNNNNNNNNNNNNNNNNNNNNNNNNNNNNNNNNUACCCUAUUCAUGCGUUCUCUUUCUUCAGUAGUCUUAGGACAAUCCUGCCUACUAAGAGUAACUCCAGAUCCUAUAGGUAAGUAACCUCUUUUGGAGUUGUCCAUGUUAUACCUCUUCAAGAUGGUAUCAAUGUACAAAGACUGAGAGAGUCCAAGCAGUCUUUUAGAUCUAUCUCUAUAAAUCUUUAUUCCUAGAAUAAAAGCUGCUUCUCCCAAAUCCUUCAUGGAGAACUGUUUGGAUAGCCAAAUCUUUGUAGAUUGCAAUGCUGGAAUGUCAUUUCCUAUGAGCAAUAUGUCAUCCACAUAUAGCAAUAGGAAGAUGAUCAUGCUCCCACUAACCUUUUUGUAAACACAAGGUUCUUCUUCACAUCUAACAAAACCAAACAUUUUGAUUGUGUUGUUAAAGUGAUUCUAGAAGCUUGCUUUAAUCCAUAAAUGGACUAUUGUAGCUUGCAAACUUUAUUAUGAUCAGACAUAGGUGUGAAACCUUCAGGUUGUGUCAUGUACACAUCCUCUUUCAACUCUCCAUUGAGAAAAGCUGUUUUCACAUCCAUCUGCCAAAGUUCAUAAUCAUGGUAUGCUGCUACAGCAAGUAGAAUCUGAAUCGAUUUGAGCAUUGCACAGGAGAAUAAGUUUUGUCAUAAUCUAUUCCUUACUUUUGACGAUAUCCCUUGGCAACAAGGCGAGCUUUAUAAGUCUCAACCUUUCCAUCUGCUCCAAUAUUUUUCUUGUAAACACAUUUACAACCAAUUGAUUUUAUAUCCUUUGAAGCAUCAACUAAAGUCCAUACUUUGUUGAUCAUCAUGGAUUCCAUUUCAUAUUCCAUGGCUUCCUGCCACUUCUCAUGAUCCAAGCUUCGCAUAGCCUCUUCAUAGCAUUUGGGGCCAUCAUUAAUAUGAUAAUCCUCAUUUUCUAUUGCAUCUAGCACCAUUAAGUUUAAUCUUUCUGGUGCACGAUGUGAUCUCGAAGAUCUUCUAAGAGGCACUUGUGCAUCUGAAUUCCUUUGUUCUGGAUUCAUUGGUUGUUCCAUUUGUUCCUGAACUGGUUCGGUAACCUGUUCUUGAACUGGUUCAGUAACCUGUUCUUGAACUACAAACGGGUUUUGAACUGCACUAGUUGAAGGUUGUAACCUUUGUGUUGAACUUAAAACAUCUAAGCAAGGUUGCUCAAGUUCCAUAUUAUGUUCUUGAGCAGUAGAUGCUUCAUUGGUUUGUUGAUCCUCAUCAAGCAUUAUUUAUUUACCAUGAAUUCCUUCUGCAAGAAAUUCCCUUUCUAAAAAAGUUCCCCCUCUAGCCACAAACACUUUAUGGUCAGAAGGGUGGUAGAAAUAAUAUCCCAUUGUUUCCUUAGGAUACCCAAUGAAUCUACACUUGUCAGACCUUGCUUCAAGUUUAUCCGUUUGUAAUCUCUUAACAUAUGCUGGGCAUCCCCAAACUUUAAUGUGCUUAAUUGGUUUGCACCCUUUCCACAUAUCAUAUGGUGUUGUAGAGACAGAUUUUGUGGGAACUUUAUUUAACAAAUAAUUUGCCGCUUCCAAAGUAUAUCCCCAUAAGCUUAACGGAAGAUCAGUGAACCCCAUCAUGGAUCUUACCAUAUCUAAUAAGGUUCGAUUCCUUCUUUCAGAUACACCAUUAUGUUGUGGUGUACCUGGAGGUGUCCAUUGUGAGAGAAUUCCAUUCUCUUUCAAAUAAUCAAGAAAAUCAGCAUUCAGAUAUUCUCCUCCUCUAUCGGAUCUAAGCACUUUGAUACUUUUACUAGUUUGCUUUUCCACUUCACUUUGAAAUCUUUUGAACAUUUCAUAUGAUUCAGAUUUAUGUUUCAUAAGAUAUAAAAAACCAUAUCGCGAAACAUCAUCAGUGAAAGUAAUAAAAUAAGAAUAUCCUCCUCUAGCUUGAAUUCUAAAGGGUCCACAAACAUCAGUAUGAAUUAGUCCCAACAAUUCAGAGGCUCUUUCUCCAUUUCCAAUAAAUGGAGAUUUGGUCAUUUUGCCUUUGAGACAAGAUUCACAAGUCAUGUAUGAUUCAUAAUCAUAAUUGUCAAGGUAACCUUCCUUGUGCAACUUGCUAAUUCUUUUCUCACCAAUAUGACCGAGUCUACAAUGCCAAAGAUAUGUUUUGUUUACUUGAUUAUCUCUUUCUCUUUUAAGACUAGAAACAUGCAUAAUCGAAUUAAAACGCACUUGAGGUAAGACGUAAAUGCAACGUUGGACAUACUCAUUCGCAUAAAAGAUGUCAUUAUUAUAAAUUGAACAAACACCUUUAUUAAAAAUAAGACGAUAAUCAUGAGUAUCCAACAUCGAAAUUGAAUGGAAUGCAACUAUUAUAUGUUUCUAGAGGAUUUUAACCUCAAUUUAAUUUCAUAAUUUUCACAACUUUAAUCUCAUUAAUUUAUAAUUAUUAUUUAAAUAUACAAUACUAAAUACAAAUGUUUUUAUCAAUAAUAAAAUUUCUUUGCUAAUCACUAAGGUAGCAUCACAGAGUUGCAAGAGUAGUUCAUCCUUCAUUAUAAAUUCAAAUACACCAUAAAAUCUCAAAAACCUAAAACUAGUCUCAUAUGACAUUUUAAAAACAAAAUACAUAACAAAUAUCCAAAUAUCCUAAAUGUUGUUGGCUCUAGAUGAUUCUGUUGCACCCAAAGGUGUAUCAGGCAUACUUGCAUAAUCAUUUGUCUGAAAAAAUAAAAUAAAAACAUUUAGUUGGAACAAAAAAAAACAUUGAUAAUUACUGUAUCAUUAUAAUGUAUCAUUAUAUACACUAACUAAGCCGGUAAAAUUAACAACUAACAUGUAGGGAAAAUAACAAUGAGUAUUCAUAAUUUUCAUAGCAUCUAGGACCUCUAGUAGCAAGAGACUUAACAUAAACAAGCAUUCACAUAGUGUACAUACACAAACAAAGUAAUAAAAAAGUGACUACUUCAUUAAAGAAAAUAAAAAAUAGAAUAUGUAUGUGUAAUGAAGUACUUAAAUGGUGAAACUAAAAAUAUAUAGGAAGCAACCUUCAUCAAUUAGAGGUCAUACAUACAGAAAAACCAGAUAACAAAAUACCUUUUAGAAGACAAAAUAAAAUGUUGGUUGUCAUGGUCUAAUAGUGCAUGUGCUAAGAGUCUCUUUUCUGCCUCAACCAUGGAAACUUUUCCCCAACCUACCUAUAAGAAUAAUGUAGAACAAUUACUAUUAUAUUAAGAAAGGUGGCAUGCCUCUAUUCAAAAUGAAUGGAUACUAAAUAACAAUUAACCAUACACCGAUAUUCUUAUUUUUUUGGUUGGUUCAUGCAUUGUUUAAUUAGGAAUUCCACUGCAUUCUCAUUCACAUAUAUAGAAAUUAAAUGUUCCAUAACAUGCUAAUUCUACCUGCUCAUUUGUUAAAAAGGGGAAAGGUUUUGUCACACACACAUAUUCUUAUAGGUAGUUUAAAAUACUAGGCGGGAGAGAGAUGCAAAACAUAUCAAACCUGUGUCAACAAAGAUUUUCAUGUUCAUCAGAUCCUAGACACCUUGCUCAUGGAAAACAAGAAUUCCCUCCAAUAUAAUGACAUCAGAAGCAUUGACCUGAGCAGAGACAUCAAUCACUAUUUAGUAAAGGACCAGGAAAAAGUUAAUGAACUAAAAAUCACAAGCAUCUGAUACAUUUCAAAACUCAUAAAAUAUAAAAAAAAAUUGUAUGCACAAGAUGUACUAAUACAUUGUGUGUGAUUCACAGAACUCAUACACAUAUGUCUUUUGACAUGUACACGAUGUACAAUUCUAACUUGGAAACAGCUGCAAAAUUGUUCUUGAAUUGCAAUCAUCUUUUAACAAAUAUAAAAGGCUAAUCGGCAUGUAAUGCAUAUGGUAGAGCUCAGGUAUUACUAGUACAAAUUAUGAUUCAAAGGUUUUGGUAAGAGUACGGAAGGCAAGGUUCAAUUGCAGUGGAUUAUGUGUAACAUUCUAUGGUUUAGCAACAAAUAUAAUGUUUAUUUUUAGAUUUACUAUAGGAUAUGAUUGUGCAAUAUAUGGCUUACCUUUAUUGGUCUCCACAAGGUUUUUGUAAGGAUGAUUCAUUGAUAAUAUGCAGAGAUAUUAGACUACCUUUGUUUCACUAAGUUUCUCUUAUCAUGGUUUUGGUUUCCUUCCUUUUAGUAAGAAGAAUAUAUCUUAUAUUCAACUUUCUUUGUGUCUCUUUUUUCCAUUCAAGAUAAUUCUUAAAAGAUGCACUUUUACCAAAUCCGUAAAUAUUACAUACAAUUGAUAUGGAACACAUGGUAAGGAACACAAAUCAUUUUGAAGCUGCACAACCUAGAACCUUCAAAGCUUUAUACAAACCAAUUGAUAUCACACUCCAAUUUAAAUUUGAUGGAAAAUGACCAUAGUUAUAGCCAACAGUAAAGAAGAAAUCCUCUAAUUUUUAACUCCAUAUAAGAAGCAUUCUAAUUUUCUACCAAAGAAACUAGAGAAUGAUUACUACCUUUGACUCUUUGUUUAUAUGCUGCAGAAUCUUGCAUCAACAAAGCAGCAACAUCGUCAUUUAAUGGAUUUGAUGCGUUGGGGUACAGAAGAAUUUGAGGAAGAAACACUGCGAACACAUUAACAAGGUUUGACAAGAAAAAAGUAAAAUGAAAUGCCAAAUUGUAAGGUAUUGGAACUACAUCAAGCAAGGUUGAAUCAAAUGCACGUAAGUGUACUUAUAAUAAAAUUCCUUAACAUCAAUAACAUUCGAUUUUGAAAUUGAUGACACUUUUAGAGAGUGAGAUCAAAGAAAUGGUGAUGCUUAUAGAGUUUCCUGGAGGAUGCCUUGGUAGAUGUAAGCGGACUAGAUGUCAAUGAUGCAGAAGGUGAGGAUAAGGACGGGGCGGAGGCCGGAGAAAAGGGUUUGGGCGUGAGGGUUUGGAGAAAAAUUGAGAAAAGGGUUUGGGCGUGAAUGAUAUGCAGUUUUUUUCAAAUUAAUAGUGGAGGUUGAAAACCUUCAUAAAUUAAAUAAAAACCUCCAAUAUAUAUUCAGUCAAUCCCCCGACGCCUCAUUUAAUUUAUUUGGGGAGGUUUGACUAACCUCCACAGAAUAUAAAAUUUGUUGUAGUGAGGUUACCUGAACUGUAUGAUAGUUGGUAACAGAUUACUGGAACUAUGUAACAGAUUACCUGACUAAGAAAACAGUUACAAAGCAUAACUGACACUGAGUAACCGAUUAAUUGAAGGGUAUCGUGGAUGAUUAGAAGCUUAUUUAAAGACAUUGAAACAUCCAAUUCAAUAACAAUUGAUACACAAAACUUUCACAACUUAGUAAACUUCUGCACUCUCUUACAACUUUGAUUGUAAACUUUUAGAUUUUUCUGAAGUUGCUUCAAGUGUUAAGUUCUAAAGAUGUCAAAUAUAUUAGAGCAUUUUUUACUAAGUAUAUUGAGAGCAAAAGGAUUGCAAGUAAUAUCAAUUGUCAAAUACGUGUGAAGGCAAUCUUGCCAUUGAUUUCAUUCUAUGUCUUGUUGUAGUACUUAUCAUCACAAGGGUGUGGUGAGAAGUGGGAAAGAGUUUACUUGGAAAGGUUGUUUUUCAAGGGUAAAUAUUUGUGAGUGUGUAAGGUACAAGGGUCUCGGGGAGAGAAAUUGUUAUGGCAACUCAAAGUAUCUACUAGAAAUAUCUCUUGUGUGACUAAAGUAUUGGAUGUAACUUUCAGUGGACAAGAAGGUGAACCGGUAUAAAAUUAUAUAUGUACUCUUCUUCUACUCUCUUCUUGUGAUUUCAUUCUGGUUUUAACUUGGUUGAUUUCUACAACUAUUUUUCAUUGCACAAACACUUUGUUACCUCAGCAGAAUAAUCACCCCCCCUAGUUGUCAUCUAAUACUUACAUUUUCGUAAAUACAUUGAUCCAUGAUGUUCUCUUCAAAAAUGAAUGAAGUGACAAUAUCAUGGAAAUUUAAAUACCAUUGGCGUGGGGGUUUGUUUCAAACCGUAAAUGGAUUUAUUGAGUUUAUAGACAUCUCUAGAGGAGAAUCCUUCAGGUUGUUUCAUGUAUAUCUUCUCCUAUAGAUCUCCGUUAAGGAAAGCGGUUUUCACAUUCAUUUGAUGUAGCUCAAAAUCAAAGUGAGCUAUUAGUGCCAUAAUCGUGCGAAGAGAAUCAUUCUUUGAUACAGGAGAAAAUAUAUAUGUGUAAUCAAUUCCUUCUCUUUGACUAAUCCAUUUGGCUAUAAGUCUUACUUUAUGUCACUCGAUGUUUCCUUGUGAGUCUUUCUUUAUUUCAAAAAUCCAUUUACACCCAAUAGCUUUUACACCAUCCGCCAACUCGAUGAGAUCCCAAACUUUAUUAGUUGUCAUAGAGUUCAUCUCCUCAAUCAUGGCCUUGUGCCAUAAGUUAGAUUCUUUAGAACUUAUAGCUUGUGAAGACGUUUCAGGAUCAUUCUCGGCUCCAAUGUUGCAUUCCAUUUCUUGCAAGUACACUUCAUAAAUACUAAGAAUUAAUGGUCUCCUUACUCUAGUAAAUCUUCUUAAUAUUGCAUCAUUUUCUAGAGGAACUUGUUGUUCAACCAGUUGCUCAAUUGGUUGUUCAACAUUAUAUUGAUUAACAACUUGUUCUAAAGGAUCAUUAUCAUUUACAUGUGGAACUUCAAUAACUGGUUGUCUUACAUACGUUUGAAUAUGAGGUGUAUGCAUGACAAUCAGUCUAUCACUUGAACUAGAAGGUUGAGCUUCAUUGUGAUCCAACACAGAGACUGAGUCAUGUUGGUCAUUCCCACUAAUCAAGUCAUCCUCAAGAAAAUUUGAAUUUCUUAAUUCCACCAUCCUACUAUUAUGAGACGAAUAAUAAAACCUAUAACCCUUGGACUAUUCAGUAUAUCCAAUGAAAUACCCACUAAUAGUCCUAUGAUCUAGUUUAUUUUCUUGUGGAUUAUAGAUUUUAACCUCAGACGGGCAUCCCCAAAUGCAUAUAUAUCGCAAACUGGGUUUCCAACCUUUGAAUAACUUAAAAAGCGUCUUUAACACAGCCUUGGUUAGAACUCGGUUCAAUAUAUACACAGCCGUUUUUAGUGCUUCAGUCCAAAAGAAUUGAGGAAGUUUUUUUUACUCCUCAUAAUUCUCACCAUGUCUAUUAAAGUUCGGUUUCUUCUUUCUGAUACCACAUUCUGGUCCAGAGUAUCGGACAUAGUGUAUUGGGCAACAAUCUCAUGUUCUUGAAGAAAUUUUGCAAAUGGGCCAGGUGCUUGUCCAUUCUCAUUGUAUCUUCCAUAAUGCACACCACCUCUAUCUCAUCUCACUUUUUUAAUUUGUUUACCACAUUAUUUCUCUACUUCAACCUUGAAAACUUUAAAGACGUCUAAAGCUUCAUCUUUAGAACGAAGUAAAUAGAAAUAAAUAAAUCGUGACAAAUCAUCUAUAAAGGUGAUAAAAUAUUUUGGAUUACUUGCAUCCAUAUCAGGACAACAAAUAUAUGUAUGUACGAUUUCCAACAAAUGAGUACUCCUCUUUGCAUCCUUUUUAGACUUAUUGGUUUGUUUUCCCUUAAUGCAAUCCAUACAAGUCUUAAAAUCAUAAAAACUAAGUACUCCUCGAUAGACUAACAUAUUUAUUCUCAAAAAGGAGAUAUGUCUCGAUCUUCGGUGCCACAAUAAAGAGGAACUUUCGUUCAUAAUACAACAUUCUAAUCCAAUAGUAACAUUCACAAAGUUAUAAGCAACAUUAUUUUGUAAUGUGAUUGAAUAAAGACCAUAAGACAAUAUUCCAUGACCACUAACUUCAGAUUUAUUAAAUAAUGUAAAAUCAUUAUCCGAAAAGUAAAAUCCAUAAACAUAGGACUCAAGUCUUGAAAUUGAAAUUAAAUUCCUCGAAAAACUAGGAACGUAAAAUGUCUUUUCCAAACGUAAAAUAAAGUCACUACUUAACACCAAAUUGUAUGAACUAAUAGCCUCCACAGGUAAGCUCAUCAUCCCUCGUGAAUAAAUGAAAUGCUCAAUUCCCAGUAGCUUCCGAAGGUUUUGCAUACCUUGUAAGGUAUUUAAGACACAUAUAAUAGAACUAUAGUCAAUCCACAAGUAUUAUGACUAACAUUGGUUAGAUUAGAUUCAUAACAUACAAACGAAAGUUGUAUACCUUUCUUAAGCCAAUUUUUGAACUUAGAGCAUUCUAUCUUCAUGUGUCCUUUUUUUUUUUUGCAAAAGAAACAUUUCGACGCUUUCUUAAUGUCCAGUUUAACAGAGAUCUUGCCUUUAUCUUUGACAUGAUCUUUCUUCUUCCUUUCAGAGAAGGUCAAGUUCACUUUCUCACCCUCUUCCAUAGCCAGCCUUCCCUCCUCUUGAACACACAUGGUCAGAAGUUCAUUAAUUGACCAUUUAUCCUUGUGUGUGUUAUAAGAAAUCUUAAAAGGACCAUACUGCUGGGGCGGAGUGUACAAAAUGAAGUGAACCAUCCGACAUAUAAAAUUCCAAGACCUUCAAUUGAGUUGAAAUAUCCCUUAUGUGCAUGAUAUGAUCGUGCACACCUCCCAAAACGGUGAGCUUCAUGGAUGAGAAUUGCAUGAUAAGGGUACUUGUUAAAACCUUGUCUGAAUUGACAAAUUGUCCAUUUAUUGCUUUCAUUAAGAGACGAACAUUGUCAUACUGCUCAAAAGAACCCCUAAUUCCAUUAGAUACUUUGGUCUUUAUGAACAUAACGCAGAGAUAAGUAGAUCGCUCCCACUUUUCAUAGAGAUCAACCUGAUCUAGGGUACUCACUUUGGUGAUUGCAGGUGGUUCCGACUUUCUUAUGUCAUAAUCAAUGUCCAUCCAUCCCAAUUCGGGAACAUCAACUUUCACAUGAGAGAAACUAACAGAUUGACUAACUACAAAUUAAAAAAAAAUUAACAACAUGCUUAAUAAAUUAUGAAUAUAGAGACAUAAAACAUGCCUCUAGGCUAAAGUUCUAAUUCCAUUAUAUUCACCCAAAGAUGAUAAAACUAUAAAAAUAACUUUCGUUUCCUAAUACUUGUGAGUUGAUUAGGAAAUAUAAUUUGAUAUUUUAUCCUAAUUAAAUAUACAAAAAUUUAAUAAAAUAUUAUGUGGGGUUAAUUUUAUUAGACCAUGUAUAAUCAAUCAUAAUAAUGUUUUAUGUGACUAACACAAUAAUGUUUUUUAAAUAAUUAAAGAUGUUGUGGUUACUACUCUUUGACCAAAAAAUAGCAUCAUAUCGUGACUAACACAUAAAAACACAUUCAUACAAUAUGUGUAAAACUACAAUAAUAACGAUAUAUAUAAGUCAAAGAAAUAAUUAUCAACCAUCCAGCACAUAACAAAACAAUUAAAAAUAUUCAUAAACUAAUAUGACUUAAAUUAGUUAUUUCGUAUUUUGGUUAACAAUCCACAAUCAUAUACUUUAGGAGAUAUACCAAAAAGACAAUAUUUUUGUCUUAUAAAUUAUUUUCUUACUCCAAUAAAAAUUAAGAGACUUGAGAUAAGAUUAGGAUUACAGACAAAAAUAAUACUAACAUUUUGGUGUAACACAUGCAAAAAUCGUUGUUGUCCAACGAAGAACCAAAAUAAAUUUAUAAACAACGUAAAUCAAAGUGAUAAAUUUUAUAAAAAGUGGUAUGAUACCAAAUGUUAGAACUAGAGAUGAUCUAAAAGUGUUCUAAAUCAUACGAACACGAAAAGCGGAAGAAAAAAUGAUCAAGUUACCUCCCACUAUUGUUGUGUUUUCUAGCAAGCUUCAGACUCCAACUCUUGAGAGUGAUUUCGAAGUUCUUCUAAGCUCUUGCUCUCACUCUUAGAUGGUGUUGUUUUCUGAAUGUGUGAGUAAGCUUAGGGACCCUAAAACGUUUGAAUUAAUAGUCACAUAACCAUCAAUGGAUAAUAUUACAAUUAAUGGUAAUUGAUUGAUUUUGGUUUUUACAUGUAUGUUAUAUUUGGUAUGAAAUCGUUUGCUUAAUAGACCAUAUUAAUGGAGAUUAUUUUCAUUGAUAUAAUAAUUAAUAUAAAAAUAUUCUUACAUGCUCUUCUCUAAAUAAUUGGGAGGUACAUUUGAGAUUCUAAGCUCUUUUGUGGAUACUUCAAGUUGAACCAUGUGGGGAAGCUUUUCUUCAAAAUUCUGAAAUGUAGUGGUGGAUCAUGUAUUUCUCUCUGAAGGAAGGAAGGCAUGGUAAUAAUGGAGGUCUAUUUGGACUCUGAUAAAGUUUUUAGAUUGGAAUAGUUCAAGGUAAUUUGUAUGAGCCCAUUGCUUCUUCUUUGUCGAGCAAGAAGGUUCUAGUCAUUUUUGUCCUCAUUGGAAAGUGGAAAACAUCAUCACUUAAAAAGAAUGGUCAUAAAAACAGAGACUAACAUUUUUAUAUUAUGUUAUAAAUUUAAUCGGCUAAGAACAAUAAGAUAAAAUUGUUGUGGAAGAAAGGAUCCUUGUUUAAAUUUGUGUUCCUUAGAUAAAACUUUUUUAAAAUACAUUAUCACUAAAUUAAUUUUAGGCUUUUAAGAAGCUUUAGUUUGUAACACAAAAUAUCAUUCUAUAUCGUGUUCUAGUUUUACAAAACCAAUAUUCUAUUAUAAUGGGACAUACCUAAUACCAAAUUAGAAAUGCCUACUAAAAAGAUAGUAACCACGUACCUAAACAAGUAAAUUAAUUUAUUGGGAAAUGUUCAUUUAUAUCAAAUAAUUGAAUUUUAACUUAAACGAUUUGAAGGUUUUAUUAAAGGAAGUCGUAAAUAACUUAACUAUAAUAUUUCCUUAACUUUUCAACAUUCCGUCAAAUAUUUUAUAUGGGUUCUAUAGGUAGUUUCCAAUUGAUAUAAUGAGGUAUGAUGUUUUAAAUUGUGGUUACGAUUGUUGUAGUAGUUAUUGUGAUUAUGAUCAUUGCAGGCAUUGUAACGUGGAUUGUGGUCGUUACGAUAUGAAUUAUUUUGUGAAAAUAAAAAAAUAUUUUUGAAAUCGAUGUGGUCUAAUAUAAUCCGACACAAUUAUGUUGUGGCCUGAUGCAAUUCAUUGAGGUUCAAUGCAGUCACAUCAAGUGAUGUGGUCGGUCCACAAUUUGAAUCACUCCUUCAUUAACAUUUUUUUGGAAUGUCAGCCCGUCUUAGGACCAAAUCACCUUAUUUGUAAAGUAGUUGGAUUACCUUUUUAUUGUGUUUUUUCAACCUCUGUUUUGUUGCCCCACUUAAUAUCCAAGCUAUUUCUCUUUUAGGAUAUCCAAUUUUUGUCCAAAUUAGAUUUUUUUCUGAACUCCGUCCUCCACCACGAUAAUUCAUCUAUCUUUACCGGGAUCAUAUCCUCACAACCAGUAUGAAGGAAAAGGCUUUUUAUCAUGGUUGUAUGUGGGUUCGUUAUGUAGCUCUAGAGGACAUGGUAUAGUUUUUCAAGCAUCACCCAUUCGCCUAAUUGAGACAUGUUUUUGGUUCAAAAGAUGAAUUUAUUGGGAGAGACAACCUGUUAGUGUUGGAUGCUAAACUGAGCUAAUAUCAGUGACUUAAAUUAUGAACCGCUUUACUUAUGUAGCCGCAAUAUUGUGGUUAUGGUGUUAGUCGUAAUAUUGUGGUUAUGGUGUUCGCUACAAUUUCAUCAUAAUGACACGGCCAAAUUGGGUUGCAACGCAACCAAGUUGGAUCAUAUUUGGACACAUCAAAUUCAAAAAUAUUUUUUAAUGACAGUAUAAUUCAAAGCGCAACGACCACAAUCAUCAUUACCGCAAUCACGAUCGCGGCCACAAUUUAAAUCAUUAGCUAAAGUAUUACUUCCCUUUAACCAAUGAGUUUAGAAUUCCAUUAUCUUUAACCAAUGAGUCUAGAAUUCCAUUAUCUUUAACCAAUGAGUCUAGAAUUCCCUAAAAGAUUAUAAUUUCUCUGUUAAAGAAUUUGUUCAUGUACCCGAUACUAAUCAUUAUCAGAUGUUUUUGCCUAAAUCCACAUUGUGAAUUAAUCUACCACUACUAUCAACAAGUUAACAUUGAACCAAAAGAGUGUGUUACUGACACUUCCUCUAAUUAAUUGAAAAACAUAUAUUUAAAUUUAAAAUUUAAUAAUAAAAUAUUUUUUGACCAAUUAAAGAAAGUAGUACAUGAAAUGACACAUUCUUUGGGAUAAAAAAUGUGUUCCCAUUAUUAAAUAUGUAGCCUGUCAAUGACGUGUGAAGGGUGUGAGUAGGUUCAUCACUAGUUGUAAAAGGCCAUGUUAUUGAUAUGAAAUUUAGGUCUUAAAGAAUUGGGUUACUCUCUGGUACUUGACACUAUGAGAAUAUGAGGGAGAAAUUUUCUUAAAUUAUUUAAUAUAAAAAUAAAUAUAAAUAUAUACUAUUGAAAAUUUUGUCGAAUCUUACCUAUAUACUUGCCUCGUCUUCAUAUUCAUAGGGUGCCCUCUACAUGUCAGUAAACAUCCAGAAUUUCUCAAGUUUUCUAAAAUUCUCUUGGUUGUCUAUAGUCAUCGUUGGUCAGUAGUACCAAUAUGCUUUUGGGACUUUUUGUGCCGAUUCUUCCACUUUGAGGUGAUAGGCAGAUCUCCCUUCAUGGACUUCUUGAGCACUAGUUUGAUUCUUCUGGGGAUAGACACUUUAAGAAUGGGUUGGAAUGCCCUCGUUUGCAAAGUUUCCCAUUGUAGAGGGUAAACUAGACCAACUUUCUCGUUUUUUCAAGAGUUAGUUUAAGAGUUUGAGUUUGGAAGAUAAGGAAAGGAAAAAGAAGACAUAAGAGUCAUUUCAUAAAUGUAUUUCAUGACUCUCAAACCUUUCAUAUCCCUUCCUUCCCCUCCAAAAUUUCACUCUCAAACCUUCCGUAAGAGACUCUUUCCUAUAUUCUAGAAGUCCCCCAUUUUAGAUAUAUUUUAUGAUUUCCAUUGUCUAUUAGGACAAAUUUUCUAUUUCAAGACAAACUUGGGCCUCAUUGAUUCCUAGAUUGCAAUAUUAUUGCACCCUAAGUUCUUUGUACUAUAAUUCCAUGAAUUUCUAAUAUACAUUUUUCUCAAGAUUUCUAUAUACUUCUAUGAUUAUUUUAUUAAGUACUUACAAAUUAAGAUAUAACAUGAUUACUUGUUUUUAUACGAGUAUGAAAGUUUUUAGAAAGUGUACAUCAAUAUUUUAUGUGUAAUUAGCACAAACUAAUGUACUGCUGUAAAAUCAAUGGCCUUCAUAAAGUUCAAUUCAAAUCCCCCAGCCAAGUAAUCCUGGAAAGUAUAUCGGACACUUCCAUAAAAUUUGUCCACAAAUAGCAUACACUUCAACACCUUGUUAUGAGAAUUAUGACCCACAGUAGUGGACAAAAAUAAAUUUUCUCCUUGACCAUCAGAAUGCACCUUCUCCAAGUCCACCAAAGAUUUCUGCACUUUUCCCAUCAAAUCAGAUUUCCCAUCACUAUUGAAGUUGUAACACUCUAUUACCAAGGGACUUUCAUGUAUAUAAUAUAAAUGAAAAUGAGAUAGUUUCCACCAUAUCCAAAAGAAGAUAAAGUAGUGCCUUAGACUUUCCACGGCAUGACUUCCCACAUAUUACCAACAAAGCCAUUUGGAACACACAAAAAAUAGAAUUUUAUAGUAAAAAUUAUAGUGAGAUCCCUGAGUUUUUAAUGAAAUUAUAUAAAUUACUUCGUUUUUUUUAAACCUUCACAAAUUAUCAAUGUAGGAGAGAUAAAUAUAAUUUCUUAAACAAAAAAUAGUGAUGGGUGUAAGUUAAGCAAAAUAUAUAAUAUUGUGAAGACAAAUUCAAAUAGUAUAAGAGCCAAUGUCUAAGAAUAUGUUUAAAUCAUUCGUAUACUAUAUCAUAACUAACCAAAGUAAUGAAUAAAUAUUGACUGUUAUACUAUAGACAUUGAUUUUUAUACUAUUCAGACUUAUGUUCACGAUAUACCAUAGAUUAACUUAAUUAUACUCAUUACCGGUAUUUGUUUAAUAAAUUAUAUUUAUUUAUCCUACAUGAGUAUAAUGUAUACAUAUAUUUUCACUAAAACUAAUUUACUGAAUAUUAUAAAAUCUCACUAAAACCGAUAAAUGAUUCAGUAACCACAAUAACGGAAUAGGUGGUGAGGCGGAUGAAGAUAAAAGGGCAAGCUAUUUGUUGUAGCUUCUUUAAUUCCAAACAUGUUCUCAUCUUAUAGUUGUUGAAGUUGUAGAAAUUAUCCAUUUAGGAAGCCCUCCAUGAAAAACGAUUUUGUGUAAUCCAUCCAUUAUCUUUGUACUUGACACACUUUAAUUUCAUGUUUGUUUGUUUGUUGAUGGGUAUAUAAUGAAUUGCAAUACCUAGUAAAGUUUGGGUCUUCAACUUCAGAUUUUUAAGAGAGAUUUUGAUAAAACAAUCAACCCCGCCAUUCUAAGUAAUGUAUGACUUUUUUUUUUUCUUUGGCUCAACAUCUAUUCUUUUACCUAUAUAAAGAAAAAACUCCUACCACCUUAUCAUUUGCCACAUGUCACAUUCUUCUUCAUAUUUUCCAUCCUAAAUAGUUUCAUGAUAAUCAUUUGUACAUUUCCACACCAUAUUUGCUCUUUCUUGAUUAUAGUAAUAAUUUAAUAAAUAAUUAUUGCAUUUUUUAGAACUACACCUUAAAUUGCUUUUGAAUUGUUAUUGAGGUCCAUGACUUUUUCUUUCUCUUCCAACAAUUUUUCUCUCCCAACAAUCUUCUUUUUCUUUGGUUUCAUUUCAUUAUGUCUCUUCAUUUUCAUUAUCUUCAUUUUCAUUAUCAUCAUUUUCUUUCUCUUCCAAUCAUCCUCUUUAAAGUACAUUUUUUUAUUUUUUUUUGUAAAUCUAUUCUUAUUUUGUAAAUAUGAUGUUUAAAGUACAUUUUUCAUUGAUCUUUUUGUUUAUUUUGUAGAUAUGUUUUUAUUUUAUAUAUUUGUUCUUAUUUUUAUCCUUGAUUUUUUUGGUUAUUUUUUCAUUCAUUUCCUUAUUUUGUAUAUGUGUUCUCACUGAUUUCGUUAUUUUGUAGAUUUGUUCUUCCAACAUUUAUCUUCCUUAGUGGAUAAGCAAGAGUAUCUUCCUCAAGGAAGACCAAACCUUCAAAACUCAUGAUAUAUAUUAUAUAUACAUUCACUUAUAAUAUUACAUUUAUUUUUGUUGUUAAUAUAUUUAUCUCCUCAUCUUAUCUUACUUUUAUAAUUUUUUCUCUUCCUUUGUAGUUUCGUUCUCUCUUAAAAUAUUUCUGCAUGUUAAUUUUCUCUUUAUGCAUCUCUUACUUUACUUAUACAUUUUUUAUUCAAAGAAUCACCAUUUUAAUUUUUUUGUUUUGUAUGUUUCAGAAAAACCUAGAUUGUAUCCUCUAUGAAAUAAGGUAAGAAUUACAGUUAGUUAUUUAUAUCUUCGUAACAAUUAUGGAAUAUAUAACAUAAUUAAUGAAAAAUAACAAAAUAUAUAAUGAUGAUUGUGAGUCAUAAUGUGAUAUGAUAAUUAACAUGAAAAAGUUUAAGAAAUGUAAUGAAGGAUGAUGUAGGUUUAAGCAUCACCCAUAGCCAAUUUAAAAAAAUAAAAAAUGAGUUACAAGGUAGUUUUAUAGUUAGGAUUGGAGUGAAGAAGAUUGAGGGUUCGAGUAUUGCCCAUAAAAAAUAUCAACAUUCUAACCAUUACCAAUAAAAAACAAUGAUUUUGUUUGUAUUUAAUAAUUAUAUUUUAAAGUUGGUAUGAAACUGAAAAAAUAUUUUAAAAAUAGUAAAUGAAAUAUGUAGUAAUUAUGCAUUUAAAUAGAUCUUAAAAUAUUCUCCAUUAAUAUUAUUUACUCAUUUUUUAAAACUUAAAUAGCAUAAAUCUAAUCUUAUUAUUGAUAGAAAGAAUGAACUAUUAUUUUACAAUUAACUAGGAAAUUUAUUAACUAAAAAAUCAUACAUAAUGAAUUUAUUUUAUAAAAUAACAAUGUUUAACACUAAUUAUUUAAAUAGAUCUUAAAACAUUCUCAUUUAAUAGCAUUAAAGUACGUUAAUAUCAAGAAUUCAAUCAUAUAUCAAUAUAAUGAACUAUGAUAUUACAAUUAAUGAGAAAAUUUGAUGAUAUUUAAUUUAUUUCAUAAAUUUAAUCAUUUUUAAUACUAAUUAAAAAUAAAACUUAACAGUUCUCAAAUACUUCUUUAGUUUCUACUUUAAAAUUAUGUGUUAAAGUUGUUAUGAAACUUUGAAAAGAUCUUUUAAAUAUAGUAAAUAAAAUAUGUAGUAAUUACACAUUUAAAUGAAUUUUUAAAUGUUCUCAAUUAAUAUCAUUUAAUCAUUUUAUGUGUUAUCUAUCAUUCCUUGCAUAUCAUUAAAAUAUUCUUGUGUAAAAAUUGUAAGGAUGAAAACAUAUAAUCAAGACAAUGUUACAAUUUUAAAAUAUUAUAAUAAGCUAUUAGUAAUUGUACAUAAUCGUUUCAACAAAAAUAUAAUUACAUUGAUCUGUAUUAGUUAGAGUUAUAUUAUUUAUUUUUUCUUUACAAUUCUCAUAACUACGUCAUUUUCUAUCUAAUGACAUAUACAUUUGUUAAUUUUGAUAAUACAAUGGAUGUCAUAGUUUAAAGUACUUAUCCAAAUCUACAAGAUCACUAAAAAUGACAAGUUUUAUAAACAAGAAUAAUACUUGAAUCAACUAUUGAAAUUAUUGAUCAAAUAACUGAUUAUGUUUUGAGUCUAAUUCCAAGUAAAAAUAUUUAUAAUUCAAUCAGUUAUUAAGUUUCUGAUUCAAGUAUUUUUAAACUUAAUAAUAUUAGGUGACGAAAAAGAACACAAUAAUUCUGAUUCUAUUGAUAGGUGUAAUACUAAUGAGGGCCAAACAUUCAACUUAUUAAUUCAUCAAUUUUUAAACUCAUUUACAAUUUUUGGUUUUUUAGAUAAUAAAAUUAAGUUCUUCCACACUAUGAUAUUGUAUAUAUUUAAACUUUGUCAAGUUGAACAAUGAGAGACAUUGCAUUUUGAAUGAUAUAUCAAUUUCAAAAUAAAAAAAUUUUAAGUUCUUACUUAGAGAGACAACUCACAUGUAAUAUGUAUGUUCUUAACCAUACAACAAAAAAAUACUACCCCAUAUAAUUGUAUGGAUAACUCGGUAGUUGUUAUAUGAAUGAUUUCCUUUUGGUUUAUUGUAACAUUGCGUUUGAAUGAAUUUUAAUAAAAACAUAAUCCUUAAUUUUUUUUAUUAAUGAAAACGAAACUGCUGAUCAAUGAAUUUUUUAAAAGUGAAACUGAAGCUAUUAACUAAUUUAUCACACUAUAACAAAACCAAUAAUUUGAAAUUCAAAUGAAACUCUAAAAAAUUAAUUGACAAUUGAUUAUGAUUCAAAAACUUUAUUUUCAAAUUUUUUUGUAUUUAAUUUUUUGUAUUUUUAAAUAUAGGUUGGACAAUAUUAAAUGUUCACAACUUAAAUGAUAAUUUAUAUAUUUUCACCCCUUAUUAUAUCGUUUAUCAUCGUACUUGCCACCAUCCAUGAUUGAAAUAGAAUAUCAUUGUUCUCAUGUAUUCUUAUGCCAUAAGGAUGCCACAUUCAAAAGGAUACCCAUAGUGGGAUCCUAGGUCUUAAGGGUAAUUUUAGAAAAAUCGGGGCAAAUUGUCUUCACCCAUAGUUAACCUGAAUGAUAUGAUGAUCAUGAAGAAUAUCUUGCUCUUGACCUUGACACGGUUUUGAUGAAGACACUAAGAUCACAAAAAGAAGAAAAGAAAGAAGACCAUGAAGACAUAGAAGAUUCAAGCUUCAAGAUGUUUACAGAUUAAGUCUUCAUAUAGGUACUUAUAUCCUUACACUCACUUUAAUAUUUAGUAGCAAUGCUCAAAAAAAUCAAAAUCAUUUUUCAAGAAUUGGAUAUAUCUAAAAUUCAAAAGUCAAAUUGAUAAGCAAUGAGUUACUUGACCUGAGUAACAGUUUACCAGAACUAGGUAACAAGUUACCUGAACUGUGAGACAGUUGAUAAUAGGUUAUUGGAACUGCGUAACAUGUUACCUGAUUAAGAAAACAGUUACAAAGUAAAGCUGGCUGAUGUAACCAAUUAAUCAAGUAUAUUACUCGAUUACCACCUUGGACAGAACAUUUGGGUAAUCGAUUACCACAUCGUGGUAGUCAAUUACAUAGAGCUGUUGAAACCAAAUUUUCAAAUUCAAAUGAAUAACUUUCAUCCAAAGUGAAUAGGUUUCUAUCCAAUCGUGUCUCCUCUUCAUGGAAGGAUAUCUUGGCUGAUUGGAAGCUUAUAUAAAUGCAUUGUGACAUCCAAAUUCAAGACACACGAUAAACACAAUAACAUACAAUCACACAAAAACUUUCACAACUUAGUAAACAUAAUUCUGAGUAUUUUGUUAGCAACUUUGUUCCUAAACUUUCAGAUUUUUUGAAGUUGCUUCUAAAGUGCAUUUGUUCUAAACUUUCAAAAGAUAAAUAACAUUGUAUAUUAAGUAUUUCUAUUGUGAUUUUAAGGAUUGCAAGUUAUAGAAUUAUCAAAACUUAUAAAGGCAAUCUUGACGUUGUUAUAUUCUUCAUCUUAGUUGUAAACUUUUCAUCACAAAGAUGUGUUGAGAAGGAGAAAAGAGUUCACUUAAAAAUGGAAUUUUCAAGGGUAGAUAUGUUAUGAGUGUGUAAGAUACAAGGGUCUUAGGAAGAAAAUUUGUAAUUACAACUCAAAUUAUCUAGUGGAAUAUCUCUUGUGUGGCAAAAGUACUGGAUGUAACAUUUGGUUGACAAGAAGGUGAACCAGUAUAAAAUUCUCUGUGUACUUUUCUUCUACUUAUUCUUGAGAUUUACUUUUGCUUUAAUUGGUUGAAUUCUGCAUAAAUAAUCCACAGCACAUACACUUUGAUAACAUAGUAGAAAAAUCAGUCAGAUUCUCCCAACAACUAAUCCACCUCCCUCUUAGUUGACAUCUUAAACUUACAGUUUUUACUACAUCAUGAGAUACCAUAUUUUGUAAUGAAGGUUAUAAUUUCCCACAUGCUUGCUUUAUCCAUUUUUCGAUACGUAAGUCUUGGAAGGCCCACCACAACUCCAAGACAACCAUAACAAUGUAAAAAACGUUGUUUUACCUUGAUAUAUUAUCACUAGUAAUAAUGACUCAUUUACCCCAAAAGAGGAUUCACUCCUAUGGGAAACACACAUUUUUGCACCAUCAUCCACCUCAUUAUUGAAUGCAUUCAUUUAUGGCACAUUUCUGAUUUUUUAUUUCACUUAUAGAUUUUUUCCAAGUCUACCGGGAGGGAAUGGAAGUCUUAUAGACACUGACACUCUAAAAGAUAUGAGCAUUAUGUAGCUCUAUGAAACAACAUUGAUGCCUUAAAGGGUUGGUAAGGUGUGUUAGAAGUGUGAGAGACAUGAUUCUAAUGGUAAAUGGAUGCUUGACCCUCAUAUGAUUGGCUUUGGGCCUUGAUUUUGGCGGGCAACAUAUUUGACUCUAGGUUCCAUCGCUUUAAUAUUAGGGUGAGACUCACUGGUAGACUCGACCUCAGAAGCAUCUUGAGUUUGUGUUGCCCUAGACGCCUUGUAACUAGUUUAUGUUCCAAUUGUUCUUGAUUGGCGGAGUUCGGGUAACAUCUCUACUUAUUGCUGGAUAAGUUGUUCUUGGCGUUCUAUUAUCUUAGAGACUUGUUAGCAUGAGGUAGACCAAUAGUCGUGUUGUGUGUUCUAUUGACCUAAUUUGAAGGUUGGAUAUGGGUUUGGGGGUUAAAGGAUGGAAUGUUGUGAUUAAGAGAUAUGUUGGUUUCUAAACCAUCAACGUUGCUUUGAGGAUGAGCUUGAUUUCUACUGGUCACAAUGAUGUAGAUAAGCCACAGGUGGUGCCUAUGUUCUUUGGUGCGAAAGAGGAUAGUCAGCAUAUGAGUCUCCUUAUUGUAUCUGAGCAAAAGCUAACCUUGGAUCACCUUGGGUAGGUAUAUGAAAAAGGAUUUCGACGCUGAAGUCAAUAUAUUUGUCCUCUUUAUAGAUGAAAGUGUACGUAAGUCAAUCUCUCUUUGUGGGUGGUUCCGUCUAUUUAUAGAAUGGUAGAGUGGGAUGUGCUCCAAGAUAUAUGUUUUAAUUAUUGUGGGCCACCUUGUUGCAUCUUUGUCCUAACUGACAAUAUGUACUUUCAUCAUUAGAAGUCACCUUUCAUUACCUUCACCAAGAGUGACAUUGUUGUACACUUGGAUUACCUCUACCAUGUAGACAAAGAGAACAUGCACUACUCAAUACUCACCCUUUGGUGUGCAAGAGGGUUUUCUAGAUUUCCAAGUGUUGACUCUGGCACAUCCUUUCACUAUCAUCAUUUCCCAUAGUUAGGUUGGUCAACUGAGCAUGAUUGACAAUUGUGUAAGCCAAAUCUUGCUUACUUGGUAAUGAUCCUGACUUCUAGUGGUCAGAUGGUGUUGACCAGUUUUAGCACUACAAUGUAACACUUUUCAAUUCCUAAUCUUCAAUUUCAUUUCAUCAUUUUUCAACUUUCUAAUUUCUUCUCAUCAAUUUCAAUUUUGCAACCUAGAAAAUUGUUCGACUAAUUUGUUCACUGACACUCAAUAUCGUUAUUGUUCAAAACCAAGUCAAAUUAGAACCUCAUUCUUAGCUUGAUUUUCUCAAAAUAUAAAUAUUAAACCCUAAUCUAAUUUCUAGUGAUAUUCAUUAAUCUUUGGUCUCUAAUUUCACCUUUAGGAAUUCUUCUAUUGUUAUUUCCCAACCUUUGAGCAUUGUUUGCUUAUAGGAUGUUGGAUUGGCUUAAAUCGACGUUUGUUUCCCAUUUUGUAAUUUCUCUAUUGUUUUCCCCUAAUAUUUGCGUUUUUCUUUGUGGUAUUAGAUAUGUUAUAUUUUAUUGAAUCAAGAUAAAAUUUCAUGACUUGGUGUGUUCUUCUGUAAAUUAUCUACUGAUUUUGUUUGCUAUAGCAUAUUGCUAGUGUUCGCCAUGACCGAGUAUAUGGGCGAGCAAUGUGACCGAGUGAGAAUGUGUCAUGGUUGAGUAAUUGGUGCGCCAUGAACGAGCAUCUGGGCGAGCCACAUGGAUGAGUGUAAGUGUGCCUUGGCCAAGUAAAUGUUUAUUGUGACCGAGCACUUGGCCGAGUGUUUGGUUGAAUCUUCGAUGCAUCAUGAUCGACUGUGCUUAAUAUCUUCCUCUUUCAUUUGAUUUCCUUGCUCAAUGGCAAGAAUCCAUGCCACAACCACCACUGGUUCAUUCUCUUCCUGCAUAAUAGACCAGGUGCAACUCUACGGAUCUUUUUUUAUUACAAUAUCCAAUAGAUGAAAAAAUUAGUGAAAUUCAUUCUUUGGAUUGAUGAUGCUGCUAAAUUAUGGAAAUAUCUUUAUGAUAGGUUCUAUGAAAGAGAUAUUUUCUAUAUAGUUGUACUUCGAGAAGAAUUUUAUAGGUCAAACCAAAUUAAUCAAUAUAUUUCUGAUUACUUCACUCAUAGGUCUCUCCACAGGUGUUGCUUCGCAUUGCUCUUUGUAUUCAUAAGCUUUCACCAUGUUUAAAGUUAAUCCAUGGUUUAUGUAAAGGAACAUGUACAAGGCUAAUAAAAGUGGUGCACAAUAAAUAAUAAUAAAAGAGGAAAAUGAACCUGAGGGCAAAUUAGAAAGACGAAGUUAUCUCUGCUCUCUAUUUGCCUUUGUUCACGUGUUCCUUCUUUUUUGGGUAUUGCCACUUCUUUUUAGAAGUUGUUGCCUCUUGUUGUUUGUUUUGGUUGUUGCUCUAGUUUAGGGUUUAAAGAGGUUAUCUCCUUAUUACUUUCUUUUUUAGGGUUUAGUUGGCUGAGCCUUUUUAUAACCCCUAGGAUUAGGUUUAGGGUUAGUGUGAUAGAUUAUUGUAAUUGUUGUUUAGUCUUGUGAGUGUAUGUAAUUACAACCUAGUUCCAGUACUCUUUAGAAAUUUUAAUUUGACUUGGAACGAAAUUAGGUGUCCACAAAUAACAAUAAUCAAACCUUAAUCCUAAUUAAUAGGGUCAAUUACAACGACAUAAUACUUUAUUAUAACUCAUGUUCAUUGACAAAUAUUAUCUCUAACUCUUUGAUUUUUUUGUAUUACCAGCACUUUUUAUUAUUUAUGUAUUUGUUUACUAAAAAAAUUACAUACAUUAAUUAAGAGGAGAAAGCUUAUCUGACACAACAAUCAUUUUAUAUACCAAUUUAACAACCAGACUAUUAUGAUUUUAAGUUAUCAUUUGAUUUUUAGAUAGAUUUUAUGAUAUGGAUAAAUAUGAAAGAGAGAGAUAAAAAAAUUAUAAUUUAUUACAAAAUAGUUGUUAACUUUAAGUUAUUACAUAUAAAUAUGAAAAUGAAAGAGAUAAAAAAAAACUAUAAUUUAAUAUAAAAAAAGUUGUUAAGUUUUAGUUCUUCAAAUAACAACGUUAUUAUUAAAAAUGUGUUAGUUUAAUGGUAUAAAGCAUCACUGUAUCCUCAUAAUAACCAAAACGUUAAGAAUUUGAUUUUGGAGAGUAACACUUAUUAAAAAUGAUAACCGCAUACCUUACAAGUGAUUAAUUCAUUACUUAAGGAUGCAUAAUAUUAUUACAAAAAAAAAUAGUUACACUUGAGAUAGGUUGACGACCUCGUUUUAGCAGCUGCUUGCACGACUAUCAAUGGUUGUACCCCUCCAACUUGGCAAAGUGUCAACCAGGGAAAUUAGGAACAAGUCCUUUUUUGUGCUGUCUUUACCUUUUCCCUCUCCUCAACAACAAACUAUCUUUCUCCACCAAUACAAGACAAACCCCAAUCCAUUCAUCCUUGUAGCAAGAAGCCACACAACUCCUCCUGUAUGACUGUAUCUAACUAAAAAAAGACAUCCAUCUAUCUAACAAAGAACAACAUCGGUUGCUGGUUCUCCUGCUUAUUAAUUAAAUAAUAUUUUGCACACCAUCAUCCAUAUUAAUAUUUUAAUAAAAAAAUGUAUAAAAUUUCUCUAAAAUUUGUGACCUUCAAUAUAAAAUAUUUUUUUUCUUAAUUAUUCAUUAGAUCUUACUAGUUGAUGAAAUUUGUAAAUAUAUUUAAUAUAUGCUAAAUAAGUCAUUGCAAUGAAACUCAUGACAAUAGCAACACAACCGUACAAGUUAGCUAUAGUUGAUAUUAGGAGGGAACUUUUAUCAAAAUAUAAAAUUGAUAGAAAAAAUAUGAUAAAUAAAUUUGGAAGUUAAAAUUGGUUAAUACAUUAAUAUUAUUAUAAUAAAAUUUAAAAUUAAAUAAUAUUCAUCUUCUGAGUCACUACUUGUAAAACAACAUCAAAUUUGGAAUAUUUUCAUACACUUUUCCAUAGUUUUAAUGCUUCCAACAUAAUUUGCAUAUACCAAUUUAAUUCAUUUAAAAUAGAAAAACUCAAACCCUAAAAUAUAUCAUUAAUUGUUAUGCAAAUAUUUAUUUUUAAUAUUUUUAUAAUUAAUUUUUGGAAUAUUUUAAUACCCAUAAAAAACUGUUUUAGUAGAAGUUUGAAUUUGUACCUUGUGAAAUCAAAUACAAGAAUUUUGAAGUACGAAAUUGCAAAUUUUCACCUUAAAAACAAUUAGCAUUGGUUAAGUUUGUUUAAGGUUAGUUCUCCUUGUCUCCUUCAACCUUACCAAUCAAAUCCAACAAACUCUUAUUCUCUUUAUUUUCUCCUACUUCAUCGCUUGUUAUCUAACUAUAUUUUUCGUACACUCAAAAUUCUCACCAUGUCGUCGCUAAAUCUAGUUUCUCAAUUCCAAUCCCUAUUUAACAAACCCCUUCUUCCACUUUCUCAAUUCGUCUCUUCUUCCAUACCCAGAAAUUUAUCCGUACAAUUUCACGUUUCUUCUCUUCCUCGUCGAGUUUCAGUUUCAGCGGUGCCGAUGAACGGUGUUAUUGUGGCGUCAACCACAGCGGAGAAGUCGAAGAAGCGUAACCCUGGUGAGUCGAAGGGUUUCGUGGAGGAGAUGAGAUUCGUGGCUAUGAGGUUGCAUACUAAGGAUCAAGCUAAGGAGGGUGAGAAAGAGGUUAAGCAACCAGAGGAAAAGACCGUGGCUAAAUGGGAGCCAAGUGUUGAUGGGUAUUUGAAGUUCCUUGUUGAUAGUAAGUUGGUCUAUGAUACACUUGAGAAGAUUGUUCAAGAGCCUGCUUAUCCUUCAUGUAAGUAGUUGUAGGUUAAGGUUUCACAAGAUUUUGACAUGUUUUAUGUUUAUAAUAUUAGACACUACCCGUGUUUUAAAUUGGACUCCAGGCUGCAAUAUUGGCUGCAAUAUUGCGAUUAUGGUAUUAUUUGCAACUGACCAUAAUUGUUGCCGUAGUUUUCCACAAGUUGUAGAUAUGUUUUACGUUUAUAUUAUUAGACACUACCCGUGUUUUAGAUUGAACUCCACAAUUCUAAUUGCAGCUGUGAUAUUGUGAUUUUGGUAUUGUUGGCAACUGUACUGCGACAGUAAUUUUUGCCGUAUAACCACUACCAUAAUUUAGAAGUCUGAACACAACUAAUUGAAUACUUACAUGUCAUUCAAAUAACUUAAAUAAGAAUUUCCUUGUCUUUUCAAUGUUGUUAUUUUAAUGACAUGAAGGUGAAACUGGUGGGUUUGUUGUGCCUAUGCAAGUCUUUCUCACUCUUGGGUUUUGUUCAGCCUGGGUUCUGAUUUUUUUGAUAGGCAAAUAUUAGUAUAUUAGUAUUUUUUUUAGUGGGUGGGAUUUGAACCCUUAACCGCCUUAUCACUCCACUCCCUUUAGCCCUCCACUACUCGGCCUGGAUUUUGAUGCCGUGAUCCUGACUCGGACUGAGUAGUGGCUGAGAGUGACUUUCUCCAUCUGCAACUGUUCUCCAGUCGAGAGGGGAUAAAUACCAGAAAAAGAUACUUUGGGGCUUAACUUAGUAGAAUACUAAAUACCUAAUACAUGAGAUUAUUCAGAGAGAUCUACAUGAGUGUCAUUUCUUCAUAGUGUUAUGUAGGUUUAGAGGGAUGUUGAGCUAUUAAGUAAUGGCCUAGGUGGACAGAUUUUAUAAUAGUGAUGGGUGGGUGAUAUUUGAGUAUUAGCAGGGGUCUGUUUUCUAUUUGUUAAUUUAGUUUUGGGUAUUGAUGAAUAUAUUUGUAGGAUAAAAACUUAAUUGUUGUUGUUGUAUUUAUGGAUAUAUUUCGUAUGAUAAUUGGGAAGUAAUGAUUAUAGGAGCCUUCGAAUGUCUGAGUCAGAAGUUUUAGCUUAAUAUAUGGUCGUUGUUCUGUGUGAUUUGAUUUGUUCUUGUUUGAAAAUUGUUCUAUAUUCUUGUUAUAACUUGAAGUCUAUAACUGUGAAGCUUAGCUAAAAGCCCAUUAGAAAAUGAGUAUGAGUACUCUUAUGUCCUACAUAACUUCAGAUCCUUGAAAAUGUUUAAUCUUCACCUCAUCCCUCAACUACCUACCUACACCUAUGAAGCACGGAUAUAGAUACAUAUUUUUUCUAAAGUAUAGGAUACAAUAGUACAAUACAUAUCCUACACUACCAGUAAACACCGAAACCAAUAAAAACAGUUUGAAAUGAUGAAAUCAUUAUCAGUUUGGCUGAGGCUGAUUUCAUUUGUGACAUGUUGUUAUUAAUCUUCCCUUUUCUUAUUGGGAUAAACUUCUUAUUAUCUUCCAUCCAUAACCCCAAAAACAAUUUUGCCUCAUUUUUUGAUUAAUGAGGUGUUUCUAUCUAAACUUAUAUCUACCAAGUCACUGGAUAAACAUUCGGCUGUAUUGAAGCUUGUCAGUUAUCACAGUUAGCUAUAUCUAGAUGCAAGUAAUCUUAUUUUAAAAUGCUGAAGCUUUUGUCUUUCUGUUUAGAUGCUGAAUUCAGAAAUACAGGAUUGGAAAGGUCUGCAAGUUUAGCAAAAGAUUUGGAGUGGUUCAAGGAGCAAGGUCAUACCAUUCCCGAACCUUCCUCUCCCGGUCUUACAUAUGCACAAUAUCUUACAGAGUUAUCAGAGAAGGAUCCCCAAGCCUUCAUUUGCCACUUUUACAACAUCUACUUUGCCCAUUCAGCUGGUGGUCGAAUGAUUGGGAAAAAGGUAACUAAUCACAUGUAUAGAAAACAAGAGGUUAAGUUAUGAUGUUUAUCACAUUGAUUUUGCUGAUCAUAUUUUGUUUCAAUUGUCAUUUGUUGAUAGUAAAAUUGUUUUGUGAUUAAUAUGGCUCAUGUCUGGGAGAUAUAAGAACAUAGUGUAAAAUUUUAUGAACUGAGAAUAUUCCAAUUUUGUUUUACAUAGGAUAGUCCCCGAAGUUUUACAUCCGUAGCCUGUAGGCACAUUUUAACUGAUGUUCGAUACUGGCAAUUCCCACAGCAGUUGUGUCUAUAUAAAGAUAUUUGCAGAGUUGUGUCACAUAUGUAGUAUAUGUUUUACUCUCUCUCUGUGUCAAAUACUUCAAUGUGUGUAUCAUAGUAUGAUGAUGGUAGAAUAUCAAUAGUAAUAACUAUAGAUAAUAUUGAUGAUAUAAACAUGCAUGUUUUGAUUAUCAUAGCUUCUUCACUCUAGAAAAAGCUUUUCAACCAAAAGCCCUUUGGGAUGCAUUUGAUUCUAUAAUCAUUUUCCGAAGUAAAAGAAGCUAUUCCAAAUACAACUGAAGCCUGAAAUGCAAUCUGGUAGCAAAGAUUCAAAUAGUGUCAUUCCAAUUAAUCAAUGCGAGUUGGAUUUUGGAGGGGAAGAAAGGGAAAGGGAAGGCUUCAGAGCCAUGAAAUACACUUGGAAGAUGACUCUGAACCCCUCCCUUUCCCUCCAAAAUAACUUGCAAACAGAGCUUAAGGGUAAAAGAGAGAAUUGACUAACCAUCAUUUUGCAUGUGUCUGAUUUCCUACCAAUUGUAGUUGAUAUGUUCGGAAAUGACAAUGUAUUCUUUUGUUACAUUAAUUUUAUGAGAUCUUCUUUAUGACGAACCCAGUACUUGAUAUGCGUUAUAGUGAAUUCAAUAUGUAGAAUAAAUGAAAGAAUUAUGUAAUUAUGCUCAUAACAUUAAGAAGUAGGCUUUACUAUGUUCUACAUGUUUUGCAGUCCUUUUCACUUGAUUAAUAAGAAACCAAUAAUGAAAGUUUCCUUCUCCUAUGUUGAAGAUCCUCCUGCACAUUAACCUUAACCCUUUCAGGUUGCUCAAAAGAUACUAAACAACAAGGAGUUGGAGUUUUAUAAAUGGGAUGGGGAUCUAUCUCAGUUGUUGCAGAAUGUGAGGGACAAGUUGAAUAAAGUUGCUGAAGUAAAUUUCUUGAACUUUGUUAUUUCUUUGCAUACAUUUCAUCACAAUCUAAUAUGCAAUGAGCAAAUAAGCCGUUUUUUUAUUUCGCCAUUAUUUUUAAAAUUCUAAGAGUGUGUGUUUGGUGCAACGGUAAGAUUGUUGCUUCGUGACUAUUAGGUCAUAGGUUCAAAUCCUGAAAACAGCCUAUUCCCUUGUAGGAUAAGGCGACGUAUAUCUACCUUCUUCAGAUUCCAUUAAGUGGAAACCUCGUCCACCAAGACACCCUUUUAGUACUUUUAAAUUCUAAGUAGCAAUAGAUAAAAUUAUAGUUUUCAAUUUUUUUGAGUUAGAGUGAUAAUUGAACCUCUUGAUAUUCCUCUGUUGUUUACUCAGGAAUGGAUUCGGGAAGAGAAGGACCACUGUUUGGAAGAAACAGAAAAAUCGUUCAAAUUCUCGGGACAGAUUCUUCGAUUAGUUCUAUCAUGAUAUACAUGCCUUGUUAACAACCUCUCAGCGUUGAAACACUCUCUCUACUUGUGGAAGUAAAACUGUAAUAUCUAUCCUUUCAGAUUCCACUAGGUAUCGUGCAUUGGACAACCUUUUUUAUAUGAUAUAUUGAUAUAUACAUGCCAUGUUAUUCUUGUAAUUAAAGUGCAUUGUGCAAGCCAAGAACAUUGUGUUAAAUGUAUAGGAUGUAAUUUUCAAUUGAAUAAGGAACAAUAGUCUUGAAGUUGCACGCAUGGAGCAUUUUGUGAUGAGUAUAUCCUUAUACAAAUCCUUUUACUAACCCAUGGCUAUCAAAUUGGAUUCUGACUAUGAAUAAGAAGACCUAAUGAUUGAAAUUGUGGACCACAUCAUGUGAUAUGGUCGUAAUAUUGUAGGUGCGGUGAGUGCCACAAAUGUAUCACAUUGCAAUUGUGGUGUAAUUAGAGGUGACAAAAUUAUUCAUAAUUUACAAUUUAUUCAAAUCCAUCCAAAUUAAAUUCAUCCAAAUCCAUCUGUUAGAACUAAUGGAUUUAAAUGGAUAUAAUCAAAUAGAUAUAAUCCAAUGGGAAGUGUUGAUUAUGGAUGAAUUCAAAUUUAUCCAUUAUAUCAAAUGGGUAGGGUUGAUUAUGGAUGAAUUCAAAUUCAUCAAUUAUAUCCAAUGAAUAUCUAUGGGUAUAUCCGUUUGGAUGAUACCCAAUCGAUCCAAAAAACUAAGAACAAAAAUAUUUUUCUCAUACAACAACGUGCAGACUCAACUUUGCUUUGCAAACCUAAUGUGCAAAAUAUAAACCAAUGUUAUUAAUACUGUACUAUUCAUCAAACUGAUUAGAGUACUAGUACUGAUAUGGUGGUUUAACCAGUAGUUAAUUAUUAAACUGCAAUCGGUAAAACUAUAUAUUCAUAUAUUUUAUACUAAUAUUAAUUUGAAAAAUCAAUAAAGAAGACAAUGUUUAUUUUUAUUUAUACCACUUGUUAAAUUGUAUAUUGUACACCAUAUUUUAUUUUAGAUGUAUAAAAAAUGUAAUAGUUGUGUGUUUGAUCAUCUAUACAAAUAUUUUGGUAAAAAUAAAUCAUUAUCAUUAAAAAAAUAAUUUUGAAUGUACCAGAUGGUAUGGUCGGUACAGUUCAAUUGAAACGUAUGAUCGAUUUUUACCAGUAUAAUUGUGUGGUCAUUAUAAAUGUUAUAUCAUAGUAGUAUUAAGACUUAAGACUGAUUUACUGGCUUACCGGUUGAACCGUUCGACACAAACCGGUUUUGAUAUCAGUGAUAUAAACUAUUAUCUUCCUAACAAAAGGAUUCUUUCAAAAGUAUUAUCUUUUUUUAUCAAAACAUUAUUUGAGAAAGUUUCAAUAAGGAUUAGUAUAACAUUUUGUGUCAUGAUUGAGCACAAGAAAAAAUUUAUAAUUUCACAAUACAAUAUCUUUGACCUCAUCUACAUUGUUGCCUUUCAGAGGUAAAUUUAACUACUGAGGUUUUUUAAAAAGUAUUUAAAAAAAACACUUUUUAAAUUUAAAACACUUUUAAAAAAAACACACUUUUUAAAAAUGUUUUUUAAAAAUGCUUUAUUAAAUAAUAAAUUUUAAAAGGAUUUUUUUCCUUCAAAAAAUGUUUUUGUUCAAAUUAAAAAAAAUAGAUUGCAUAUCCACCCUUCCAAUUCAUUAAAAUGAAUAUAUGGAUGAAAUGGAUGGAUUGUAAUCCAUUAAAUAUGGAUGGUUUGGAUAGUUUAGAAAUAUGAUUUUAUGAAUUUAUAUGAAUUGACAUAUGAUUUUUCAUCCAUCUAUUAUGAUCCAAAUUCAUCCAAUGGACACCUUUAGGUGUAAUACUGAAUCAUAGUGUAUAACCACAAUGGGUUUUAACACAAUCGUAUUGGACUGCAUUAAGCGCAUCAUCAAAUUUCAAUUUUUUCAAUGAUAAGGUAAUUCACACUGCAAAGUUCACAAUCUACAUCACAAUAACCAUAACCGUGACUGCAACCACAAUUUAAUUUGAAGGUACAUACUUUCAAAAUCAUGAAUCAAAUUGUGAUUUAUAAAAUUUAUAUUCGUCAAUUGAAAAUAUUAGUAUAAUCAUAACAUGAGUCCCGAGACUUCAUAACAAAUUAUCACAUGAAAUAACAUAAGAGGAUAAUGUAUAUCGUGUCAACAACAUAUAGCUUGUCUUUUGUAAUCAAUUAUAGAGUGAUAUGUGGCAUUUUAUUUAGACAUGUUUCCAAGUGGGAUAAUUGUCUCUUCAACAUAGCGGCAUCUCUUUUUGGAAGACAGUUGAUUCGCCCCGUCUUUU